UAUUCCCUGGAAGAAAAACAGGAUGCUGAUCAAACCCGGUUAACAAGUUAUGCGAAAGGUUCAAGGUAUUGAGAUUCUGCAUAUUGGGGUCUAACAACCAUUUAGGGACUUUUCCCUGAAUUCUAUUGUCAGAAAGGUCCAAGCCCACCAAAUGAUGUUGGUUUUCCAAGAAAUUUGGAAAUUUAGUGAGCUUGCAUGAACUCAAUCCUAUAUAUUGAUGUUUCCGUGAAGUGGUAUUGGAAGUGGCUUUGGUGAGCACCGACAACCUAUUUAAUGAGAGAGCUAAAACUUCUAAAUUUUUCCAGCAAGUAAGUAAAACAUCCAACUCUAUUGUUCCGCUAUAAGAAUUUCGAGCCAUGUCAAGGACGAUAAGUUGGGUAAGAUUCCUAAGUGAAGAUGUAAUUUGACCUGAAAAAUUACAAUUUGAGAUUUGUAUUACUUCCAAUGACCUAAGAUUUCCAAUGGAACCAAGUAAGUCACCCGAAAAAUUAUUAUAUCCAAGAUACAAAAAUUGUAGCCGGGUGAAAUUACCAAUCGAAUGUGGAACUUUGCCCCAAAAACCACAUAACCUCAGAUCUAAUAGCUUCAAAGAACUGAAAUUUCCAGUCGACCAUGGAAACUCACCGGAUAAUUUAUUGACUGAAAGGUCAAGUUUUUCCAAAGAAAAAAGAUUUCGAAUGGAAGUAGUCAACUCACCAAAAAAUCCAUUCUGUGAAAGGUCAAGUUCUUUCAAAGAACCAAGAUUUCCUAUGGAAAUAGGCAACUCACCAAAAAAUCUAUUUUGUGAAAGGUCAAGUUCUUUCAAAGAACUAAGAUUUCCAAUGGAAAUAGGCCACUCACUCGACAAAAAAUUUGCAGAGAGAUCCAGUUCUUCCAAUGAAUGAAGAUUACCAACGGAAACAGGCAGCUCACCUUGUAAUUCAUUUAGUGAAAGGUCUAAAUGAAGGAGCUUGGAUAGAUUACCGAGUGAUGAUGGAAUUCUUCCUGAAAUUUGUAUAUAUAAAAAAAAAGAACACAUUGCUUAAGUAGAAAAUUAAAAAUAAUAGUAAUUUUUACUAAUGAAUUUAACAUCGCAAUUGGCAUUUUUCGAGUAAAAUAUAUGUAUUCAACAAUAACAUGCACGUAUAUUAAUUAAGAAGAAAUUAUAUAAAAUUUAAUUACCUUGCAAUUCACAGUUUCGAAGAGAAACAAACGUCAAAGAAGAUAGAUUUAUGAUGUUAUGAGGUAUUGUUGACUGAAUACAAACAUCACCAAGGUCAAGUGUUUUUAGAUUGCUUAACUUCUCUACUAAAUUUACGAAACUGGGCUUCUGAAGUUCAAGUCUACCGCCAGGAACAUCAUUUAGUGAUAAAUCAAGGGACACCAAGUUGGAGAGCUUUAGAAUUUCUGAUGGUAUUUGGCCAGAUAAAGAAGUUCCAGAGAGGUUCAAGUAUGAUAACUUCGAAAGGUUGAUGAUUUCUGGUGGGAUUUCGGAGGAAUUAAAGUCAUUCAAAGCAAGAUUAAGCCACUCGAGAUGGACAAGCUUGAAAAGGCUGCUGCUAGAGUUGAUAGAACCAAAAAGGCAGCUAUGGGAGAGGUCAAGCUUGACGACAUGACCAGUGUUCUUAUUGCAAUGAACGCCGUCCCAAGAGCAGCAAUCAAAGUUACCUUCUUCUGGCUUCCAUGAUGCCAUUGUAGGAUGACAGUCAAAUUUCCAAGCAUAAAAAUCACUACUGAUGCGGCUUUCUUUGAAUUGCAACAAAGCAGAGCGCUCAUCAUCAUGGCAGAGUGGCAGCAUAGAAGAAGCAGUGAAGUUAGCAAUUGUAAAAUUAAAGAAAAAGAAGGGAAAAACUAAUCGUAUGAAUAUUGUGAAUAAACAUAUAGAGGAUAAACCCAUAGUUUUCUCAAAAAUAAAAUUUGUUUAACUUUGUAGAUGUGAAGAAAUUUAAGGAUCUUGGUUACCUUUUAUAGGCAAAUUGCAGCAAUUCAAACAUUAUAGUCAUUGGACUCUUUUUUGUUUUUUUUUUUAAGUCAACAAAAGUUAGUCUUAAUAAUAUUUAUUUUUUAUUAUUUGAUGUGAUGUCGUAAACUUUCACCAUUCCUUUGCCACCGAAAAUAAGUUUAUAGCAAACGUGAGGAUUAAUUAAUUAGCACAGGGAAAAAAUGAAAAUGAGUAAAUGAGUAGUACAUUCAUUUUUAUUUUUGUUUGAAAAAAAUGAAAAACAUAAUUCCGAAGUGGUCCAGACCACUUGAAAUUUAAGAAAAAAAAUGAUUAAUAUUAUUUGGAUAUGAUAUCAACUCAAAAUUCAAACAAAUCUUACAAACAACUGGCGAAAAAUGGUGAAUUCCAUUCCUUAACCGAGGUUUAUUAAAUUAAAAAAAUAAUGAAAAAUAGAUGAUAAUUAAAUUAAUUUUAAUGGAAACAAAGUCACAAUAGUAGAAGUGACAAUUUCGGCACGAUUAACUAAUUAAUCAGACACAAACACAAGACAAAUUAAUGAAUUUGGAUUUACAAAAUUUGACAUGAUUUUCAACUUAGAUCAAUUAAAAACCUUUCAUUUCGUAUCAUCGGACCCACUAUUAAUCAUCAUAAAUUAUAGUGAACAGACGAUCAAUUUCAGAGACUCAAGACUAGUAAUAAGAAGUCUUUGCAUGCUCUGUACAUAUGUCGUGUCAGAAAAUUAUUUCUUAGUUUUUAGCAUAAGAAUGACGAAAGAGUGAUGUAUUUUUGGACACUAUUCUUAGUCAACUAAAAUUAAAAUUGGUUCCUAAAAUAUAACCAAAAAAAAUUUGAACCCAAAAAAAGAAAAUAAUUUUUUAAAAUAUAACACAGAUAAUAAUGGUGAGAGUAAUUUAGGUCAAUUCAAAAUCGCUAAUUUGGAGUCGGAUUCAUGUAUUAAUUGUAUCAUAAGUUACUGAAAAUUGCAUGAAUGGCGUGGAUGCAAAAGUAAUCGCUAAUUUGGAGUCAAAGUCAUGCGUUGAUUGUAUUUGUAUUGUCUGUAUGACUAGGGCGUGGCAAAGGCUCAUGGAAUAAAUCUGCUUCUUUUUUCUCCUUUCCCCACUACCACCAGUUCACUUAACUUUUCCUUCAUGGCGUGCCGAAUGAGAUCUUCUACUCCACCAGUGCUUGUGUGUUUGUGUUUCAUUUAGUCAAAGUCAUGCGUUGACUGACAACUCGAAGAGCCUGUUUGGGAGUGUGGUGAGGUAGUUGGGCAACACUUAUAGCUAGGCUUUGGCAACUCAACAAUUUUUUUUUCAGCUGUAAAUUAAAUUACUAAAUUAGCCUUACAUAUUAUUCAAUUUCAAUUUCAUCCUCCUCAUUUUUUAACUUCAUUUCAAAUCAAUUUUUUUUUUUUGUGAAACAAACCCUAAACGCCCAUUCUCAUCUGCACGAUUCCGACUGUGGCAGUUCUAAUUGAUGCAAUUCCGACACCGGCCACUCUCAUACGCCUCUGUCAGUGGUGCGUUUUUCUUCACCCGUUGUUCAUUUUUUAGUGCUCCUUUAUUCUAUUACAUGCAAUUUUUCAUUUUCUUCCUCUUUGUUCAUAAUAUGUUGGGGCUUUUGUUUAGAAUAAAUUGAUGGGUGAUGGGUCAUGCGUGAUUUAUUUGCUGCUUGUAACCACUGUUUUUAUUGUAGAUUUUAUUUUUGUAGUUGCUUUUUGUAGACAUGCACAGCCCCUGUUUAAUGAAAUUCCCCUAAUAAAAAUCCAUCUCAAACUUCUUUGAGCAGAGUUCAUGCCCUGAUAUUUUAACAAGUUUCAAUUUUUUUUAUAUUUACCUGUGGAAUUUGUAAUAUAUAUUAUGCACUUAUGAGUGGUAUCGGUUGUUUUCUUAAAGUUUGUGUUUAUGAUAGCUAUUAUCUGGGUUGUGUUCAUUUGCCUCAAAUUCUGUAAUUUUGAUUUGAGUUUCCUGUUCUUUGUAUAAUGGCAAAACUCAGACUUUAGAUGUAUUUCUUGGUUAUGAUGAUUGUUUAGUUGAAUUUCUUUGUUUCCUUGUCUGGUUUGUCUUUUGUUGCUUUAUUGAAUUGCUUGUAAUUGUUUCUGUUCGUGGGCUAUGAUCAUUAUUGUUUGCUGGAAAAGUAUUUCAAGUAAACUAAGUGUUUGAUUAAAAGUAUUUCAAGUGAAGUAAGUAACAAUGUAUUAUAUUUACAAUGUAUAUGAAUUAUUGCUAUUGAUUUAUUUGUGCAAAUUUAAUUAAUUAUGCAAAUUUUUCUGAAAGAUAUUCUUGAUUAUAAUAUACAUCCAUUGUUCUUACCAUGAGGCUUAUUUAUGGAAAAUUUUCUGGACUAUUUGCUUGAGGAAAAAUAAAAGCUUCUUCUUUCACACACACACACAUAAUUCUUUUAGUAUCCAUAUAAUAGCAUUGAAAUGAUUAUUAAUAUAUCUUCGAAAAUUAUGUCUUAACUUUCCAGCAAGCUCUGGCUUUUGGCGUAUAAUCUGCUUCACAAAAUCCACAUGCCCAAGCAUACAUAAUUAAUUACAUUUUAAUUUUAUUAUGCUUUGUUGUAUGAUCUUUAUUAGAUAACCAUAUCAUGUACAAACCGAAGCAAAACUUUCAAAAUAGGAUCUUUAUUGAAUGGAUAGAUAAAACACACUAAAAAAUAUGAUAUUAUCUAGAGUUUUGUGGGGGAAAAAUAAUAAAUAAUAAAUAAAAAUAUUCUACUGGGAUAAUUUUCAAAAUUACAAUAAAAAAACAUUAGUUAAUAAAAAGUGCUAUAUCAUCAAAGCAAAAUCAGUUCACACACAUGCAAGUUUUGACUGAAAAAUUACAAAAUAUAACAACAUUCAGACAAACCAUUGCCAGCAAGCAUUUUUUAAACAUUGAAUAAACCUGAUGUUAGAAAUCGAAUUCGAAAGGGAACAAAGCAGUGAAAUCCUGCAAUUCAGAAAAAAAUUAUAAAAAAAAAAGCGGACAUACUAAAUUAAAUAAUUGAGCAAUUUGGCUCACUAUUUUUCAAUCAAAACUUUUAAUAUUUUCUCUUCACUUUCUAGGCAAACAAACACAGCAACAUCUUUUUUAACUCUUGAAAUCUUCCAGCUCCGGUGCAAGCCUCAGUCACAAUGUAGUCACUUGAUGGCACAUCUUCACCCAGACUUUUCAAUAAAGUGAAUUAAAGCUUUUAGAACGACACAUAAAACUUUAAAUUGUUCCUGUAACACACAGACAGUCUUUAGUUCGGUAUCAUAAAUUCACUUUCUUAUAAUCUCAUUAAUAUACUUUUUGAACUUUAUUGUGAUCUUCAUUAGGCGUUAAUUUUUAUUUUUCCUUUUUUAUAAAAAAAAAAAAAAAGCUCUUCCGGAGUCAUUGUAAGAUUCAUGACAAAUACCUGUUUCCGCUGGUAAUCAUGUACAUUGGAACAACUUGCAGACUCUUCUUAGAAAAAUUUCAGCUGACAUCAGCGGUUAAGUCCCAAUGUACAGGAUCCAAACACAAAUUUAACACAUCAGUAAACCAUUAAAAUAUAAAUAAAUAAAAAUAAAACUUGAAGACUCUUCUUAGAAAAAUUUCAGCUGACAUCAGCGGUUAAGUCCCAAUGUACAGGAUCCAAACACAAAUUUAACACAUCAUAACUUGUUAACCGGGUUUGAUCAGCAUCCUGUUUUAGGUCUUUGCGUGUUCUAUGCAUAUGUCGUGUCAGAAAAUUAUUUUCUUAGACAGGAAUGACGAAGGAGAGAUGUAAAUAUGAACUCCGUUCUAUGUCAGUCAACGUUAAAUUCGCCAUUCAUUAUAAUGGAUGUUUAUAUCGCUAAUUUGGAGUCAAAGUCGUGCAUCAAUUUAGGUAUUAGUCUUUAGUAAAUCUGCUUCAUUUUUCUCCUUUCCCCACUACUACCAGUUCAAUUAACUUUUCCUUCACGGCAUGUUGAGUAUUCCGUAUCCUACAGCAGUGCCUUGAAUGAGAUCUUUUACUCCAUCAAUGCUUGUAUGUUGUGUUUCAUUUGAGGAUUAGAUUUCCCAGUACGUAGACAGAGAACUCUGGCUCUGUUGUCCGAUGUCUCUGCAUUUUCUUGAACUCUCUACUCUUCCUCGUGUAAUUAAAGAGGAUUAAAGUAAAAGAAAAGGGUAGAACCAGUUCUCCCUAUUUGUUGCACUAGCUAUCAGAUUUCCAUAUUAUACUAAUUAUUGGCCAAAAACAUAUUUUUUUUAUUUAAAUUGUCAAAAAGACUUUAAUGUUCUCAUCCUAAAAUAAGUUCCAUUAAAGCAAUUAUAAUAGUUAUGGAAUGUUUAUAACUAGAAUGAGUGCUCCUACUUAAACUAGUAAAAUCUCUUGAACUAAUUUAUAGGUUCAAUCCUGCGCACAUGAGUAAGGAGAGGAGAGGGCAUUUGUUUAAAUUUUAUUGUAUUGAAUUUCGCACUUUCAAUACUUCUACGUAGUUAUUACGAUUUCAUCAAGUUUACGAUGCCGAAGAGCCAACCAUGCUUGAUCAAACAAAAUUAGACCUCACUAAAUCUGAUAAUGUAAAUGCUAUAAUUUCAUUAACUUUCAAACGGCAGCUAACAGUUUAGUGAUCUGCAGAUAGCUUUUGUCAAUUUAGGAUGGACAAUUUUACACCCUCAAAAUGUUGUAGUAUUUUUUAUAAUAUAGCAAAAAUAGGGUAUAAGAAUGAUAACUUCCCAAUUUUUAAAAAAAGUUACUGUUAAAUUCAAAUUGUAAUUGUAAUUGAAUUUAAUAAUUUUAAAUCCAAUAAAAUUUGCCACAUAUUGAUUUAAAUUUAUAUUAUCAUUACUUAACGUCAUAUUAAUUUUCAAUUGUUGAGUAUACUAUUAAAUACAAUUUGUUGAAAUUUAGAUUGUUAAUUUUAUAAAGAAGUUUAGAAGGAUUAUUCGUGUUGGAGAUAAAAAUAUGGUUGGACAAAUAGAAGCUUGAGAUAAUUUAAUUACAAUUUAAGUACCCCUAUCUAAGGAAGAAAGUGACCAAUUAGGUUGUGCCACGUAUCCAAAAGAUUAAAGAUGCCUUGAUGCAAAAGGUCGGAUCCAACUCACAUUCAUCUUUUUCCUUGAGAUGGGGUUACUUUCUUCACAAUAUUGACUUGAUUAUCGAAAUACCAUCACUGACCACUACCAGCAAUCGCCCUCUAAUAGCCUUGUAAAUAAGAAAUUAAAAUUUCAACAUAAAUAGAGAUACACAAAAUAUAUUAAUUUGACACAAAAUAUUUCUGCUAUUAGUAAAUUAUCAUCAUUAAUAUCAAUACCUUACUUUAUCUUUUAAUCAACAUACAAGUGUUAUCAACAAUGUUAACAAGUAAAUUAUGUAAAAUUAUCGUUAACAAUUAAUUAAACAAAUAAAAAUUCAACUUUAGUAAGAAAUCAUUAGGUUCAAGUGACUAAAGUAAAACAAACAAAAUCUAUCAAUUAAAAUAAGAUAUCAGUAAUAUUAAGUUUAAAAAUUAUAAAACUUUUAGUUAUUAAAAGCUUAUUUUAUGUGUGUGUGUGUGUAUGCUGCGCUGAGAUAAGUUAGGUUUAGAAAUUAAGAACUUUAGCUGACAUUCAUUUAUGAUUAAAUUUUUUAAUGUAAGUUUUAUGAUUAAAAUUAAAAAUAUAAAUAAUUAAAAUAAAGAAUGUAGGCGUGAGUAUCCAGUAGAUUUUUUCUCAAUACCAAAUCAACUCGCAUCCUGCAGCGGAUUUCAAUUUAAAAUACUAAACCCACUCACAACCCAGAAAAUUAUUCACAGCAGGUAAGGUUUUAUAGACGAAUUUGGACUGCUUUGUGGGAUGAUGAAUAAUUUUGCCAUCCUUGAACUCAAGGUUCAUCGUUUGCAAGGUCCCUCAUAAAUCAAGCACCCUCUUUGGUGGCUCUAUUCUUCAAAGCUGAACUUUCCCGCCAGUUAUCAAAGUUCACCCUCAAGAUAGCCUGAAAGCUACUUCCUUAAAUAUUUUAGUUCAUCUGAGGCUUGACAAAAAAUGAGCUAAAAUAACUAGUGUCUUUUAUGCCUUAAAAUAUUAAAUUUGAAAAAUCAAAAAGAGUUAUUAGGAAAAUAUAAGGUGCAUUUAGUAUAGUUUUUGUUUUGUAGUUUUUCAUUUUCCUAGAAUGAAAACUAUAAAAAAAUUUUUUUAGGUCUAUUUUUUAAUAGUAAAUGUAUCAACUGAAAAAAAGUUGUUCUUGUUUCUCAACUUCACAAAAGAGAGUGCAGAACAGAAAUUGGCAUUCUCUACUAUACAAACACACACACUACUUGCCUCACUUUUGUAGCUUGGAACCAUUGCCAAUAUUUAUUAAGCUUUUAACCCUCUAUUUCUUCCUUUUUUUUUAUAAUAUCAACACAAUAUUUUACUAUUUACUCAUAAAUUUACGGUUUCUUGUCAGAUAAGAUUUAUUUUUGCUCCAACAUUUUGCAAUUUUAUAGAUAUUCUUAAAUUAUUUUUUAUCUCAUUUUUUAAAAAUAAAAUUUAAAAUAGUCAAAUAAAAUUUAAAUUGUAUAAAUUAUGAUAAAAUAAAUGAACAUUUUUAGUUCAUUAAAGAUUAGACAAUUAGAAAAAUAAUUACAUUUAUCAUUAUCAAUUUAAAACAUGAUAAUUUCUAAAAUUUUAAAUAAAUAAAUAUACAUAUUUAAAAAAAUUACCUACACAUUAUUCAAAAAGAAAUGUUUUGGACAAAAUACUAAAUGUAUUUUCAUUUUUUUUCAUAAAUUAUAAUUUAGAAAUAAGCUACCAAAUGUAUCUUCAAAUAUCGAAACAACCCAUCAAAAACAUCAUCUUUCUUCUGCAAAACAAGUUUAGAAAACACCAAUUGAAAAACAAUACCAAAUACAACCUAAAUGUUUGGUACAAUUAUUUGAAUUUAGUUUAGAUUAUAGAACUGUAAAUAAUGAAAUAUAAAAAAAAUAUUUUAAUAUUCCAAGUAAUUUAUUUAUAAUAUUAUAAUAGAUUUAACAAAAGAUUAUUGAAAAAUAAGUGUGAUUUGAUUAUUUGAUGGUCUCACUUUAAUAAAUGAAAUCUUGGAAGUUCAAGUCCUCUUCUCAUAAUAUAUUCCAUUUUAACAGACUAAUUCAACAGAUAGUUUGUCUCGAAAAACACUAGCGGGCCAGCCGGCGGGCUUGAAACAUUAGCCCAAUAUAGCAAUCACCGUGAACUUCUAAAGCAAUAUUAUCUUGUCAUCCCCUCAAAGUUUGCUGAAUAAAAUAAAUAAUUAAAUAAAUUCAGCCCAAUAUGGCCAUCUCUUCUUGGAAUAUAUUCCAUUUAUUGAAGGACGAACUAAAUAUAUAAACAAAUACCCACAGAUGUUUUUAAUUAUCAUCAAAUUAACAGGACAUCACUCAUAAGCUGACAAAUUAAGUAGAUCGAUCAAACCGCCUUGUAGUAUGAAUGAAAAUGAUUGUUCAUGAAUUAAUCAAAUGAAUUACCCUCUGGUUUGUUGGAUGACAAAUUCAAUGAGCAUUUCUAUGUUGCGAUGAGAAGAUCUGUUAGGAAAUUGGUGGGUAAAGCAGACACACAGCUAAGUUGAAAUUGGUAGAAACAAUAAAGAACAAGCACAAUAGAGGACACAAGAAAAUUACGUGGUUCGGCUUUUAGCCUACGUCCACAGGCGAACAUAGAAGGAAAUAUUUUACUAGUGAAAAGGAGUUACAAGUAUUGUAGUAUUUUAGCUCACUACCCAAAACCCCAAUACACCCAAACUCUCAAAUCACUAUAACAAGAGCUUAUAAAUAUAAGCUCUUAAACUCUCUCUCAACUCCCUAAAUUGCUCUCUAAAUGGAAUGCCUUUGCUCAUUCUCUUCGCUUUUAUUUAUAGAGAAAGCUUUGGCACUAUGCAGCAAUUCUAUAUUAUUUUUACGUUCUUUUUUCUUCUUUCAAAUGUCAAACCCGUGUGCUCCUUUUCCUUUCCAACUUGCUGCAAAAUUCCUCUUCUUUGAACAACAUGGAUACUGACUAUCUAGAUGGCUGUUUCAAACCAUCUAGAUGGCUGCUUUUGACAAGAUCCACCAACUCCAAUAGCACGAUUUGCUAUCUCCCCAAGCUGCCUUGCUCUCUUUCUCCUCUUCUCUCCUUGUUUGCCUCUAUCCAUCAGUUUUUCAAUAGCUUCUUUAACUUUCUCCCUCUUAAUCACUAAACCAGAGUUGUCUUCCAAACCCCAUGUCACUGUAGCCUCAAUUCCAACACUCACUCCAAUCCCUAAUACUUGCGCAGCUAACUUCUUAUUAUAAAAUUGCUCGGCAAACAAAGGGUAUGUUACUAACGGCACUCCCGCACUCACUCCUUCUAGUGUUGAAUUCCAACCGCAGUGUGUCAAGAACCCUCCAAUUGCUCGAUGAGAUAAUAGCAACACUUGAGGUGCCCAUCCCCGAAUUAUAAAUCCUCUCUCUUUUGUCCUUUCCUCAAAUCCUUCUUCUUGGAUCCACUUCUCUAAACCUUGUGAUCUUUCACCUCCUCUUAUUAACCAAAUGAACGGCUGAUUGAUGCUUCUAAGCCUGACCCAAGUUCUAAAAGUUGCCAAGUAGCAAGGCCACAUAUACGCCCAAGACAAGGGUAAAUCACAGACCCAGGUUCCCAUGAGUCAAGCCAUUUCAAGCACUGUUCAUAAUCAUCUUCCGUUGAUCCAUUUUCACCUCUGCAUCUCUCAGCUUUAUCUGUGUUCAACUUAUACCGGGCCAAUACACCAAACCUUAUCACCUUUGGUCCUUGUAUAUUCUUUGACAUAUUCUGCUUCCAAUUCUUCGAAAGUAUUAACCACAAUUCCAUCUGCUGAUUGUUCUGCUCCCCUGAUUGUCACACGCUUCAAUUGGAGGGUUUUUAACACAUUGUGGUUGGAACUCAUCUCUUGAAGGGAUAUCAGCCGGCGUACCCAUGAUCACAUGGCCACUUUUUGGGGACCAAUUUUGGAAUGAAAAGUUGAUUGUGCAAGUUCUAAAUAUUGGGGAGAGGAUUGGUGUGGAAGUUCCCUUAGAUUUUGGGAAGGAAGAAGAGAUUGGGGUAUUGGUAAAGAAGGAAGAUGUUGUAAAGGCUAUUAACAUACUUAUGGAUGAAGGAAGGGAAAGAAAUGACAGAAGAAAAAGAGGCAGAGAAUUCCACAUAAUGGCAAAAAGGGCAACAGAAGAAACAUGAUCUUCUUCCCUCAUGAUCAAACUAUUAAUCCAAGAUAUCAUGCAACCGCCGCAUGGUGAUGACCAACAUAUAUAACGCAUGAGAGAUUAAUUGCUUAAUUUGUUUCAUGCGUACUUGCUUCUCUUUUAUUAUUAUUUUUUUUGAGAGGUUAAUUCACUUAUCUAUUAUGGUACUAUUGUCAAAUCUGUCCUCAUCCAUUGAUCAGACAUGCAUUAUUCCCUGAUUAUCAAGGAAUCUUGGCCGAGCACCUGUUUAUAAUUUUAAUUAACUCAAACCAGUUUGUAGGGUAUCAUCAAUAAACAAAUAUAAUGAUUUACUUGCAAUUGACUGCAUUAAAAUAUAUUCUUUUAAUGUUUAUAAUUAUAAGUUGUACUAUCAAAAAGUUAUUGUUAAAUUAAUUAUAUAUAAAUUAAUUAAUAUCAGCCAAUGCAAUGUUAGAAAAGUUCUCUUAACUGCCCACUAUUUGACCGAACAUUGACCAGCCGCCAUUGCUCUAGUGGCGGCUGGUGGUGGUGAUUUGCCAAUACCGGAACCACCCCACACACCGGUGACUUCUCCUUUGGCCGGCAACAACCAUCACAACUGCACUCACACCCAAACCGAAGGCCAAAAACGUGUUCGCAAUCUCAAAUAUCGCCCAUCGCCGCCGCCACACCUGUUACCAUCGAUAAGGACCACCUUCUGCCAUUGACCAUCUCCUCAGCCCAAUCUCGUACAGCUACUGCUUUGAGAGAUAAUGCUGGAUGGGCUGAGAUAGCUAAGCCUUCUUCUUCUAUUCAGGAUGAUCUAAGUAUUCAGAGGGUUUCCACUGGUACUACUUUUUUCUGAGCUGCAGGAUAUUCGAUCCAUGACUAUGGGUUUUAAUUCCCAUUAUACAGAUAUUCAUUUUUAGUCGGAUGAGGAGCUUAGCUCUGAUGAGAAUCUUGUGGCUGAUGAUUAUUUUACGUCUUAGCCUGAGCAUUCUGAAGGGCGUGAUCUUGACCCCAACUUCAAUGUUGUUGGUCCACAUUCCUCUUGUUCGAGAAAAGAUUUCGCAUUAGUUACUGGUCACAGGUAUAGUAGGCAGUCUUAAGGCAUUUGCAUUAAUUAAUUAUCUUUAACUUCUUAUUUGUUCUCAUAAUGUUUUUGUUAUUUUUUGGAUUUGUUGGCUGUGUUGUUAUUUUGCUUGGAGCUUUUAGUUUGUGUCCUUCUCCAUAUGUACUUUCUUUUGUUUCAAUAGUUUACAGGUAAGAGGGUCCCGCCUAACCCGCCCACCUUAGGGUGGUUUUAAAUUAAAAAAGGAAAAUUAUCAUUUGUGUGAAUAUUUAGAGUCUGAAAUACUAUUUUUUCUUGUUUCAUUCAUUCUACAAGUUACACUUAAAUAGAAUGCAGAAAAUAAACUCCUAAAAAAUAUCCCCUAAUUGUAGGAUACUUAUCUAAACUUGAAUUUAAAAAUAAAACUAAUUAUCUAAAACUUUAUUCUGAUAAGACUUUAAAACUAACUGAAAAAUCCUAACUUCUCGAUACUCCCUCUCAAGUUGGUGUGUAGAUGUCAAUCAUUCUCAACUUGCUGCAAGAUGUCCAAAGUUAAGUGUGACGAAUCCCUUCGUUAGGAUAUCUGCUAUUUGUUGUUUUGUUGGAACAAACAAUAGGCAGAUAAUAUGAUUCUCAAGUUUCUCGUUGAUGAAGUGACUAUGAAUUUCGACAUGCUUGGUUCUAUCAUGUUGCACUGGGUUAUGUGCAAUGCUGAUUGCUGUCUUGUUGUCGCAGUAUAACCUUAUAGGUAGAACUGUAGGUCUUUUCAAAUCCUCUAGAACUUGUUUUAGCCACAAUACUUGACAAAGCUCAUGUGUCAUAGCUCUAAAUUCAACUUCAGCAGUACUUCGUGCAACUACAUUUUGUUUUUUACUCCUCCAAGUCACUAAAUUACCCCAUACAAAAGUGCAAUGGCCUGUAGUAGACUUCCUGUCUGUAAUUGAAUCUGCCCAAUUAGCAUCAGUGUAUACCUCAAUACCUCUAUUCUCUGUUUUUCUAAACAAAAGUCCCUUUCCUAGAGUACCUUUUAGAUAUUUGAGAAUUUUAUAAACAGCUUCAAGAUGUUCUUCCCGAGGAUGAUGCAUGAAGCGACUUAUUAUAUUGACUGGAAAAGUGAUGUCUGGUUUAGUAAGAGACAAGUAAAUAAGUUUUCCCACCAAAUUUUGAUAUCGUCGUAGAUCUACUAGGGCUUUUUCUCCUUCACCUAGUCUUAAAUUGUACUCCACAGGUCUAUCCACUGGCUUACAGCCACUCAUUCUAGUUUCCUUCAAUAAAUCAAGGAUGUAUUUCCUUUGUGAGACAACUAUACCUUUCUUGGAACGAGCAACUUCCAUUCCAAGAAAGUAUUUCAAGGCACCUAAGUCCUUGAUUUCAAAAUCAGUGGCUAGACUUUGCUUCAAUCUAUCCAUUUUAACUAAAUCAUCUCCAGUAUGAAUAAUGUCACCCACAUACACUAUAAGCACAGUGAUUUUACAUUUAGCUGAAACUCUAGUGAACGUUGUAUGAUCAGUCUGACUUUGUCUGUAACCUUGUCUAUUCACAGCCAUAGUAAAUUUCUCAAACCAAGCCCUAGGCGAUUGUUUGAGACCAUGCAAGGACUUUUGCAAUUUGCACACAUUUGACCCAAAAUUUUCAAAGAAACCAGGAGGAGGAUCCAUGUAUACUUCCUCUUUUAAAUCCCCGUUGAGAAACACAUUUUUCACAUCCAACUAUUGUAAUGGCCAAUUUAGGUUUGUAGUGAUAGACAAGAGAACUCGUACAGUGUUUAACUUUGCUACUGGUGCAAAGGUCUCUGAAUAGUCAAUCCCAUAAGUUUGCGUAAGCCCCUUUGCCACUAGGCGAGCCUUGUAUCUCUCAAGUGAACCAUCUGAAUUGUAUUUGACAGUAAAUACCCACUUGCAGCCAAUUGUCGACUUUCCUUUAAGCAAAUUGACCACCUUCCAAGUCUGAUUCUUCUCAAGAGCAUUCAUCUCUUCAAGGAUAGCUGCCUUCCAUUAGGUACACUUAGAGCAUCCUGCACAUUCUUUGGAAUUUCUACACUAGAAAGUUGUGAGGUAAAUGCAUAGAAAGAAGGUGAUAGGUUGUGAUAUGAAACAAAAUUAGACAAUGAGUAUUUGGCACAACUUCUAGUACCUUUCCUAAGAGCAUAGGCAUGUCCAGAUCACUAAGAACCUGAGAAUUUGAAUUUAACUCACUAGAAGGAUUAGAAUUUGAAUUUAACUCACAAGGAGGAUUAGAAUCAGAAUUACCUGAGGAAGAAGAAGUUUGAUCUGACCUUGGAUUGGAAGAGUAGAAGAGGAUAUAAGAGGUCUAAUUUUGUUUGUGAGAGACCAUUUCCGGGUUGGAAAACAUUCUCCAACCCAGUGGAACUCAAUGAAUUCUUGUGGUCCAAUUAGCCAUAAUGGAUUUGGCAAUGCAGGAAUCUCAUGGGGCUGGGAGAAACAAGUUUUGUAAGCAGUUAGGUAUAUAAUAUAGUUAGUAUAGGUAGUCUGGUUUAUCAUUAAGUUCAUUUAUUGCCCUGUGUCGCAAGUAUAUAAUACAGAUGAAACCAAUUUGAGGAAGUACUGGUCGUGUUUGCAUCAUGUUUAGUUUGUUUAGUAGACCCAUCCAAGGUUUUGAAAAUUGUUUGAUGUAUUGGAAGAUGGGCAUUGUUGUAGUGCUGGGUAUCUAUGUUGACUUUGUUCGCUGGCUUGGAAGUCUUGAAAGAGUUGAGAGGAUCAACCCUCAUCAAGAUGAUUGAGGUUUUCGGAUGAGUCUGGAAAGUUUGAUGUGUUACAUAAUUUUGAUCAAACAAUAAUGUGAGGUUCUCUUUCAGUAAUUCCCAUAUUCUCUUUACUGCUUAGGAGUUAUUACGUUGAUGAAGUUUAUUAGCUGUGUUGCAUGUAGGUCAGCAUACACAAAUAAUGUUGGUGCAAGAAUCAAAUAACAUUGGUAUAAAAUCAAAUAAUAUUGGGCAGCAUAGAGGUGAAAUGAAUAUCACACAGACACACACAGUUUCAAAAGCGUGUAGGUUUUUUUGGUCUUUUAUCUAAAAUUGAAUACUACUUAUUAUCACCAAUUUAAAUGCAUCAGGUUAUUUUUUCUUUCCACCUUCAGAUUUAUUUUUUUUUUGACAACUUUCCACCGUGAGAUUAAUUGUGAGAAAUUUGCAUUAAUAGAGAAAGUAGAAACGAUUUGAUUUUUAUCUGGAAAAAAAAAAGAAUCAAACUGAAUGUCAUAAUUUUAUUUAUGAAAGAUAAUCUUAUCAAUUUAUAUAAUAAUUGAUACGCAUAUAAAGUUUUGUCCCUUUUUUUUAUUAAAUAUUAUUUAAGCAAAAAAAUCAUAAACAAUUUCGUUUAAGAGGAAAAAAAACACAAAUUAUGUAGUUUUAUAUCAUCAAAUAAUGUAAUUUUUUUUAAAGUCUAGCUCAAUGGCAACUAAAUCUAUUCUCCACCCUUAUGAGCCAAGUAAACAAAAGCUCUUGUUUGUAAUUAAAUUUGUAUAUUUUUUAGGGAUUAAUUAUUUGCUUACAAAUGUUAAAAAAAAUGAAAUGCUUAUAUAGGGUUAAAUACAAAGUUAAAAUUUCAAAUGACGUGUUAUUAUCAAUGACUGACAUGUAUUAAGUAAUAUUUGACGUUUUAUACUAUUAUUAAUGAGAUAAUUUAAUAGGAUUGAUGAGAAUGAUUCCUCAUCGUUAAUGAAUAAACAAUAUAUUAAAUACCACAUGAUUCGAAAUACAAAUUAUAUUUUAAAAAAAAUCUUUGUAAGCAUAUAUUACUCCUUUUUUAACAACUGAAAUCAGUUUUUUUUUUUUUUUACAACAGAGAAGAAAAAUCAUCCAAAAUAAUAUACUAAAUUAGCACAAUUGGGACAAUUAAUCAUCUCUAUGGAAUGUCUAAAAUAUACUAAAUCUUAAGUUACACACUCAUUUGACGUCAUUUUUUUUAUCUUUUUUUUUUCCCUCAAAGUCACCAUCCGAUAUUUUAAGGCAACUUUCAAUUUGGUAUAUCAAAAUUAUUUAGGGGCCAGUUUAAUAUAAAUUGACGAAUUAUUUCUUUAUUUAUGAAAGUAUUUAAGGAACUUUAAUGUUGUUAUCAAUUUUCCAUCGUAUACUUUAUUGUUAAAAGAUUUCGUAUUGGAUAUACUUUAAUCCAAACAUAGCUUUCGAAACUAAACAAAUGGAGUUUACUAACUUAAUUCCCUGUUUGUCUUGAGUAUUCGUUUAAAUUACUAAUCAAUUGUAACUAAACAAAUGGAAUAUAAUUAAUUAAUCAACUAAUCGCCACAUUAACCACUCUUUAAUUUAUAUAAUACUGUUUAAAUCUCGGAAUCUUUGAGUAAAAACUAUGUUGUACAUCAUAAGUUCAAAGUCCACCAUUACAUUAACCUUCCAACCGAUUUGAUAACUACCAUUCGCUAACAUGAUUAAUUUUCUUAUUACUAAAAUUUUUAUUAUCAUAUCUUUCUAUUUUUCGCAUUCAACGAUUGUAUGGCGUGAUGCAUGUGGAAUUCUUUUUCGUUGGGACUCAAAUCAUCCACCGUCUGAUCAUUUACCAUUUGAUGUUGGAAUGCUUGGGUGGCCAAUUUUCGUCAUCGAUUUACCGUCAAUUAAUUCGUCACAUUUGUAAAUGAUUUGCACCGACGCAAGCUGCCGAGUCCAAAUGGAUAAAAACACAAGACCGUGUUUGGCAAUUUUUUUAAUGACACGUGGGGUCUGGGCCGCCUGGCCUGCGUGUAUAAAAUAAGAACAAACAAAAAACUUUAAAAAAAAAAAAGAAGAAAAAGAAAAGAAAGGAAUUAUUGUGCCUAUUUUGCAGUCUUGUUCGAGGUGGAAUAAAGCAACAUCGCAACAACAUGGCUGUUAUGGACGUAUCACUAAAGGGACAUUAAAUUAGAUUCUUGUAAAAGUUUUUGACCAACAUUUUCUAUGAAACAAUUUGAUCCCUUAUGAAUCUUAUACAAAAUAUAACUUCAAAUUAUUUAAAUGGAUGAUCAUUAGACCAAUCAUUUUAAACAUUUGAUAAUAUUUUUUACCUUGUUCUUUUUAUGAGCAUAGUUUUUUUUUUUUUUUAAGAAACGAUUAUCAAUAUCCUAGUCUAUUGCUAAACUGCUUAAAGUGUAGAAACUGCUCGAGUAUCAAUUUUUUUUUUUUUGUAAACUAAGUUUUAUCCAAAUAUGAUUUCUUUAUCCAAAUACAAUCAUAUUUGUCGGUGAAAUGAUUAUUAUUAUUUAUUUUAAUUUAAAAGAAGCAUCUAAUACAAAAAUAAUCGAUUAUCAAGUAAAGGACAAGAAUAGUGUAGAAACCACCAAUAAAAAGCCAAUAUUUUUAGCUCACGUGGCUUGUGCACGUAAGCAAAAAGUUCCAUGAUGAAUAUUUCGUGAUUUCUAAGUUCUCGUGCCCUGCACGUCAAAUUUAUUGCCGUCACGGGCAACUAGUUUAGUGCCAUUUGGCACUUAAUUACAAGCUCGCUUCUCCUUUAACCAUAUUGUUUGAUUGCAUGUACAAAAAAUAUAAUAAGAAACUUUUUUUUUUUGCAUUAUUUUUGAAUGAAUGUAUUGAUUUCUCUCCUUUAUUAAAGGCUUUGUCUUAGAAUAUAAAAUACGCGGGAGGUUGCCAUCUUGCUUUAAUUAUAUGGUCAAGACUUGAGGGUGCACGAUGGACCUACCCGAUCAAUCAAUCGAUCAAUCUCAAUGGCGCUAAGACCACAUAUUUUACACGUGACAGAGUGAGUGUUCACACACUUCUCUUUAGGCAUUUUCUCUCGAAAUAGCCCAAUCCAAAUCUAAGAAUCAAGCACCAGGACAUAAGCAGAGAGCUCUAGGGCCAAGGCCUCAGAGGGGUUGGCAAAAGUCGAAAAGUAGACGGAAUGUGUUUCUAGUAGUAUGAAGCAUAUGAUAUAGUAGUAGUAAUUGACAAGAAUAUUAACUACCAUUAGCUCCCUAUCAGGAUCUAUAUGAGUUAAUCUAUAAACAUACACACAGAAAAGCCGAUAAUGCAAUACUGCAACCUUUCUCAUUGCUUUGUUAAGUAUCAGAGAGAAGGAUUGCCGGCUGCAGCUUUAAACCCCUCAGGCCGUGGUGAGAAAAAUUCCUUCCCCAGUCUUUAACAGUAGAUGAAUGAGACCUGUUUAUGGUAUGAUAAUGAGUCAAUGUUAUGGAAGAGGCGCGAGUCUGAACUGCAAUCACCAGUGUUGGUUCCCAUGUUCAGAGCCCAGAAUUUAUGAUCAAACUUUAUUGCUUCAUAUCUUCCAUAUCUUCAUCAGAGGCAGGAUUUUCAACCUCACUCCCGCCACUUAAGUCAUCGUCGUUGCCUAAAGGUGAAAACUUGUCACUCGUGGUGUUCUUAUGAAAAUGACACUUAAACGGCAGAGCAACCAUGCUUGAUGAAUGGAAAACGGCAGAGCACUUUCAAUAAAUGAAAAACAUUUAUUUGAGGAAAAAUAAUUCAAUUGUGUGAGAGAGACCAGUUACGUAGGCAGUUGCCCACCGAGACUGUUAGUUGGUCAUGUUUGAAAUUUGACACUAGAGUUGUCUGUCAACUACGUCUUCACUUCACUUGAGCUUUCGAAGUUAAUGCCACGUGGACAUGAAUAAGAAUAAUAAUAAUAAUAAUGAGGAGUCUACUUCGUGGUUAUUAGAGUUAUGCCUUUGCUUUUCCUGCACCUUAGGGAUAUGGGACUAACUAUGAACACCUGGAUGGAGCAUAGGUAGGUAUGUGCAAAAUCCUGGAAUAUCACUUCUAGGAAGACGUCCAAAUCUUGAUCACUUGUUGGAACAGGUAGGGAUGCAAAUGGCUUUUCAAAUUGUCAUUUUUGUUAAUGUAGGUCCUAGAUUCAUGGUUUUCUUAAGAUUUUAUAUCAUCUUAGCUUUAUGCAUUUAAUGACCAUUUAAUGAGGAAUAAGGUUUAUUAUAUCCCCUAAUUAAUUGUGUUAAGAUUAUUAUUUAUAAAGUUGACAUCUUACGGCAAGUUUAGUAAAUUAAAAUUUUAUUUACUGAAUAUUAUGUAAUAGGGUUUAAUUUAUUAAAUUCCUAACUAAUUUAGUGAAAUUCAAUUUAUUCAGAAUAUUGUUUUCUAAUUUAAUUAGAUGUUUAAUUUAGCAAGUCAAUUAGUGACAUGAUUUUAUAAUUGGUGCAUAGGAUUUAUUUAGAGGAAGAAGUUGGUUUAAACAGAAAGUUCAUUAAAUACUCUAGAUAUUUCUUAGGAGACAAGCAAGGCAAGCAUAUCAUAUUUAUUUCUAUUUAGAUUUAUAGGAAUUAUAAGAGAAAAGAAAUUCUUAUUUGGAAAAAAUCCUAGUCUUUUAACUACAGUUUUAAUAAAUUUUUUCACAAAAUUUUUUCACAUCAGCUUCAUACUCAUCAAACAAUAUAUCAUAUUUAAGCCAAGAUUUAUCCACUUUUUGUUUAGUACUUGACAUAUAAUUGAAACACAUUUCAACAUAAUGUACUAAUAGGCAGCAAUGAUAAACGGUUUCCAUUAUCAAUAAAUUAAGAAACAAAGCAUUAUUAAUAUUCAGUUUAUAAAUUUAAUGAAAUAAUUAAAUUAAAAACAAAAACUUGUCAUCAUGUGCAACAAAUAUAACUUCACCAACGUGCUAUCAUCGUUUACCAAAACCUCUAACUAACAAUACCCACUAAUAAUAUCCUAAAUAAUUGAGCCCACAUACAUUUAACAUUUAUUUAAAAAAAAAAUUCUAACAAUCUGGUAUUUCAUAGACCACAAGACUAUAUAUAUAUAUAUAUAUAAGCAACUAAACAUUCCUUGGUCCACAUGACCAAACUUGCCCCCACAAGGUACCAUUUCUUUCAAACAUAAAAAAAACAAUUGAAAAAGGAGCCUCACUUUUUAACUCAAUAAAAUACACUAGAAAGUAUUAUCAGUUACCAAAUCUAACUCACAAUCAUUCAAAAAAUGUCAACACCAUUGGACCUUAGUUUUGGAUCCAUCCCAAUAAAACACACUAGUCAAUGACAAAGUGCUAUAUCAUCAAGCAAAAUCAGUUCACAAACAUGCAAGCUUUGACUGAAAAAUUACAAAAUAUAACAACAUUCAGACAAACCAUUGCCAACAAUCAUUUUUUAAACAUUGAAUGGAAAGGCAGUAAAGAAUUGAACAAACCUGAUGUCAGAAAUCGAAUUCGAAAGGGAACAAAACAGUGAAAUCCUGCAAUUCAUAAUUAAAUGAUUGAGCAAUUUCUAGAUUUAAUAAAAGGAUAAAGUAUAAGCUUCUUGAAUUAAAAAAAUAAAAAAAUAACAAAAGAAACAAACAAGAAUUUUAAAAAAUAAUAAUAAAGAUAAACCAUUCAUGAUAGAAAUCCCAAAAAAAAGGCAUAAAUUAUGAACAAAUAAGGGAGAUAACAAAAAAACUGACAAUUAAUUUUAUAAUGCCCAACUAGUUUAUUCAAAACAAAAAAUAAAAAAGCUAAUUGACAAUAAGCCUAGGGAUUCAGCAAUUACAAGGAUGGCUUCUCCAUCGCCAAUUAAACAAUGCAAAGAAUAGUGACAACGACCGCUUCAACAGUGGACGUGUUGAUCGAAGGAGCAACAAUGAGCAUAUAUGAUGAUUUUGUGCCUAAAAAAUUAUAAUAAAGUGGUUGCUUCAAUAGCAUAUACGAUCAUUUUGGUUUCCAUGCAAUGGAUUUCAAAACCAAUUUGUAGAUUAAAGUAGGGCUUGUUAAUUCUGGAUUUUGAGGGGUUUCAAUGCUUAGGUUUCUUAGCCCUUGCCGAUGGAGUGAUGAAGUCAAAGGAGCUGAAGUGUUUAUUAACACCUAGAAUAUCACUACCACAAAAUUGGUCUUUUACAACGGUUUUAAAACCGUCAUUGUCAUCUUAGGCACUGACAUUAAAGAGGGUAUGUUUUUAAUUACGGUUCACUAACCAUCAUUAAAUGUAUAUUUUUAAUAACAAUUAUUUUUUAAAAUAGUCAUUAUUUAUAGUAAUUAUAUAUGUUUUGAUGACUGUUCUUUCAUAUAACUGUCAUUAAAUGUGCCAUUUUAAUGACGGUUUAUUAUAAGAACCGUCAUUAUAUAUAUGUUUUUAAUGACGGUUUAUUGUAAGAACUGUCAUUAUAUAUAUAUAUAUAUCUUUAAUGACGGUUUAUUAUAAGAACCGUCAUUAAUUAUUGAACAACAUUUUAUGACGGUUUUUAAAAAAAAAACUGUCAUCUUUGUUUCUGAACACUACAUUUGAUGACGGUUCUUUUGAAAUAACCGUCACCUUUGUUAUUUAUUAUUAAAAAAAAUAAAUGGGAAAUUUCAUACUAUUUCAAGCCCCAUUUUAAUUCUAAUUUCAUAUUAAAUUCUUUACAAUUAUUUUUCCAGAAACAAAAGGAUGCAAAUGUUUCAUAUACAAAGAGAUAGCUUUACAAAAAUUCUCACAACUAUUUAAUAUCCACUAAUGACUGCACUAGCAACCAACAAGAUUGGCAUGCGUGAGACAUCUAAUUUCUCGUCAAGUCUUCAAUUGCAAACAAGUCUCACCAGCGUCAGCAAUCUACGUUAUUCUUACAAAGGAUAAAGAGAAAUUAAGAUAUAUUCAUAUAUUAUAAAUCAUAAAUAUUAAAUCAUUUUAGUGACUUAAGUUGUAAAACAAGACUUUAAAGUACCAAAUCACUAUUAAUUAAUAGACUUACCUAAGUAAGUUUACCAAAUCCUUCUGACUUCUUCCUCAUAACGACCGUCAUCACCCAAAAGUGAGUUUCAUGCAGGCAUUGUACAUUUACCAGCUGAAUUUGUAAAUGAAAUAGGGAACUUUUGUCUGGUUAGUGAUUAAGGGGACUCAACUUGAAAGAAAUAUUCCAAAGCCAAGUUAAAAGAUUGUUUUGUGUACAAGUAAAUUGGACUAAUUGUCAUACUAAUUAAAAAAAAGUGAUUAACUGUCAUACAACUAUAGGAAACUAACACAAUAAAGUUUGUCCAAUACUAUGGAAAUGGUACCACUGCAAUAUGGCAGAAAAAGAAAAAAAAAACUUCUGCAUUAACAGGACAAAAUAAAUGAUAGUUCAAGCAGGUCUUUCAACAAAUACCUUCAAGAUGUUUUUGAUUUGCAUCAAAAAUUACAAAUGCAACCAAGAAACCGAUUCCCUAAAUCACAGUUAGAUAUGAAAAUAUGAAAUUAAAAGUAACUAAAUACUUAAUCACAGGGAACUAACUAAUCGAAGCGGUGGAAUUAAAGCAAUCGUAUAAAAACUUCAGCCAACAAAGAAUGCAAAUAUAUUAUCAAACAACAAAGACUCACAUGGUAGAGUGUUUUCUUCAGCGAGUGAUGGCAAGGCUAGGGUUUAUCUAGUUCGAUGGUGAUUGAUGGAGAAGGCUUUAAUUUCAAGCCUUUAAGGAUUGGGUUUUCUUCGACGGCAACGAUUUGGAUAUGGGUUAGAGUUUUCAUGGGUAAGAGGGGUAUAGUGUUGACUCCGGCGUAGUAAAGAGCGAGCAUGAGAGAGAGGGGUUGUUGGUGCUGGCCUGCUGUUGCCUGUGCAUAAGAGCGUGCGUGAGAGAGAGCGGCUACUAGUGGCCUGGUGCUGCCAUGCUCGACUGCUGCUGCACGGGCUCAGUUUGCCAACGGCGUGCGUGCUACUGAGAGAGAGGGUCUGCGUGCGCGUGUGCUAUUAGUGUUUACAAAUUAUCUGUAAUUUUAGUGAUUUGUUGUUUGUAUAGGGUGGGGUUUUUUUUUUUUUUUUUUAAAUAUAUCAAUGACGGUUCUAUAAUAACCGUCAUUAAUUUGGAUAUAUAAUGACGGUUGAUUUAUUAAACCGUCAUUAAAAUUAUUCACUUUCACAUUAAAAUUUAAAGUAUUUUAUCUACAUAUAUAAUGACCGUUAUAUAUAACAACAGAUAUUAAAAAUUAUCACUUUUAAUGACGGUUUUUUAAGAACCGUCGUUAAAUAUAGUCAUUUUCAAUUAAUUUUUUUCAAAACCAUCACCAAAAUUAAAACUAUUUUUAAGUAUGUAUAUAAUGACCGUUUCAUGUAAAAACCAUCAUUACAAAUUAACACUAUUUUAAUUACACAUAUAAUGACCGCUGUAUAUAAAAAGAGUCAUUAAAAAUUAAGACUAUUUUAAUUAUUUAACUAUACAUAUAAUGACCGUUGUAUAUAAAAACCGUCAUUAAAAAUUGUCAUUUUUAAUGACAGUUCAUUUAUUAAAACUGUCAAUAAAAUUAAGACUAUUUUUAACUACACAUAUAAUGACUGUUGUAUAUAAGAACCGUAAUUAAAAAUGGUCACUUUUAAAGACGGUUUUUAUAAAUGAACCGUCAUUAAAAUUAAGUGUAGAUUUUGUUUGACAUUUAAUGAUGGUCCUAUUACAUAACGGUCAUCAUAAGUGCUACAAAUUAUAACUGUUUGCAUAAUAACCGUCAUAACUUAUGGGUCAUUCUUUUAUAUUUUUGUAGUAGUGAAUUUUCUUGUAGUUUAAAGUCUAUAGUAAACGACAUCGUUUAGAAGUUAAAUAAAUAUUUUUAUUUUUAAAAUUUUUUAAAUUAUGAAAAAUCAACAUAUGGUGCCGUUUCAUGCCCAAAUUGAUCUAUCCUAAACUCACCGUUUCAUUAAAUAUUACUAUGCUAUCAUAUUUCUAUGAUAUAUAAAAACUCUAUCACAAUUUGUCAUGCCUUUAUGAUGUAUGAAAAUUCUGUCAUGUGUCUAUCAUAUUCUUGUGAUAAAUAACUAAUUUUCUAAUAUCUAUCACAAAAAUUCUGUCAUUUUAGCCCAUUAUUCUAGUAGUGAUAUUUAUCCAACUGGACUACAAAGUAAUUGAAAUUAAUUGUAACACCUAUGGACAAAACUUGGACCCAGUGUUAUUUUAUAAUCAAAAUUGAAACCUAUAAUUACAGUAAACUUGAAUCUGAAUCAAAUGGGCAAAUGGGGACAAAUGCCUUCUCUAGGCUCUAACCAUGAAACAAUAAUCAAAUCGUCAGACUUCUAAAAUAAGCCAAUGACACAUUACUCACAAACCCAUCUAUUAACAUCUUCAAAGCUUUGGCACUGAAACUUAAAAGAGAGAUUUGUGUUAAAUAGCAUUGAAAGUAAACACAACAGCAAUUAUAUAUAGCAAAGAUUAGUGGGAAAAAAGAUGUAUUAAAAUUGUUCUUGACUCCCAAUUCUGCCCGAAUAAAAUAAAUGAGCAUAACAAGCAACCGGACCACAGAGAAAGAUAUCUCCAACACCAUAAGCGGUGGCUUCUGAAAAUGCAUUCUGGUUGCAGCUCUAGUUCUUCUCACGGUACAAGUAUGCGUACUCAUGGUAACAGCAAAUCCAAAUGCAGCAAGAAGGAUGCUCCUCUUCCCAAUCAACAAAAAAGUAUCGUCAUUCAUUAUGUGAAAAAUUUUAAGAUCAGAAAUUGGAGGCCAAUUGUGUUCGGAACUCUGAUAUUUUACUUCGAUCUAUGCAAAACCAAAAAUGAAAAUGAAUACUCGAGCAAUAUUCAAAUAUCGAAAGAGCAUAUUUUCAUAAUUAAGUGAGGAAAAAAAUUUUCAGUAUCAAUUAUCAUCAACGGGUUCUUGAUGUUAAGAAUAAGCAUUAAAAUGAGCUGUUCAGGUCGUCUGAUGAAUCAGCAAGCUGUUAAGAAGGCUGUUGCUUUGCUUAAGAAGCCUCUGGACAUGUAUAUAUAAAUCCCUGUAAUCUCUUGUUACAAGCGGCCGAGGUCACGCUCAUGAUUUUGUUGCUUAUAGAAGCUCCUGGACAUAAACCCCCGUAAUCUCAGUUCAUUUUGUAGCUUAAUGAAAUGAAUUUGGCUCACUAUUCUUCUAUCAAAACUUUUAGUAUUUUCCCUUCACCGCAAACAAAUACAGCAACAUCUUUUAACUCUUGAAAUCUUCCAGCUCCGGUGCAAGCCUCAGUCACAAUGUAUUCACUCGAUGGCACAUCUUCACCCCGACUUUUCGGUAAAGUGAAUUAAAGCUUUCAGAACGACGCAUAAAACUUUAAAUUGUUCCUGUAACACACAGAAAGUCUUUAGUUCGGUAUAGUAAAUUCAAUUUCUUAUAAUCUCAUUAAUAUACUUUUUGAAUUUUAUUGUGAUCUUCAUUAGGCGUCAAUUUUUAUUUUUCAUUUAAAAAAAAAAGCACUUUCGGAGUCAUUGUAACAUCUUUUUCUGUGUAAAUAUCUUUUUCUUUUAAUUUAAAAUUAGAUAUAUCAAACUUAUUCAUCGGGGUUUUGUUACAUUUCCCUUAUUUUCAAUAAUUAAUUUGUUAUCUAAUUGGUCAAUAAAUUUGCUUCUUGUUUGUCCCGUACACUAAUAUAGAUGCUGUUUAUUUCUUAGGUUUUGAGAUAGGAAUGACGAAGGACAGAUGCAGGGGCACCGUUUUAAGUUAACCAAAGUUAAAGAUGAUUCGAACCCAUAGUUGUUGCAUAAAAACAUUUGUUAUCUUUACUUUUGUUGUCAAAAUUAUUAUUAUUAUAAUUUUUUUAAUGGUAGAAGUAGAACCUAAUCCCCCACAAUUAUCAUUUAAUAACAUGUUAAUUACCAAACACUAUUAUUUUUUUAUUCAUACCUAGUAGUGAUUUAAAUUUGAAAAGCGACAAAACCAGAAACCAGUUUUUAAUAUAUAAUAAACCAGUUAAUAUUUUUAUUUUUUGAGGAGAAAUGUAAGGAUCCUACAAAAAAAAAAAACCACCAACAUUACAAUGACAGAAUUAGAAACGAAAAUCACCACAACAUUAUAAUUGCAUUCAAUUUCUACGUCUCCUCCUCCUCCUCGUUGCCUUUUGCUGCGUUCCCAACUUCUCCAGAAUCCAUCCGAUAAUUCCUGUGCUGAAGUUGAACCCGAGAACCAAUCCUGCCACAAGUCCGCCAGCGUAGCCAAUCAGAAUGAUUUUCCAAUCAGAUGCGCCUGAAAACAGAGACUCCUCUGAGCCCUCAGUAUGAUCUUCAUUUGCUGGAGCUUUAUUACUCUCACAUCCUUUGGACAAAGGCCUUCCACACAAUCCUGAGUUGCCGUCGAAAGAAGUAUUGUCAAAUGUAGCAAAUUGCUUUCCUUGUGGUAUCAGUCCUGUAAGGUGAUUGUCCGAGACAUUGAAGAAUUCGAGAAAUGUGAGCUAGUUGUUGAGGAAUCUGUCCUGAAAACUUGUUGUUUGAGAGAUCCAAUGAUUCCAAAUUUGUUAGAUUGCCCAAACAUGACGGAAUAUGGCCCUGGAGAUUAUUGUUCUGGAGGUUUAGAACUUGAAGUCCCUUUAAAUUUGCAAUCGAUGCUGGAAUCGCCCCAUCAAAACUAUUGUUUGAGAGAAUAAUUCCCGCUAGGAUAUCCGGAAUCUUGUUAUAUGUCAUCAUUCGCCCUUUUCUGUUCAUUGUCAUUGACUAGUCGUAAGUGCUAAGUAUAUCAUUGGACGUUUGUCCAUUUGGAGAAAGCACAUCUUGCAGAUAUCUUAGCUCACUUGUAUUGACAAUUUUCAUGGCAUUCCAACACAGGAAACUCUUUGAUGGAAGCGUUCCAGUAAAUCUGUUGUUAGAUAGGUCAAUAAUGCGGAGUUUAGAAAAUCCACAAUCAGUUCUGGGUUCUUUUAUAAUGCCAUAAAAUAUGUUAGAUCGUAGGAUGAGAACAUUCAAGUUUGGAAGAGUUCCUAACCAAGAGGGAAAAGUGUCACUAAUCUGGUUGUUCCCAAGACCAAGAAAUUCCAACUUUGAACAGUUGAUCAAUGAUCUUGGAAUUCUUCCUUGAAAUAGAUUAUGGCUUAAAUCAAUCACGCCUAAUCUACUUUCUUUAAUGAAAGUAUUUGGGACGGUCCCAAAGAAGUUGUUCCCCUGCAAGUCGAGCACUGAAAGUUCAUCACUGAAAUUGCCUAAACACUGAGGAAGCAAGCCACUUAAGUUAUUGUGAGACAAAACAAGGCUUUCAAGAAUAUUCAAAUUGCAUAUCCAUGAUGGAAUUUCCCCUGUUAAGUUAUUGUUUGAAGCUAGAUAGUGAAUGGUUCCGGGGGGUGGAACUGGGAAUGGUCCUUGUAAAUUAUUAGAGCUAAGAUCAAAAGUCAGCAAAUCACCUUUAUUCCCGGGAAGAACAACAGGAUACUGAUCAAACCUCGUUAACAAGUUAUGCGAAAUGUUCAAGGCAUUGAGAUUCUGCAUAUUGGGGUCUAACAACCAUUUAGGUACUUUUUCCUGAAUUCUAUUGUUAGAAAGAUCCAUGAACCGCAAAUGAUGUUGGUUUUGCAAGAAAUUAGGAAAUUUAGUAAGAUUGCAUGAACGCAGUCCUAUAUACUUAAGUUUCUGUGAAGUGGUAUCAGAAGUGGCUUUGGUGAGCACUGACAACCUAUUUAAUGAGAGACCUAAAAAUUCCAAAUUUUUCCAGCUAGUAAGUAAAACAUCUAACUCUAUCAUUCCUCUAUAAGAAUUUUGAGCAAGGUCAAGGGCGGUAAGUUGGGAAAGAUUCCUAAGUGAAGAUGUAAUUUGACCUGAAAAAUUACACUUAGCGACAUUUAUUGCUUCCAAUGAUCUAAGAUUUCCAAUGGGACCAAGUAGGUCACCUGAAAAAUUAUUCGAUCCAAGAUGCAAAUAUUGUAGCUGGGUGAAAUUACCAAUCGAAUGUGGAACUUUGCCCCAAAAACUAGAUGACCUCAGAUCAAAUAACUUCAAAGAACUAAAAUUUCCAGUGGACCAUGGAAACUCACCCGAAAAAUUAUUGAAUGAAAGGUCAAGUUUUUCCAAAGAAAAAAAUUUCGAAUGGAAGUAGGCAACUCACCAAAAUAUCCAUUUUGUGAAAGGUCAAGUUCUUUCAAAGAACCAAGAUUUCCCAUGGAAAUAGGCAAUUCACCAAAAAAUCUAUUUUGUGAAAGGUCAAGUUCUUUCAAAGAACUAAGAUUUCCAAUGGAAAUAGGCCACUCACUCGACAAAAUAUUUGCAGAGAGAUCAAGUUCUUCCAAUGAAUGAAGUUUACCAACGGAAACAGGUAGCUUACCCUGUAAUUCAUUUAGUGAAAGGUCUAAAUGAAAGAGCUUGGAUAGAUUACCGAGUGAGGAUGGAAUUCUUCCUCAAAUUUGUUAAAAAAGAAAAAAGAAAAAAGAACACUCGAGAUGGACAAACUUGGAAAGGCUGCUGCUAGAGUUGAUAGAACCAAAAAGGCAGCUAUGGGAGAGGUCAAGCUUGAUGACAUGACCAGUGUUCUUAUUGCAAUGAACUCCGUCCCAAGAGCAGCAAUCAACGUUACCUUCUUCUGGCUUCCAUGAUGCCAUUGUAGGACGACAGUCAAAUUUUGAAGCAUAAAAAUCAUUACUGAUGCGGCUUUCUUUGAAUUGCAACAAAGCAGAGCGCUCAUCAUCAUGGCAGAGUGGCGGCAUAGAAGAAGCAGUGAAGUUAGCAAUUGUAAAAUUAAAGAAAAAGAAAGGAAAAACUAACCGUAUGAAUAUUGUGAAUAAACAUAUGGAGGAUAAACCCAUAGUUUUCUCAAAAAUUAAAUUUGUUUAACUUUGUAGAUGUGAAGAAAUUUAAGGAUCUUGGUUUGCUUUUAUAGGCAAAUUGCAGCAAUUCAAACAUUUUAGUCAUUGGACUCUUUUUUUAUUUUUUUUAAGUCAACAAAAGUUAGUCUUAAUAAUAUUUAUUUUUUAUUAUUUGAUAUGAUGUCCCACAAAAAAAAAUUGAUUUAAUGUGUUAUUAACAAUCUAUCCAGAAAAAACAAUUCUUUAAUAGGAUCUAUCGAACUUGACCUAUGUUUAUAUUUCCUUUCAUUUUCUAUAAUUUCAUUUUCUGCAUUAAUUUGCUUCUUUUUGUUUUUUUUUCUCCUUUCCCCGCUUGUAUUUCCCUUCACGGCCAGUUGCGUAUCCUGCAUACUCGAGUUUAUGUGAUUGGCUUGAUGACUUUUCACUACAACUCAAAAAAAAAUUGAACCCAAAAAAGAAAACAAUUUUUUAAAAUAUAACACAGAUAAUAAUGGUGAGAGUAAUUUAGGUCAAUUCAAAAUCGCUAAUUUGGAGUCAGAUUCAUGUAUUAAUUGUAUCAUAAGUUACCAUCUCUGUGUCUAUGGCGUGGCAGAGGCUCACGGAAACUCCAGACUAGUGAGUCUAUCGUUACUGAAAAAUGCAUGAAUGGCAUGGAUGCAAAAGUAAAAAAAUUUGGAACUGAUGAUUAAGCCAUUAGCUAACAAUAAUUAACUUCUGAAGAGGCAACGUCCCACCCAAAAAAAAAAAAGAAAAAAAAAUGAUUUAAUGUGUUAUUAACAAUCUAUCCAGAAAAAAAAAAAAAUUAUUCAAUAGGAUCUAUCGAACUUGACCUGCGUUUAUAUUUCCUUUCAUUUUCUAUAAUUUUUCAUCUAAUGGGUCAAUGAAUUAAUUUGCUUCUUUUUUCUUUUUUUUCCUCCUUUCCCCACUUGUAUUUCCCUUCACGGCCCGUUGAGUAUUCUGCAUACUCGAGGGUAUGUCAUUGUCUUGAUGACUUUUCACUACAACUCUAAAAUUUUCCUCCCCAUGGCAUGUUGAUAUUAACUCCAAAUUAGCAAUAUUAUCACUGUCACUCUUCUUUGUAAACUACGCACUCGUUGGUUGAGUGAUGACACCUCCUCAACUUAAUUAUUCUCAGGGUCAAGAAUUUGAGUUUUACUCCUAGAUUUCUUAGCCGAUCUGCCAAUGCGCCAAUUUGUAAUGAGCUUUAGCUGAUGGUUUCUGAGAUGGGCUCUAAUUAGUGCACCUAAAAUGCAACAAAUAUCUCACGUUAACAACCCAAAGUUCCAUAAUAUCAUGCAAAAUCAUUCUAGAAGUUAAAAUUAGGUGUUAAUCCGAUACAAACACCAGAAAAAUUAAUGAAAUUUGGAUUUACUAAAAUUGCAUGAUUUAUUAAUUUAGAUCAAUUAAAAAUAUUUCAUUUUAUAGUGUCGGAUUCCCUAUAAGUCGUCAUAAAUCAUUAUCCAGACGAUCAAGGCCGGCGGAUAAAGACUCAAGACUAGAAUUAGAAGUCUUCGAGUAUCAAUCAUAUGUCGUGUCAGAAAAUUCUUUCUUAGUUCAAGCCAACUAAAGUUGAAUUCGCCAUAUCAUUAUAAUGGAUGUUAAUAUUGCUAACUUGGAGUCAAAAGUCAUGCGUUGAUUACAUUUGUAUUGUCUGAAUGACUAGGACGUGGCAAAGGCUCAUGGAAUAGAUCUGCUUCUUUUUUCUCCUUUCCCCACUACCACCAGUUCACUUAACUUUUCCUUCACGGCAUGCUGAAUGAGAUCUUCUACUCCAUCAGNNNNNNNNNNNNNNNNNNNNNNNNNNNNNNNNNNNNNNNNNNNNNNNNNNNNNNNNNNNNNNNNNNNNNNNNNNNNNNNNNNNNNNNNNNNNNNNNNNNNNNNNNNNNNNNNNNNNNNNNNNNNNNNNNNNNNNNNNNNNNNNNNNNNNNNNNNNNNNNNNNNNNNNNNNNNNNNNNNNNNNNNNNUUAAAUUGUCAAAAAGACUUGAAUGUUCUUAUCCUAAAAUAAGUUCCAUUAAAACAGUCAUAAUAUUUAUGGCAUGGUCCUACUUAAACCAGUAAAAUCUCUUGAACUAAUUUAAAGGUUCAAUCCUGCUCACAUGAGUAAGGAGAGGAUAGGGUAUUUGUUUAAAUUUUAUUGUAUUGAAUUUCGCACUUUCAAUACUUCUACGUAGUUAUUACGAUUUCAUCAAGUUUACGAUGUUAAUGAUCAAACAGUACACUUUCUAAACUAACUAAAAUAGUACCUAGCUAGCUAAUUAGAUAACGGAUUAAUGGAAUAGAUGUGGAUGUCUAGUUUUAGAGUUUGAUUUUUUUUUUAAAAUUAAUCAAAGAAAACAUAUUUUUAAUUUUGGGUUAUUGUACUAUUAAUUAAUAAUUUAAUUAAAAAAAUUUAUUUAUUUGCUUUCAUUCUAGUUGUUGAAAAUGCCUUUAAUAGGGGUUGGUUCAAUAUUUGGUUAGACUCUGAUUUCAUGCCGGCGAUCCAACUCCUUCUCUUCAUCCCUCUUUGACCAUUUGCAAUGUACUUGCAUUGCAAAUGUCUGUAGUCAAACUUGGGUCUUCAAUGUACUCACAUCCCUUGGUAGGAUUUCUCUCCUUCAAAGAUUAACGCUCUUUCUUCUCGAGAUGCAAAUGGCUUUUCAAAUUGUCAUUUUUGUUAAUAUAGGUCCUACAUUCAUGGUUUUCCUUAAGAUUUUAUAUCAUCUUAGCUUUAUGCAUUUAAAGAGUGAGAUUUUAUAUCACCUUAGCUUUAUGCAUUUAAUGAGGGAUAGGGUUUACUAUAUCCCCUAAUUAAUUGUGUUAAGUCUAUUUUUUAUAGAGUUGACAUCUUAUGGCAAGUUUGGUAAAUUGAAAUUUUAUUUACUGAAUUUCAUGUAAUAGUGAAAUGGCCCGCCCCGAACCCCAGGGUGAGUCUAUUUAAUCUCAUCAAAACUGGAUUGAUAAUAAUCUAAUUAGUGAAAAUUCUGUCGAAAAUUCGGCAAAGUCUCCUUUAUAAAUAUAACACUCCCAAUCUGAAAAUAUGUAAAACAAGCACUUCCAAAAUAAUUCAAUUUAUAAUAAACUCCAAUGAUCAACAUCCUCAACCAAAAUGCUGAGUGUUUCUCAAGAUAUCUCUAGAGUCUCAAAGGAUAAUAUUAUAAUUAAUAUUAAUAUACCUCAGUUUAUUCUUAAUCCCAAAAGAACAAGAUAACCAGGAUGUCCUAACAAAAAGCAUCUAUAUCUUCUAACACCAUCACGUGGCCAAGACUCAAAAUACUUCUGAAGAGGCAACGUCCCACCAAAAAAAAAAAAAUUUUGAUUUAAUGUGUUACUAACAAUCUAUCCAGGGAAAAAAAAAUUCUUUAAUAGGAUCUAUCGAACUUGACCUGUGUUUAUAUUUCCUUUCAUUUUCCAUAAUUUGUCAUCUAAUGGGUCAAUGAAUUAAUUUGCUUCUUUUUUUGUUCUCCUUUCCCCACUUGUAUUUCCCUUCACGGCCAGUUGACUAUUCUGCAUACUCGAGUGUGUGUCAUUGUCUUGAUGACUUUUCACUACAACUCUAAAAUUAUCACUGUUACUCUUCUUUGUAAACUACGCACUCGAUGGUUGAGCGAUGACGCCUCCACAACUUAAUUAUUCUUAGCCGAGCUGCCAAUGCGCCAAUUUGUAAUGAGCUUUAGCUGAUGGUUUCUGAGAUGGGCUCUAAUUAGUGCACCUAAAAUGUAACAAAUAUCUCACGUUAACAACCCAAAAUUCCAUAAUUUCAUGCAAAAUCAUUCUAGAAGUUAAAAUUAGGUGUUAAUCCGACACAAACACCAGAAAUAUUAAUGAAAUUUGGAUUUACUAAAAUUGGCAUGAUUUUUUAAUUUAGAUCAAUUAAACAUAUUUUUAAUUUUUAUAGUGUCGGAUUCACUAUAAGUCGUCAUAAAUCAUUAUCAACAGACGUUCAAGGCCCGCGGAUAAAGACUCAAGACUAGAAUUAGAAGUCUUCCAGUAUCAAUCAGUCUUAGGUGAUGGCAAGCUCGAUUUCAGUCAAGUGGUUUAGGUCUUUGCAUGUUCUAUGCAUAUGUCGUGUCAGAAAAUUCUUUCUUAGUUCUAAGCCAACUAAAGUUGAAUUCGCCAUAUCAUUAUAAUGGAUGUUAAUGUUGCUAACUUGGAGUCAAAGUCAUGCGUUGAUUGCAUUUGUAUUGUCUAUAUGACUAGGACGUGGCAAAGGCUCAUGGAAUAAAUCUGCUUCUUUUUUCUCCUUUCCGCACUACCACCAGUUGACUUAACUUUUCCUUCACGGCAUGCUGAAUGAGAUCUUCUACUCCAUCAGUGCAUUUAGGAUUCGAUUUCUAAUUUGUCCGAAGUCUCUGCAUUUUCUUGAACUCUCUACUCUUCCUCGUGUAAUUAAGGAGGAUUAAAGUAAAAGAAAAGGGUAGAACCAGAUAUUCCUAUUUGUUGCACUAACUAUCAGAUUUCCAUAUUAUAGUAAUUAUUGGCCAAAAACAUAAUUUUUUAUUUAAAUUGUCAAAAAGACUUGAAUGUUCUCAUCCUAAAAUAAGUUCCGUUAAAACAAUCAUAAUAGUUAUGGAAUGUUUAUAACUAGAAUGAAUGCUCCUACUUAAACUAGUAAAAUCUCUUGAACUAAUUUAAAGGUUCAAUCCUGCUCACAUGAGUAAGGAGAGGAGAGGGGAUUUGUUUAAAUUUUAUUGUAUUGAAUUUCGCACUUUCAAUACUUCUACGUAGUUAUUACGAUUUUAUCAAGUUUACGAUGCUAAUGAUCAAACAGUACACUUUCUAAACUAACUAAAAUAGUACCUAGCUAGCUAAUUAGAUAACGGAUUAAUGGAAUAGAUGUGGAUGUCUAAUUUUUGAGUUUGAAUUUUUUUUAAAAAUUAAUCAAAGAAAACAUAUUUUUAAUUUUGAGUUAUUGUACUAUUAACUAAUAAUUUAAUUGAAAAUUUAUUUAUUUGCUAUCAUUCUAGUUGUUGAAAAUGCCUUUAAUAGGGGUUGGUUCAAUAUUUGGUUGGAGUCUCCGAUUUCAUGGUGGCGGUCCAACUCCUUCUCUUCAUCCCUCUUUGACCAUUUGCAAUGUACUUGCAUUGCAAAUUUCUGUAGUCAAACUUGGGUCUUCAAUGUAGUCACAUCCCUUGGUAGGAUUUCUCUCCUUCAAAGAUUAACGCACUUUCUUCUCGAGAUGCAAAUGGCUUUUCAAAUUGUCAUUUUUUUUAACGUGGGUCCUACAUUCACUAUUAGAAAAAUGGGCUACCAUGACAGAAUUUUUAUGAUAAAUAUUAGAAAAUUAGUCAUUUAUCACAAGAAUGUGAUAGACACAUGAAAGAAUUUUCAUACAUCAUAAAGCCAUGUCAGAUUUGUGAUAGAGUUUUUAUAUAUCAGAUAAACAUGAUAGCAUAUAAAUAUUUAAUCAAACCGUGAGUUUCAGAUGGAAUUAAUUUGGGCAUGAAACGACACCGUUUAACAGAUUUAAAAAAUUUUAAAAAUAAAAAUAUUUAUUUAAUAUUUAAACGCUAUCAUUUAACUAUAUUGACUAAACCACAAAAAAAUUAAGUGUUGGCACCUUUGACUUAUCACUUCAUCAGCAAGGGCUGAGAAACCAAAGCAGUGAAACCCCUCAAAAUCUAAAAUUAACCUAUUUUAAUCUACAAAUUGGUUUUGAAACCCAUUGCAUGGAAACCAAAAUCAUAGUAUAUGCUAUUGAAGGAGCCUUCGUGUCCUUAUUUUAAACCCCCAUUAUUUUGAACCGAUUGGUUUUAGGCACAAAAUCACCACACACGCUCAUUGCUGCGCCUUCGCGUCCAUUAUUGAAGCCGUCGGUGUCACUACUUCUUUGUAUUGUUCAAUCGGCGUUAGAGAAGCCAUCCUGUAAUUGUUUAAUCCCUAGGUUUGUCAUCAAUUAACUUUUUUAAUUUUUAUUCUGAAUAAAUCAAUUGGCCAUUAUAAAAUUAAUUGUUAGUUUUGUUGUUAUCUCCCUUAUUUGUUCAUAAUUUAUGCCCUUUGUUUUGGGAGUUAUAUUAUGAAUGGUUUAUGUUUAUUAUUUAUUUAUUUUAAUUCUUGUUUGUUUCUGUUGUUAUAUAUAUAUUUUUAGUUCAAGAAGCUUAUACUUUGUCCUUUUAUUAAAUCUAGAAAUUGCUCAAUCAUUUAAUUUAGCAUGUCCUCUUCUUUUUUAACAAAAUUUUUUUGUUCUGAAUCGCAAGAUCUCACUGCCCUGUUCGCUUUCAAACUCGAUUUCUAACAUCACGUUUGUUCAAUUUUUUACUUGCCUUUCCGUUCAAUGUUUAAAAAAUGUUUGCUGGUAAUGGUUUGUUUGUUAUAUUCUAUAAUUUUUCAGUCAAAGCUUGCAUGUGUGUGAAGUGAUUUUGGUUGAUGAUAUAGCACUUUUCAUUUACUAGUGUCUUUUAUUAGGAUGAAGCUGAAACUGUGGUCCAAUGGUGUUGGCAUUUUUUUUAAUGAUUGUGAGCCAGAUUUUGUGUAUUUUAUUGAGUUACAAAGUAAGGCCCCCUUUUUCAAUUGUCUUUUUUAUGUUUGAAGGAAGUGGUACCAUGUGGGGGCAAGUUUGGUCAUGUGGACCAAGUAAUGUUUAGUUGCUUAUCUAUAUAUAGUCUUGUGGUCCAUGAAAUGCUGGAUUGUUAGAAUUUUUUUUAAAAUAAAUGUUAAAUGUAUAUAGGCCAAGUUAUUUAGGAUAUUAUUAGUUGGGUAUGGUUAGUCGGUGAUUUUGGUAAAUGAUGAUAGCAUGUUGGUAAAUGAUGAUAGCACAUGAUGACAAGUUUUGUUUUAAACUUAUUUAUUUUAUUAAAUUUAUAAACUGAAUAUUAAUAAUGUUUUGUUGCUUAAUUUAUUGAUAAUGAAAACCGUUUAUCAUUGUUGCCCAUUAGUACAUUAUGUUGAAAUUUAUCUCAAUUAUAUGUCAGGCACUAGACAAAAUAUGGAUAAAUCUUGGCUUAAAUAUGAUAGAUUGUCCGAUGAGUAUAAGGCUAGUGUGGAAAAAUUUAUUAAGACCACAGUUGAAAGUAAUCAAGAAAUUAGUGUUGUUAGGUGUCCAUGUGAUAAAUGUCGGAAUUUAGCAUUUCAUAGGCCUAAAGAAGUGAAAGAUUAUUUAAUUAUAUGGGGUUUUGUUACGUCAUACAAAACAUGGGUUUGGCAUGGGGAAGAUAUCUGUAACAAAUCUCUUGACAAUAUAGGUUGCCAAAAUGACAGUGGAUAUAUGGAUUAUGAUGGUGGUAAUAUUGUUGAAAUGGUUGAAGAUGCUUUUAAGGAUUGUGAUAGUGAUCCUAAAGCAUUCAAAAAACUAUUAGAAGAUUCUGAAAAGCCUUUGUACCUUGGAUUAAACAAAUUUACCCAGUUAUCAGCUUUAGUUAAAUUGUACAAUAUAAAGGGCAGAUAUGGGUGGUCUAAUAGUAGCUUUUCAGAUUUGUCGAGUGCUCUUUCUAACAUGUUACCGGAAGGAAAUGAAUUGCUUGUAUCAAUGUAUGAGGCCAAAAAGACAAUGAGUGCUUUAGGCUUAGAGUUAUAAAAAUUCAUGCUUGUGCAAAUGAUUGUAUACUCUAUAGAAAAGAGUAUGAAAGCCUUUCUAAUUGUCCUACAUGCUGCUUAUAGGAAGGAGGUUCCUGCAAAAGUGUUAUGGUAUUUCCCUUUUAUACCUAGAUUUAGGUGUAUGUUUCAGUCCUCACAAACUGCCAAAGACUUGACUUGACAUGUAAAUGAGAGGGAAAUAGAUAUUAAGCUUCGACAUCCAAUUGACUCACCCGCAUGGAAGUUAGUUGAUGAAAAAUUGCCUACCUUUGCAUUAGAGCCUAGAAAUCUACGUCUUGCCCUAUCAGCUGAUGGCAUUAAUCCUCAUAGCUCUCUUAGUAGUACGUAUAGUUGCUGGCCGAUUCUUCUUGUAACAUACAAUCUUUGAAACAACCCGCCCCGAACCCCCGGGGAUGAGUCUAUCUAAUCUCGCCUAAACGAAUUAAUAAUAAUUAUAAUAUCUAAGAAUUCUACCAAAAAUCUAGCAAAGUCUCAUAUAUAAUUAUGACAUCCCCAAACUUGCAAUUUAUAAAAUUAAACCUGCAAUUUAUAAAAUUAACGCUCCCAAAAAUGAUACAAUAUUCAAUCAACCUCCACAACCAACUUCCUCAAUCAAACACCAAUAUUCUUCAAACAUAUAAUGUCAAGAAUACAAUAAUUUAUCCUUAAUCACAAAUAAAUAAUAAAUUAUACAAUUCAAAAUAUCCCAACAAAACAUCUAUGAUUCCUAACACCAUCAUGUAGUCAUAAUUUCAAAUCUAACUAUCGUUGCUGGGUCGACUGAUGUACCUGCAAAUCUCCUGUGGGGGGAAAAAAUAUAAUAAAAACGGGAUGAAUAUAAAACUCAGUGAGCUCAGUGAGUGGAUAGUAAUUUUUGAAAAAAUAAAUUUAUUUAAAAUGAUUUAAUCUUUCCCAAAUCAAUUUCAUCAAAAAUAUCAUAAGAACUUACAUAAACUUAUUUAAUUCAAAUCAUGCACUGAAAUAACAAUAUUACAUAAAUAUGCGUAAAAUCAAUGAAAUCAUAAUACUUAUGAUAUCAAAUACUGAAUACCAAAAACUAUCACCAAACAAGUACCCAGGAGAAUAAUCUCAUCAUAUUCGGACCUCGACGGACGGGCAAUCAGGGAACCAUCAUGCCUCGGAGUUACAACAGAUAGACGGGGAAAUGUCAUAUCAUAUCUCAUAUAUCUCAUUAUAUCUGUGCAUGCAUAAUCUGGUCCCUAAAUGACAAGGCACCCAAGCACACGGCCCAAAGUCUCUGUGUGUAUUCAGACGGGCCCUAAAGGCCUAUAUCUCAUCUGUAUCAUCAUAUCUCGUCUGUAUCAUCAUAUCUCGUCUGUAUCAUCAUAUCUCAUUUGUAUCAUCUGUAACUCAAUAUUUGUAUCUCUGUAAUCACCAUACUGCAUGCAUAUUCCCCCAAAAGGCAAAAGCGCCCAAACACACGGCCCAAAGCCUCUAUGUGUGUUCAGACGGGCCCCAAAGGCCUCUCAUCUAAUAUCAUAUGUAUCACUGUAUCUGGAGGCGAUGGGUACUGUCCAAUGAUUUUCUAAACAACCUUUUACACACAUGUACAUAAACAUAUAAUCACAUCUGAAUUCGCAUUACCUUUUUAUUCAACAUACUCAAUUCCACUCAAUUCUCUUUAAAACUAUUAUCAUGAAUUUACUCAAAAGCGAUAAUAAAAUCAUUAAUCAAACUCAUUCUUAAUAAUAAUAAAUAUCAGCACGCAGAAAAAAAUCCAUUUUCUAGAAAAUCAUUAAAUCGAAGCAUCAAAUACUUAUUAUCAAAACAUGUUGUAUUGUAUAGUAAAAUCAUAAUAUACUAUAAAAAUAGGUUUUAUAUAUUCCACUCAGAGUGAUGACGUCCAAACUCGGUAUUAACAAUAUUCAUGGGUUGAUUCUCGUGCGCGGGUCCUCCUAAUCAAGAAAAUGACAUAAUCAUUCUCUAUAAAUUUGAAAUAUAACUAAUUUUACAUAAUAAUUCUCGAAACAAAUAUCUAACCACAAUAAACUAUUCCCGCAUGCACAAAAUUACCAAAAUACCCCUAUAUGCCAAAAUUACCAAAAUACCCCUAACAUCAUUAUUUUACAAAAUUAUCCUCAGAAUCUUCAAUUACCAAACUAUCCUCAAUUCAGAUCACAAAAAUAACCACAAUGUCAGAAAAUUACAAAAUUACGUUGGAGUGUAAAAUUACCAAAAUACCCAACAACGUAAAUUAUUGAAUUACCCCCAAAAUCUCAAAUUACCUAAUUGUCCUAGUCCGAAAUUACAAAAUUAUCCACCGAUUCCAAAAAUUACAAAUUUAUCCUCGAAGUUUAUGAAAUUACUGAAUUACCCCCAUCGGUCCACGGUGACCGGAGUUCAGUCAACGCGACGUGAAGCUCAGGUCUAAUAGUUUUGACCACGCUGAGUCCAAUGGUGGUGGCUGUGAGUUCCCACGCACGGUGACAGUGGCGGAUCGAGCUUCCCAAUCUGCGAGCUUUCUGGUGGUCGAUCGGUGGAAUUUCGACCGUUUCAGGAGGCGAGGUUGGUCGGAAAAUGAUAAGGGUUAGGUGAGGAUCAAGAUCCAGGCAGUGGCAUCACCCAAAAUUGGCGGAGUUAACGGUGACGAAAACGGGUUGAGCUGCGGGUUUUCCGAGCUUGAUCACCGGUGUUCUCGUUGUUUUCCAACGACGAGGAAGGUAAGGGUAUGACCAGUGUCUCACAAGCUUUCUAUCCGUACCUUGCUCGGCCGGUGAGGUGGCCAAAAAUGGAAGUUACGAUAGGGUCAGGGUUGCGGGUUUCGGGUCGAAUUCGGGUCAAAAUCGGGUCUAUCUCUCUCCCGCGCCCUCUCACAUCUUUCCUUUUUUUGAAACCGGCUCCCUUCUUUCAAUUUAUAGAAACUAGCUUUUUUUUUUAACUUACUUCGAAUUAAGCCAAUGUCAAACCCGUGUUGAAAUAAAAUCCGACUACACAACCAUUGAAUCGUGUUUGAAAUGUCUCAAUUUUAUGUUGUGACAAAUUUAAAUUUAUUCAAAACACGAUCCAUUUAUUAGCUCGACCCGAAUCCAUUAAUUCAUGGUAAGAAAUCGACCCGCGUCAAGUUUGCUCGUAAUAAUUUGUAGCCAAUCUGAUGACUUUAAAAUUAAUACUAAAAUGAAAAACACAUAAUACACUUAACUAGGAAAAAUUAAGGUGCAUAUAUUAUAAUCCUCCCCCGUAUAAAAAUUUUGUCCUCGAAAUUUACACAUCUGAUGAGAACAGGUGAGGGUAUUGGGCUCGCAUUAAGUCUUCGCGUUCCGAAGUAGCCUCUUCCCUUGUGUGAUUCCUCCACAACACUUUUAAGUUGUAUAUUCUCAUUAGUAUUCUAAACCAAUUCGGGACCAAAAAGCUUUCGCUCACCAACCUCAUCCCAACAUACGGGAGUUCUAUAUUUUUUGCCAUGCAAAGCCUCAUAAGGUGCCAUCUCGAUACUAGCUUGAUAACUGUUAUUAUAAGUAAACUCCAUCAAGGGUAAAUAAAUGUCCCAACUACCCUUAAAUUCCAAAACACAAGCUCGUAACAUAUCCUCCAGGGUUUGAAUAGUACGCUCUGACUGACCAUCAGUCUGUGGAUGAAAAGUUGUCCUAAAAUUCAGCUUGGUGCUUAAUGCCUUUUGCAAGCUUGUCCAGAACUUAGAAGUGAACUGGGAAUCUCUAUCUGAAACAAUAGACACAGGUGCUCCGUAAAGCUGAACCAUCUCGGCCACAAAAAUAUUCCCUAACUUGUCCAUCGAAUAGGUGGUCUUGAAUGGUAAAAAGUGAGCAGAUUUUGUAAGUCGAUCAAAAACCACCCAAACACUAUCAUGACCACCUUGGGUACAUGGAAGUCCCGCUACAAAAUCCAUGGUGAUGUGCUCCCACUUCGACUCAAGGAUCGGAAGCGGUUGCAAAAACCCUGCAGGUCUCUGAUGUUCAGCCUUAAUCUGCUUACAAACUAAACACCAAAAUACAAAUUCUGCUAUCUCUCUCUUCAUAACUUGCCAUCGGUAAUGAUCCCUCAAGGUACGAUAUAUCUUCGUACUACCAGGAUGCAUUGUGUAAGCUGAAUAAUGAGCUUCUUCCAUGAUCUCCUUUUUCAGCUCCUUAAUAUUGGGUACACAAAGUCGAUUACCCAUAACUAAAACUCCAUCAUCUCUCACUACAAAAUCAGUUCGUAAGCCUUUCAGUACAUCCUCUCUUAACUUUAAUAAUUGUAUAUCCUGAUCUUGCAUCUGAUGUACUUUGUCAAUCAAAGUCGGCCUAACUCAAAAAUUAGCUAUCAAAGCUCUGCAAUUUUCAAUAUCCAACUCAACUCCCAAAGAUCUCAGCUCGAUCAAUAAAGGCAUAUAUGUCACUCACAAGUGAGCUAUAGAGCUGGAAGACUUCCUACUUAGCGCAUCAGCUACCACAUUCUCUUUGCCCGGAUGAUAAUCAAUAGUGCAAUCAUAGUCUUUAAUUAGCACAAUCCAUCUCCUCUACCUCAAAUUUAACUCUUUUAGAGUAAACAAAUACUUUAAUCUCUUGUGAUCAGUGAAAAUCUGGCAUGUUGCCCCGUAUAAAUAAUGCCUUCAUAUCUUGAGUGCAAAUACCACUGCUGCCAGCUCUAAAUCAUGAGUUGGGUAGUUUUGUUCAUGCUUUUUAAGUUGUCUAGAAGCAUAAGCCACUACUUUCCCAUAUUGCAUUAGCACACAACCCAAUCCUUGCCUGGAUGCAUCACUGUAUACUACAAACCCUUCAUUACCAGAAGGAAGUGUAAGAACUGGUGCUGAAGUAAGACCUGUCUUGAGUUCUUGAAAACUCUUUUCACAGUCAUCAUCCCACUGGAACUUAGCAUUUUUUUCUAGUUAAUCGUGUCAGAGGAGUAGCAAUCUUAGAGAAUCCCUUGUGCAAAUUUUAUUGAACUCGCAAGUGCACGAAUCUAUUGUAGAAUAUAGUAAUGGUGACGAGUGUCGAUCCCACGAGGAUGUGGAUUUUAAUUAUGUGUAAAAUUAAUUUUCUAAGUGGGUGGUUGGAUUUGUGGUGAAAAUGAUUUGGAAUAUUCUAAAAUUUAAAUUAGAAUGGCGGGAAUAAAUUAAAGCGAAGUCUAUUGAAAUGAAACACUUGGGUAUCUGGAUCUACAUCAACAUGUACCAUGAGCUAAAUAUUCCUUAUUAAUGUCAAUUAAAUCAUAAGGGGGGUUUUCACUUCUCAUGAACCACACUCUAAUCAAUAUGGUUCUAAGGGCUUAUCAUGCCAAAUAGUAAUAACCUUGCACUAGGGAGCCAGUUAUACCAGUGCGGUAUCUAGACAAGAUUAUUACUAUCUGUCGACGAAAAGUCAAAACAUCCACAUAAAUUAGAGGGGAAGAGAAAUAAAUUUACCAAAUCAAACCCAUGGAAUAUAUUGAGACUUCACCUUCAACCCAAGCUUGAAAGAAAAUUAGCUACUCAUAAUUGAAUUAGGGGUAAAAUGAGAAUUUAUUAAAAUACGUAGAAAAUACAAGAUGAAGAAGGAAUUAUAGAAAAUGGAGUUAAAAAAUGAAUUUAGGGGUCUCAAAUUAGGGGGGAGCCCCCUUUUUAUAGAUACACUGAGUAAAUCAUGGCCAUCGGAUUAAAAAUAAUUUGGACGCUCAGAAUUGCGCCACGUGUCAACAGUACGCGGUUUGACCAUGCGGUUUGAAUAGUGACGCGGUGUGAACAGUGAGGCGGCUUGAAUAGUGACACAGUUUAGUUAUAAAUAAUUUCGUGUAUAUGCAUGUACCGUACGCACGAUUUUUGGUCCACUAACAUACUGCCAUGUCACCGAAACAGUACAUAAAAAUUUUAGUCCAAUAGGAUCGUGACACCUCAUCAGUUAAUGUCACGUCAUCGAUCAAUGCCACGUCAUAGUUCCGUAUAUGUGAACAGUGUCGUAAACAGUAAUAUGGACAGUUUCGUACAUGUAAAUAGUGCCAUUUUUUUCUUUUAUGCUCCUCCUAAGAUUUUCGACUGUCCUGAGUUCAAAAGUGUUGUCCGUUUUACUGUCUGAUCUCUCGUUCAUUGUGAAAUGACCAUGAUGCCCCUAAAAUACAUAAAAUACUUAAUUAUAAUACAACACACAUAAUUAAAUCACAAGAGACUUAAAUACAUAAAAGUAGGGAUAUUAGUGAAAUUUGGAGUGUAAAUGACGAUUUUCUCCUAUAUAAAUAUAUAUUUUCUAACACUCAACACACCCCCCAACCAGCUUAUUGCUAGUCCCUAGUAAUUAAAGUGAAAACAAAAUUCAAACCCAAAAUGAUUUUUUUUUAAAAAACUCAUAUUUAUUGAAUCAGACUAAUGAUAGCAAUCAAAUAAAAGUAUAAGCAUUAUCUUUAGUAUAAAGGAAUAUCACUCCCACAUCAACCAUCCACAUGAAUCAGUCAAGUAGACUUUGUCACAGCUACUUUCAAGAAUGAUAUGUGAAACCCCAAAAUCUCAUUGGAAGUAGUGACACUCUCACAAGGAAAUUAAACCCAAUAAAAAUAGUCACUCCAAUGAAUGUUAAAUUUGAGAGAAAAUAAUAAAGAAGUAAUAUCACACGCUCUCACCAAGAUAAAAGAAAUAUGCCCACAACUUAGAAAUAAUACGAUCUUAAGUCAAAUAAAAUGCUAGUCAACCCAAUUUUUUUUUUUAAUGCACCACUACAUCUUUUUAGCUCAUAUAACUAGCUUCUACUUCAGACUAUAGAUCCCUAAAAUAAAGAAGGGCUUUUAUUAGGAUGUAACGUAGUAUAGGAACAUGGUUAACAAAAGAGGGGAAAUAAGGAAAACAAAAUAUAUGUUUGAGAAAAAGUAGAGAGCUUUUGGAAAUUACAAAGUGCAUUUCGCUUAUUUAUUAUUAUUGUUAUUUUUUUCUUUUUCUCUCUUUUUUUUUUGAAACAAAAUUUUUUUGUUUUGUUUUGUCUUUUGUAUGGCACAACUUCACUGAACAAAAUAGUUAUUUACAUUGUUCUCAAACAUAAAUAGGUGAUGAAACUUGUAAGAUAUCAGGUAAUACUCUAAAUCAGAGAUGGUCAAGAGGAUAAGUUGACAAAGAAAUUUUUUUUUUUUUAAUAUAUAUGAAAGGCUCAAAAGGGUUAACUAUGGAUAUUUCACAAAAGGGAUGACUAGAAAAGCUCAAACGGGUCAAAGAUGACCUUUUUAUCAUCUUUUAGGGCUCUAAAUAAUCUUCCAUAUCUACUAGUUAGAUGGACCUUCAGAUGUAGCGACACAUUUUUUUUUCUCUUUUUUUUUUAGAGGAUUGACUCAAAAGAAAUCUAGAGAUCGUGUACAAAAUAAUAAACUGCUAAGCUGUAUGAGGAAUGGGCAAAAAUGGUUACUCUCCAAAAAAAAUGACAGGCUAAAAAAUUCACUUAGUUUUCAUUAUGACAUGUACAUUCCUUCAAGCAACUCAUAUUUGUCUCCGACAUCAACAUGUAGAGUAGCAAACAUGGCGUAACAUCACUUAAGACCAAAGAUAAUACAAAUACUAAAAUUUGAAAGUCAUCAUGUCAUCCAAUGUUAAAAAAAAUCACACAAUUUUUUUUUUUUUUAGGUUCAAACGACAUUCUACCCCCCAACCUAUUCUAAACAUGAAAAUAAAAUAUGCAUGUAGAAAGGUGAAAAUGAUGCAGAAAAACUAAUUAGAAAGGUUACACUUAAAAUGAUAGAAAAAGGAAAUGUUUGAAAUUUUUUUUUUACCUAAGAAGAUGUGUUUCUAGAGUCAUUACACUCAAUAUUCAGCCAUCUUCAAAUCAAAAAUUUGAAAGUAUAUAUUUAUAAAUGAGAAAUUAGAAAAAAGAAGUUAGAAAAAAUUGAUUGUCAAAGCUUAAUAAAGAAAAUGUUUGGAUUUUUUAUUUUUAUUUUUACUUCCAAACCAAGAAGAUGUGUUUCUAGAGUCAUUACACUCCAUAUUCAGCCAUCUUUAACACAAAAAGUUAGUCACGGUUAGUCUCUACAACAAAAAAAAUAAGUAAAAACUUAACCAAGAUUCCACAAUUGUCAACUAUUCCCUCCCCCCAACCAGAAUGAAACAUUGUCCUCAAUGUUUUAAAGGAAAGAAGUAGAGUUUAGAAGACAUUACCUGGGUGGUGCAACACAUAAGAAAAUAUUUACAAGCGGAGAGUUAAAUCUAAUUUACACUUCUUACUGCUGCUACUGUUCCCAUCAUUAUUUGGACACUCCAACACCAAGGUCCUGGGAUCUGGGUCUGGUUGAUAAGCUUGUAACAGAUCAAGUAGCUCAUUAGCAGUAUGAACACAAAUAAAAACGUUUUUCGCUGUGGAAUGAAUGAAAUAGUUUUUUAUUGCAUGGUUAAUAAAUGAGAUGAAGCCAUCAUAAAAAUUAUUGACAUUUAACAAACUAAUCGAUUUUUGGUGAAUGUUCAGAUGGACCCAAGAUGCUAAUGUGAUAAGUGCCUCUAGAGUUGCAAGAUCUCCUGGUAGGAAAAUAAAAGCAUCAAUAUGAUUUAGCAUUUCAUUUAUUCUCUCUUGCAUAACUGAGACUACUAACUCUUCUCCAGUCGGUGAGUCAGACAAACUACGCAAAGGCUUUAAGGCUCUUGGGAUGAUGCCUAACACUUGGCUUCCUCUAACAAAAGCAGCUUCUGAGACCAAUUUUGAUAGCCCUCGGUUACCUCCUCCAUACAAUAAGUGUAAUUUUCUCUCUGUUAUGCUUCGACCAAGAUCUAUGGCUGCCUCAACGAACUCUUUAUGUUUGCCACAGUUAAAUUUAGAAAGCACACAAAUAUUUUUGAAUUGCUUAUUGGGAGUAGCUGCCAUUAGGAUACUUCUAGAAAACAAUGUGUGUGUGCUUAACAAAAAAUCAUUUUUAAAAAUCUUGGUGACAGUGGGUCACAGCUUUGUAUGAGGUAGCAUGUCUGUGUUUAGUAACGCGUAAAGCACAUGGCUCGAGAAUAAAAAAGGAAACAAUAAAAAGGAAAAAAAACAAUGUUAAAAUAAAAUUAUUAAAUACAAUAAUGCAAAUGAUAAAACAACAGUGAAAUAAAACAAUAGUGAAGUAAAAGGAUAUUUACAGGUAGUUGUGACUGUAGCUCACAUCUUCCUCUAGUUUUACGUCUAGAAAUGGCUUGAACGCCCUCUAUGGGUCGAGGAUGGGCUUCCCAUCCAAUUUUCUUAUAAACUGGAAAACAUGGUUAUAAUUAGAUUCCCGAGACUAUAUAGUGCACGCUCUUUCUGGAAUAAUGGCCACAACUGGAGAAUUGCUCCUUGUACAUAUCCACUGGGAUGCGUUUCAAGAGACAAAAGGAUAUCAUCCAAUGAUUAUUUAUUCAAGCCAUCCCUAAUGAAUUGAAUCUUAUAUUCCCUAUUAUUAGACAUCAUUCCUAAAGAACAUCAUUUUUUAUCGCAUCUCAUUCUGGUACACUUAUGACAAGCAACAAAAAGUCUUCGAGCUUUUCGUUUUCUUGUAUUAUUUCCUUUACCACAACCACACAUGUAUGCAAUAAAUUUAGGAGGCAACUCACCUGCCAAUCGUACCUUGGCCUCGAUUAACUAGCGGAUGUCAGCAGGUAUGUUAUUCCUCAUAAGCAAUCGCAUGCGUUCGAACCGAGAUUUAUAGAUUGUAAAGAUUGUGAAGCUUUGCUAAAAUCUUAUUUUUGUCCAUACUUUGCCUUAGAAUAUUAGUUAUUAUGGGAAACUGAAGUAACCGACUUGAUUGUCACGGAGUACUGUUAUUCGCCACUUAACCGGGUAACAAACUAAAGUACACAAACAAAGUAACAAACUAAAACACACAAAGAAAAUUACAAUCAUCCUCUUAUUGAAUUUACCUCAAGCUCCAACUGGAUGUCGAAGAUACCUGCCUCAAUGUCUCUGAGUUGUCUUUCUAAAGCCUCAACAUGAGAUACUAACUCUGGUGGUUGUAGAUCCCAAAUAUGAUGUGUUUUACAAAAUCGAAUCUGGCUUCUGAGAUGAGAUUUUACACAUUCAAGUCGUCUAAGAAGGUCCAAGAGGAUUUGUUUAACUGAGGCACUUAUGCUUAACAAUGAUAAAAUAAAACUUAAUGGUUAAAUAAAUACACUUAUGCAAAAAUAAUUUCAAUUAGCAAAAGAAUAGUAAAAAGAAAGAAAAAAAAAUCAAAUCACCGUAAAGAAAGAAAAAUCUCUAUUCAAAUUUGGUGGGUCACUCAGAUUUAUUUCAGUGUCCUCUCCAUGUUGUUGGUACUCUAGAUAUGCCUUUAAUAUUUGACCAUUAACUUUAAAAGUGACACCGUUCUUUGGAUCCUUAAUUUCAAUUGCUUAAUGUGGAAAAACAGUGUGAAUAAUAAAAUGGCCAGACCAUCGAGAGUGUAACUUACCUUGGAAUAAGUGUAAGCGAGAAUUGAAUAAAAGCACUUUUGACCUGGAGUGAAAGAUUUUCUCAUAAUUUGCUUGUCAUGAAAGACUUUCAUUCGCUGCUUGUAAAUCUUGGCUUUUUCGUAUGCAUCAUUGCGAAUUUCUUCAAGUUCUGCCAGCUGUAAUAUUCUUUCUGAGCUAGCUUGCUACAUGUUAAAGUUGAAUUUCUUGAUGGCCCAGUACGCACGAUGCUCGAGUUCUACAGGUAGGUGGCAAGUUUUUCCAUACACUGGCCUGUAGGGUGACAUCCCAAUCGAGGUCUUGAAAGCCGUUCUAUAUGCCCAUAAUGCAUCAUCGAGUCUUAAUGACCAAUCUUUUCUGUCUGGCUUCACCGUCUUUUCUAAUACGUGUUUUAUUUCUCGAUUAGAGAUCUCAACUUGGCUAUUGGUUUGCCGAUGAUAUGGGGUCGCCACUUUGUGAGUGAUGGAAUAAUUUGUCAAAAGAACUUUGAAUGCUUUGUUACAAAAGUGGGCACCACCAUCACUGAUUAUUGCUCGAGGGAAUCCAAAGCAUGAAACGAUGUUGCUUUUCAAAAAUCCUAUCACCACCUUGUGAUUAUUGGUUCUACAUGGAAUUGCUUCUACUCAUUUUGAUACGUAGUUAACAGCAACCAAUAUGUAUUGAUGGCUAAAAGAAGGGGGAAAGGGUCCCAUGAAGUCGAUACCCCAUACAUUAAAAAUUUCAACCACUAAAAAUGGGUUUAGUGGCAACAUAUUCCUUCGUGUAAUGCUCCCCAUUCGUUGACACCUAUCACAUGAAGAGCAGAAAGUGUAAGCAUAUCGAAAUAUAGUUGGCCAAUAGAAACCACAUUGUAAAACUUUAGUAGUUGUUUUCUUAGCGCUGAAAUGGCCUCCACAAGCUUGUUCAUGAUAGAAUGAAAUUCUUUAUUUCCAUAAAAAAUUUGGCUUUAUCUUGCUUGGUCCAAUGCUCUGGAAGUUGACCUAUAACAAGAUAAUUAACGAUAUCAGAAUACCAUGGUAAUGCUUCCACACUCAUUAAUUAUUCAUCUGGAAGUGAUUUAUUCAAUGGUAAUGGUUCUGUAAUUGUGUUAAAAUUGAGACGAGAGAGAUAGUCAGCCACAACAUUUUCUGUGCCUUUUUUAUCUUUGAAUUCCAAGUCAAAUUCCUGCAAAAGUAACACCCAACGAAUUAGUCUAACUUUUUCAUCUUUCUUUGUGACAAGAUAUUUAAGAGCAACAUGAUCUGUGAAUACAAGUAUUUUACCACCAAUGAGAUAAGAUUGAAAAUUCUCUAAUGCAAACACUACUGUUAAUAUUUCUUUUUCAGUAAUUGAAUAAUUCAACUAUGCAUCAUUCAAUGUCAUACUAGCAUAGUAAAUAAUAUGGGGAUUCGAUCAACUCUGUCCUAAUACUGCUCCUACUACAUAAUCAGAUGCAUCACACAUGAGCUCGAAUGGUAAGCUCCAGUUUGGGGGUUGAAUGAUGGGUGAUGAUAUCAACAAUUGCUUUAGUUUUCUAAAUGCCACAAGACAUGAAUCAUCAAAGAUAAAAUGUACAUCCUUAGCAAGUAGAUUGCAUAAAAGUCUAGAAACUUUGCUAAAAUUCUUAAUGAAACGUCUAUAAAAACCAGCAUGCCCAAGGAAAGAUCUUACUUCUCUAACUGUUUUAGGUGGAGGAAGAAUGGAAAUGAGAUCCACCUUGGCUUUAUCAACCUCAAUACCUUUGUAUGAAAUGAUGUGACCGAGAACAAUACCUUGUUUUACCAUAAAAUGACACUUCUCACAAUUUAAGACCAAGUUUUUCUCUAUACAUCUCUGCAAAACUAGUGUUAGAUGAUGUAAACAUUGAUCGAAUGAAUUACCAAAAAUAGAAAAGUCACCCAUAAAGACUUCAAGGAAUCGUUCAACCAUAUCAGAAAAAAUGCUUAAUAUGCAUCAUUGAAAUGUAGCAGGUGCAUUACAUAAUUCAAAUAGCAUCCUCCUAUAUGCAAAAGUGCCAAAAGGGCACGUGAAAGUGGUCUUCUCUUUAUCUUUUGGUGUUAUAUGAAUCUGAUUAUAUCAUGAGUAGCCAUCUAGAAAGCAAUAAAGUUCAUGGCCUACUAAUCUAUCAAUCAUUUGAUCGAUAAAUGGUAAAAGAAAAUGGUCUUUACAUGUGACAGAAUUCAACUUUCUAUAAUCAAUGCAUACACGCCAUCUUGUAGUCACUCUAGUGGGUAUUAAUUUAUUAUCAGAAUUGGUAACUACUGUGACUUCUGACUUUUUGGAGGACAACUUACACAGGACUGACCCAUGAACUAUUAGAAAUUGGGUAAAUGAUACCUGCAUCUAAUAGCUUAAGGACUUCAGUUCUAACAACUUCCUUCAUGUUAGGGUUCAACCGACGUUGCAUUUCCCUAGUAGGUUUAGCAUUUUCAUCAAGGUGAAUGUAAUGUAUGUAGUCUACUGGGUUUAUACCUUUUAUGUCGGCUAUGGUCCAUCAUAAUGCUCUUUUGUGCUCUUUUAAAACUUCCAACAACUUACCUUUUUGUUCGUCAUUUAGGGAUGAUGAGAUGAUUACUGACAAAGUGUUUUCUUCUCCCAAAAAUGCAUAUUCUAAAGGGUUGGGUAAUUGUUUGAGCUCGAAUUUCGGUGAUGAUUCUAAUGAUGGGUUGAGUUUCUUUUCUGAUGGUGCUAAUUGUUCAACUCUUGACUUCCAUUUAUUAGUAUCUGUUGAUAAAUCUUUUAAUCAAAUGCUAUUGAUGACAAUGUGCAAGUGUACACAACAAGUAAUAAAGUGAUGAAUAUUCAAGAUCAUCUCCAUAGGGAUUGAUGUUACUAGAAAUGUUACAGCAAGCACAAUAGUGCAAUCUAUCUUUAUUCCGGGAUGAACAAAUGUAAAGUUGGUUACUAUUAAAAUUAAUAGUUGUGAGAGAACAAAAUAAAACAAUGCAAUGAUAAAAUAAAUUAAAUAAAAAUGCGUCAAAGAAUCAAAUGAGAAUACGGUAGUUGAAUGAUCAAACUCUCUUUAUGGGCUGACUGUUUUUCACCAAGUUAACACCAGUUGCUACAACAAUUUCUAUAGCACUGGGCAAAAUUUAUUAUGCAUCCUCAGCUGUUGCCUAUUGGAAUCCUCAUAUCCUUAAGUAUCUUAGCAAUGACCAGUUACUAUUCUACCUACGGCAUGACAUUAUGAACAUUCAUUCUCUCCACCCUACAAGGUGAGUACCUAUGUCUAGUUUAUCACAAAUCUUAACUUCAAGUAUGGCCCUUAUGGGAUUCAAGAUAAACUUAAUACAAGAAACUUAAAUUAAGAUCAAGUAUUACUCUAAUAAUAUCCACUAAGACAUGCCAUUUUGCGGCUCUAUCUUAACUUGAACCAUUAAAUGGGUGGUCAACCAAAAUAACAGUUAUAAUAAUAGCUACUAGAGUAAAAUGCUACAGCAAUGAUAUAACAACUCAUAAGAACAGUCAAGAACUCAUUAGAUUGUUUGUCACUCAACUACAAGCAAGUUAAGUUCAUGUUCUUAAAGAGAAAAACAAACAACAACAUAUUGGUCAUGAAAUACAUUAUUUCAGUCAAAGAGUGAAGAAAAGGAUAAGUUGAGAACGGCAAAGAGUGAAUCCAAAUAACUCUGCUAGAUUCUUCAAUGAUGCUGCAUCUGCUCCCUUGAAUUCUGAUCUUCCUCUUCUUUUUCUCUCCAAUUUCUCCAAAUAAUUCCUUGCCGCCGUUUUAUGUGAUGCGCGCCUCCUUUUAUAACUGAAAACUAGAGUAAACAAAAGCUUCGGGCGUACAUGAGUCAAAUUAGAAAACUGCAGAUCGCAAUUCUGCAGCUGACCCGAGCUAAGUUUUCUCCUUCGGUGUUCUAGGAUUGCUACAGCAAUGGUCGCUUCAGUAAUGGCUAUAAUACUGCACUGUUCCCGGUUGUGUUUCACUUCUUUUGUGGCCAUAUUCUUUCUUCUUCUUGCUAGCCUAAUAUCUCAGCAUCCUUUCAUAUAUUAUAAACUUCUGAAAACCUAUAAUUAUGCACAUGUUUUGAGCACAAGUUACUUUAAAUCUAGCAAAACUUAUUAAGACUAAACUAAAAUGGAUGUUUAUGCAAAACAUAACCAAAGUAUAAUAAAAACACAUCAUUUACUCUUUAAGUGGUAUUGAUUUAAGUCUAGAAUUGCCGUAAUAACUCUCUUUUCAUAAAGUUAUCAGUGUCCAUGAAUGGUACUGAGUCAAGUAGGGCGUUGACCUCAUCGACUAAACUGUCAAUAUCAAAAUCCAAACCAAAGUGAAUUAAACAUGUUUGUAAAGGGUCAUCACUAAGGUUUGAAAGAAAAGUAUUAUCAACUAAUGCUUCUAUUAAAUCCACAUCAACAAUUCCAUCAUCUGCAUUGUGAGGUUGUUUGGCAAUGUUGAAGAUGUUUAGCUCCAAAGUCAUGUUGCCAAAGGACAAUUGCAUAUUUCAAGUCCUGCAUUGAAUGUGAGUAUUGACAGUUGCCAAGAAAGGUCGACCUAGGAUAAUGGGGAUGUGCUUCCUUGAAUCCUGGAUUGGUUGAGUGUCAAUUACAAUGAAAUCAACAGGAAAAUAAAACUUCUCUACCUGGAUAAGCACGUCCUCCACAAUACCACAAAGUAUUUUCAUGAACCGAUCUGCAAGCUGUAACACCACUGGAGUUUGGUGUAAUUCUCCCAGUCCAAGUUUUAUAAAUACUGAAUAGGGUAACAGAUUUACACUAGCUCAUAAAUCCAACAAAGCAUUCUUAAUUAUGUGGUUCCCUAUACUACAUGAGAUAGUGAGGGAGCCUGUGUCUUUGUAUUUUAGAGUAAUUUUGUGUUGGAGUAUAGAACUAACGUUUUCUGUUAAAAAGACCUUCUUUUGAACAUGAAUAUUUCUCUUUUUAGUACAAAGGUCUUUAAGAAACUUGGCAUAAAAUGACACUUAUUUUAUAGCAUCAAGUAAAUGGAUGUUAACACUUACUUGUUUGAAGAUUUCAAAAAUCUCACCUGUGGAUUUUCCCUUCUUUCCUUUAGCUAACUUCUGAGGAAAUUGAGCUUUAGGAACGUAUUCUCGCGGGUUGGUUUCUUCUUUCUCCUCCGAUAAUGAGUCUUCAACAUUUACAGGUACAAUUUGAUUUUUUUUUGUCACCAGCAUCUCCACUUUGUUGUUGACUUCUUUUCAUUUUCGCAAGGUCAUGACGGCUUUUACCUCUCUAUUCUGCCAUGGUGAACUGGUACUUGCUUCAUGCACUUCUUUAGGAUUAGGCACUGGUUGACUUGGAAAUUUAUCUUUCUCAACAGUUAUUGCCAGAGUUUGAACUGACAAGGCAAGUUGUCCCACCAUCUUCUCGAGGUUUGAAACUGAUUGGACUGUGAAUUGAAGCCUACUCUCAUUUCAUUUUGUAGUUCAUCAAAGGUGUGGUUCUGUUGCUCAAUCGUGGAGUGAGUAAGAUUCUCAAAAUUUUGGAUUGCAUCCUCCCAUGGUCUGGGUUGAGAGUAGUUCUGGUUAUGAUUGUAUGAUCUAAAUAGUGGCUGAGAGACUUGAGGAACUUGAGGAAUUGGUUGCAUUGGUAGAGCUGGAGCUACUGGUCCAAUCUGUUGGAAUCCCCGGCAACGGCGCCAAAAACUUGUUGUGCAAAUUUUAUUGAACACGCAAGUGCGCAAAUCUAUUGUAGAAUAGAUUAAUGGUGACGAGUGUCAGUCCCACGAGGAUGUUGAUUUUAAUUAUGUCUAAAAUUAAUUUUCUAAGUGGGUGGUUGGAUUUGUGGUGAAAAUGAUUUGGAAUAUUCUAAAAUUUAAAUUAGAAUGGCGGGAAUAAAUUAAAGCGAAAUAUAUUGAAAUGAAGCACUUGGGUGUCUAGAUCUACAUCAACAUGUACCAUGGGCUAAAUAUUCUUUAAUAAUGCCAAUUAAAUCAUGAGGGGGUUUUCCACUCCUCAUGAAUCACACUCUAAUCAAUAUGGUGCUAAGGGCUUAUCAUGCCAAAUAGUAAUAACAUUGCACUAGGAAGCCGGUUAUACCAAUGCGGUAUCUAGAUAAGAUUAUUACUAUCUGUCGACAAAAAGUCAAAACAUCCACAUAAAUUAGAGGGAAAGAGAAAGUAAAUUUACCAAAUAAAGCCCAUGGAACAUGUUAAGACUUCACCUUCAACCCAAGCUUUAAAGGAAAAUUGGCUACUCAUAAUUGAACUAGGAGUAAAAUGGAAAUUUAUUAAAACACGUAGAAAAUACAAGAUGGAGAAGGAAUUACAGAAAAUAGAGCUAAAAAAUGAAUUCAAGGGUCUCAAAUUAGAGGGGGGGGAGCCCUCUUUUUAUAGAUAUACUGAUUAAAUCAUGGCCAUUGGAUUAAAAACAAUUUGGACGCUCAGGAUUGUGCCACGUGUCAACAGUACGCGGUUUGACUACAUGGUUUGAAUAGUGACGCGGCUUGGUUAUAAAUAAUUCCGUGUAUUUGCAUGUAAUGUACGCACGAUUUUUGGUCCACUAACACGCUGCCACGUCACCGAUCAAUAGUAGAUAAGAAUUUUAGUCCAAUAGGAUCGUGACACCUCAUCAGUCAAUGUCACGUCAUCGGUCAAUACCACAUCAUCAUUCCGUAUAUGUGAACAGUGUCGUGAACAGUAACAUGGACAGUACCGUACAUGUGAAUAAUGUCAUAUUUUAUUUUAUGGUCCUCCUAAGAUUUUCGACUGUCUUGAGUUCAAAAGUGAUGUCUGUUUUGCUAUUUGAUCUCUCGUUCAUUGUGAAAUGACCGUGAUGCCCCUAAAAUACAUAAAAUACUUAAUUAUAAUACAACACACAUAAUUAAAUCACAAGAGACUUAAAUACAUAAAAGUAGAGAUGUAAGUGAAACUUGGAGUGUAAAAUGACGAUUUUCUCCUUUAUACAUAUACACUUUCUAACACUCAACAUCCAUCUACAAAUCUACAAUAAUAACCAGCCAAUCCAAGGAAACUCCGAACCUCUGUGACAUUUGUAGGUCGUUCCCAAUUCACAACAACUUCGAUCUUGUGAGGAUCGACAUAAAUUCCUUCAGCUGAUAUCACAUGGCGCAGAAAUACUACUUUAUCCAACCAGAACUCACACUUGUUGAACUUGGCGUACAAUUGCUUUUACCUUAAAGUCUGCAAAACAGUUCGCAAAUGUUCUGCAUGUUCCUCUUGGUUUCGAGAAUACACCAAAAUAUCAUCAAUGAACACAAUCACAAACCUACCCAGAUAAGGGCGAAACACCCUAUUUAUAAGAUCCAUAAAAGCUGCUGGAGCAUUUGUUAACCCAAAUGGCAUCACCAAGAACCCAUAGUGUCCAUAAUGGGUUCUGAAUGUUGUUUUAGGUGCAUCGACCUCUUUAAUUCUAAGCUGAUGAUAUCCCGAGCGCAAAUCAAUCUUAGAAAACACCUUCGCUCCCUGAAGUUGAUCAAACAAGUAAUCAAUAUGCGUAAGUUGAUAUUUAUUACGUACUGUAACUUUAUUCAACUGCCUAUAGUCAAUGCAGAGUCUAAGAGUACAAUUUUUUUUCUUAACAAACAAAGCUGGAGCUCCCCAUGGAGACACACUAGGUCUAAUAAACCCUUUAUCUACCAAUUCUUGCAGUUGAAUCUUAAGUUCCUUUAGUUCAGCUGGAGCCAUCCUAUACGGUGCUAUAGAUAUAGGAGUCGUCCCAAGGACUAAAUCAAUAGAAAACUCAAUCUCUCUGUUAGGUGGCAUCCUUGGAAGUUCAUCUGGAAAUACAUCUGGAAACUCCUGGACUACUGGAAUAUCCUCCAAUCUCGACUCUCGAAUUUCAGUGUUUAUCACAUGUGCAAGAUAAGUUGAGCAACCUUUUCUUAGUAACCGUCUUGCACCAAUGGCCGAUAUGACACAUGAGGGUAAAACGCUACGCUCACAACAAAAUUUCACCUCAGCUUCUCCUGCCUUAUUGAACACAACUUCUUUUUUGGAACAAUCCACAGUAGCAUGGUGAGAUGCAAGCCAAUCCAUGCCCAAAAUGGCAUCGAAAUCUCGAAUAUCUAAAAUAAUUAAAUUUUCUGACACGACUCAAAAGUGUAUUACUCCCAAGUAUAAGAUUGUCUAGUUACAAUAUAACCCAGUGAGUCCGGGGUCGAACCACAGGGAAUUUUAAAAUCUAGUUGUCAAUUUGUUAAACAAAGAAAAUAAAUUGUGGGAAAAUAAAUUAUUUGAAAACAAUUUAAAAAUAUGCUAAGGUUACGGGAUCCACUCUCAGUAUUCAAACUAUAAUUUUAAUACUCUCUCAUUUAUAUUUUGCCUCACUUUUACCAGUUAAUUAUUAUAUCAUUUAAUUCUAUGUGUGUGGAUAAAUAUGGAAUAAAGUACCUAAUGUGCCACACUAUAUUAAUGUGUCAAUAUUGUGUCAAAAUGCCAUACAAAUCCUAAAGAAAUUUAUAAAUUAACAUGACAUAAAAAUAACUAGAAAAGAACAAAAUAAACUUUAAAACUCAUUUGAGAAAAUAAUAAAUUUAAUAGUUUGAAACAUUGAACUUCACCCUUCACCUCAGCUUAAUAAAAUUAGCCACUCAUAUUGAAAGAAAACACAACACUAUUUAUUUGAUAAACUUUUAAAAUAUGUUAUAAGAAAGUUGAUUACAACAAAAGAAGAAAAAGACACAAUUUCUCAGUUGCACUCUAUUCUAUUUCGGCUUAAUGUUGCGGACCGCCCAAUUCGCUAGCCCAAUUGCCCACAAUUUCGGGCUAGAGAGCCAACACAAGGCCAAGAGUGCUAGCUUGGCCCAAUUCCGGAAACUUCUAGGCAACUCUAGCACAUUUGAGCUUGUAAAUACUCUAGAAUUCUUCAUAGAAUUCCAGCACAUGUAAAUAGCUAGGAAAUGGUAGAAUUCUCUAGAAUUUCUAGAGCUUGGCAAGCCUCCCCUAUAAAUAUGGGAUGGCAUUAGGCAUUUGUAUCCAACAAACACUACAACAAGCAUUGUAAUCUCUCUUUGUGCAAUACAAUUUCUCUUAUUCAGCUCCAUUGCUUUCUUCUCUAGUUCGAGAAGCUCUAGGCUUACUUAGCAACAUUCGGAAAAAUUGUCUAAGUGCCGCACAGGUUAGCUGCGCAAAAUACUCAUCUCGUGACAAGUGGUAUCAGAGCUAAGGUUUGCACACACGCAAGUUAGCUCACGAGCAAUGGCCAACCCUUCGAACGUAGCACAAGAGGGUGUUGUUGGUGUGGAUGUUCCACCGGAACCAAGCCGCGGCCGAGAGGGAGAACGCGCCCAAGGCAAGACUCGCAGCAAGUCCAAGGCCCCAUCCGUGGAUGCAUUGGAGCCUCGUGUGACUACUCUCGAAAUCGCUUUGUCCACCGCUCAAGAUAGCCUCGAGGGAUUGGAGGAAAGGGUGGACGGUCUCGAGGGGGAAUACGCCGAGUUCACGGUGGCAACCAAAGCUCUCAUCCAAGAGCAAGCGAACACUCUCCGAGGUGAGUUUCGUUCCUUCCACGAUGAGUUGCUCAAACUUCGUAGUUUUGUUCAGGAUGAACUACGCGCUGUCCGUGCGGAAGUGGAUGAAGUCCGCUCGGAUUGGGCAUGGCACAAGCGCACACUCUCCGCUAGUCCAGCUUCCGCAAACUCGAGUGAUGCACGCCGCAUUGACGUGCCAAAGCCCGACACAUACGAUGGCACACGUAAUGCCACCAUCGUGGAUAACUUUCUAUUUGGGCUUGAUCAAUACUUUGAUGCCAUGGGUGUUCGAGAUGAGGCUUCGAAAGUGGGCACUGCACCCACCUAUCUUAGAGGCGCUGCACAACUAUGGUGGUGUCGCAAGCAUGGCGAGAUGGGCAAGGGCAUUUGCACCAUCGACACUUGGGCUGACUUCAAGCAAGAACUCCGAAAGCAGUUCGCCCCAAGCAAUGCGGAGAAGGAAGCGCGAGCGCGCUUACGUCGCCUCAAACAAACAAGUAGCAUUCGGGACUACAUCAACGAGUUCACUACCCUUAUGUUGGAAAUAAGCGACAUGUUCGACAAAGAUUCACUCUUCUACUUCCAAGAUGGCCUCAAGGAUUGGGCCAAGACCGAGCUUGAUAGGCGUGAUGUUCAGACACUUGACGAUGCCAUCGCCGUUGCGGAAUCGCUCACCGAAUACUCUACCCAAUCCAAGGACAAAAAGGCCAACCAAGGCAAAGGUGGGGGAGAGAGUCGCAAGGACAAGGGUAACAACCGCAAAGAUUGGGGGGCAGAAAAAGCCGCCUAGCAACAAGAGCGGGCAAGGAAAAUCGGAGGGCAAGAAGGAGGCGCCAAAGCCGCGAAGCCCAUGCUUCAUAUGCAAUGGUCCUCAUUGGGUACGCGACUGUCCGGAGAAAAGGUCGCUCAAUGCUCUUUCUGCCCAACUUAAGAGCAACCCCACAAUGUCCACGGAGGAACCCCAACUCAACAUGGGUUCUCUCUAACGCCUCGGCGCACUCAAUCGCCAACAGCCCGCACUCAUCAAGAAAGGGCUCAUGUAUGUAAGCGCAAAGGUAAACGGUCAGUCCGUUCGCGCGCUGCUAGACACGGGAGCUACGCACAAUUUCGUGUCCGUAGACGAAGCCAAGCGCUUAGGCCUCAAGACCACCAAGGAAGGAGGCACGAUGAAGGCUGUGAACUCACCCGCCAAGCCAAUUGGGGGAAUCGCACAAGGCGUGUACAUUACACUUGGUACGUGGAGCGGGAAGCUUGACUUCUCCAUUGUGCCCAUGGAUGACUUCAAGAUGGUCCUCGGCAUGGAAUUCUUCAACCAAGUCCAUGCCUUCCCGCUGCUCGCUACAAACUCCCUAAGCAUCCUCGACGGGAGCAAAGCAUGCAUGGUACCCACGGAGCGAGGCAAGUCCGAGGAGAAGACACUCUCCGCCAUGCAAUUCAAAAGGGCUUUUAAGAAGGACCCAAGCUUCUUGGUCUCCAUCCGGGAACUAAACGAGGAAGGAAAUAGCGGAACGUCACCAAGCCAAGUCCCUCCGCGAAUUCAAGCCGUCCUCAAUGAGUACAAGGACGUGAUGCCUCCAGAACUUCCGAAGAAGCUCCCACCUCGACGAGAGGUAAAUCAUGCGAUCGAGAUGGAACAAUGUGCGAAGCCACCAGCCUUGGCGCCCUACCGCAUGGCGCCACCCGAAUUAGAGGAGUUGCGGAGACAACUCAAAGACUUGCUGGACGCAGGCUACAUUCGCCCCUCAAAGGCCCCAUUCGGUGCACCCGUGCUCUUCCAAAAGAAAAAGGAUGGAUCGCUGCGGAUGUGCAUAGACUAUAGAGCGCUCAACAAGAUCACCAUCAAGAACAAGUAUCCAAUUCCCUUGAUCGCGGACUUGUUUGACUAGCUUGGCAAAGCGCGGUACUUCACCAAACUUGACUUGCGCUCCGGGUACUACCAAGUGCGCAUCGCCAAGGGAGACGAACCGAAGACAGCGUGCACAACAAGGGACGGGUCUUUUGAAUUCCUUGUGAUGCCUUUUGGCCUUACUAAUGCACCCGCCACAUUUUGCACGCUCAUGAACAAGGUGCUCCAACCAUUUCUUGACCGCUUCGUGGUCGUGUACUUGGACGACAUAGUGGUGUAUAACACCACGCUCGAGGAUCAUGCCCAACACUUGCGACAAGUCCUCCAAGUACUCCGAGACAACGAGCUCUUCCUCAAAUUGGAGAAGUGCUCAUUUGCUCAACAAGAAGUGGAGUUCCUUGGCCAUAAGAUUGCGGGCGGAAAGAUCAUGAUGGAGAACGUCAAAGUAAAAGCCAUCCUCGAUUGGGAGCCUCCCUCGAAAGUGCCCGAGCUUCGCUCAUUCCUUGGGCUGGUGAAUUACUACCGCCGCUUCAUCAAGGGCUAUUCGGCCAAGGCGGCACUCUUGACGGAUAUGCUCAAGAAAAACAGAACGUGGCAUUGGUCCGAAGAGUGCCAACGCGCAUUCGAAGAGUUGAAGAAGGCAAUUUCGGAGGAACCCGCCCUCGCUCUUCCGGACCACACUAAACCCUUUGAAGUCCAAACGGAUGCCUCGGAUUUCGCCGUAGGAGGAGUCCUUAUGCAAGAAGGCCACCCCAUAGCGUUCGAGAGUCGAAAGCUAAAUGACACGGAACGCCGCUACACGGUGCAAGAAAAGGAGAUGACCGCAAUCAUACAUUGCUUGCGGGUGUGGCGACAUUACUUGCUCGGCUCUCACUUCACGAUUAUGACAGACAACGUGGUGACAAGCUACUUCCAAACACAAAAGAAGUUGAGUCCGAAGCAAGUACGGUGGCAAGAUUUCCUUGCAGAAUUCGACUAUCAGCUCGAGUACAAACCGGGUAAAGCCAAUGUCGUUGCGGACGCUCUAAGCCGCAAGGCCGAAUUGGUGACACUUAGCAUGAGCCAACCGAAGUCCGACCUUGUCUCACGCAUCAAGGAAGGCCUCCAACAAGAUCCGCUAGCAAAGGACUUGCUGGAGAAGGUGCUCGAGAGAAAGACAAGGCACUUUUGGCAAGAGGAAGGCAUCCUCCUCACCAAGGGAGACCAGCUGUUUGUGCCAAGGUGGGGAAGGAAGUAAUCAAGGAGUGCCAUGACUCCAAGUGGGCUGGUCACCCAGGAAUCGAGCACACCACUGCACUAGUUCAAGCCUCAUAUUUUUGGCCACACAUGAGGGACGACAUCGAGGCAUAUGUGCGAACUUGUCUUGUGUGCCAACAAGACAAAGUGGAUCAUCAACUACCAGCGGGAUUGUUGGAGCCGCUACCACUAGCAACAAGGCCAUGGGAAAGUGUCUCCAUGGACUUCAUCACAUCGCUGCCCAAGUCCGAAGGUUACGGUAGCAUCAUGGUCGUUGUCGACCGAUACAGCAAGUAUGCCACAUUCAUUGCCGCACCAAUCAAUUGCAAAGCGGACGAGGCAGCCCGCCUAUUCGUCAAGCACAUUGUGAAGCUUUGGGGAGUUCCGAAGAGCAUUGUGAGCGACCGAGACCCUCGGUUCACUGGGCGUUUUUGGACAAAACUCUUCAAAAUGUUGGAGACCGAUCUCAAGUUCUCAACAAGCUUUCACCUACAAACGGAUGGGCAGACCGAGCGCAUCAAUGGCCUCCUCGAGAUGUACUUGAGGCAUUAUGUGAGCGCUCAUCAGCGGGAUUGGGCAAAGCUACUCGACAUCGCCCAAUUUUCUUAUAACUUGCAGCGAAGUGAGGCUACGGGCAAGAGUCCAUUUGAGAUCAUCAUGGGAUUCCAGCCUAUGACCCCCAAUGCCAUAGCCUCGACUUACGGAGGGAAAAGCCCCGCGGCACACAAGCUCGCUCGCGAAUGGCACGAGGAAGCGGACAUCACGCGAGCCUACCUUGACAAAGCCGCGAGGAAAAUGAAGAAAUGGGCGGAUACAAGGAGACGACAUGUUGAGUACAAGGAAGGUGAUCAAGUCAUGAUCAACCUCCUACCCCAACAAUUCAAGACGUUGCGGAAAGUCCACAAGGGGUUAGUGAGGCACUACGAGGGACCCUUCCGAGUUGUUCGACAUGUGGGCAACGUCUCGUAUCAACUCCAACUUCCGCCAAGACUCAAGAUCCAUCCGGUCUUCCAUGUGAGCCUUCUCAAGCCAUAUCACGAAGACAUGGGAGAACCAAGUCGCGGAGAAUCGAGGCGCGCGCCAACUGCCGUUGUCACCGCGUUCGACAAAGAUGUAGACUACAUCAUUGCGGACCGCAUGGUUUCGAGGAGAGGCGUGCCAGCACAUAGCGAGUACUUGGUGAAGUGGAAAAAGCUCCCCGAGAACGAAGCCACUUGGGAACGUGAAGAAGAUUUGUGGCAAUUCGCUGAGCACAUCCAGAGGUUCAAGCACGAGAGCGCGACGAGGACAUCGCGAGCUUAGGUGGGGGAGGAUGUUGCGGACCGCCCAAUUUGCUGGCCCAAUUGCCCACAAUUUCGGGCUAAAGAGCCAACACAAGGCCAAGAGUGCUAGCUUGGCCCAAUUCCGGAAACUUCUAGGCAACUCUAGCACAUUUGAGCAUGUAAAUACUCUAGAAUUCUUCAUAGAAUUCCAGCACAUGUAAAUAGCUAGGAAAUGGUAGAAUUCUCUAGAAUUUCUAGAACUUGGCAAGCCUCCCCUAUAAAUAUGGGAUGGCAUUAGGCAUUUGUAUCCAACAAACACUACAACAAGCAUUGUAAUCUCUCUUUGUGCAAUACAAUUUCUCUUAUUCGGCUCCAUUGCUUUCUUCUCUAGUUCGAGAAGCUCUAGGCUUACUUAGCAACAUUCGGCAAAGUUGUCUAAGUGCCGCACGGGUUAGCUGCGCAAAAUACUCAUCCCGUGACAUUAAGCUCUCUCUGUUCAGCUCUCUAACUUCUCAAUACUCAGCUCUUUGCAUUUCCUUGCCUUUUAUAGGCAAGGAAUGCAUUAUCUUUAUUUAUUUUAUUAUUAUUAUUAUAUAUAUGUACAUUGAAAUGUGUAAUGGUCAAGUGGCCAUGACCAUCACGAGAAACUAAAUUGCUUGGUUUUUUUUUUUUAUUCAUUUUCAUUUUUUUAUUUUUUAUUUUUUUACAUCUCCUCAAUAAUGCUUCCAAAUUGCUCCAGCAAUCCUUCUUUGUUCCCGCUUUCAAUUCUAAUUUAUUCUUGAAAAAUAUUUAUAAGAUAAAAAUUAACAGAUUAUGAAUUAAUUUAACACAAAAAUUUAUUUGGGGAGCAUUCAUAUAAUUUAUAGGUUAUGCGUGCAUUAAUCAACACUUUAAGUGAAAAACUAAUAAUUUUAUCCUUAUUACACGUACACAUUUUAGUGUUAAUCACAGCCCCCUCCCCAACCAGCUUAUUGUUAGGCCCUAGCAAUUUAAGCGAUAAAAAUUUAGAGAAAUUUCAAAACCAAAUUGAAAAUCUUUUUUUUUUUUUGGAAAAAUUGUGUUUACUUCUUUCAUCAGAUUAAUGACAACAAUCAAAUAAAAGUAUAAGUAUUAUCUUCAGCCUAAAGAAAAUCACACCCACAUAAAUCAGUUAAGUAAAAUCAUGUAAAAUGAUCAAUUAUCAGAGCUACAUUAAUCAAGCCACUUUAAGUAAAAUUUAUGAUGUUAUCAUUAUUAAUGUUUGGUCCACAACAGCGCGAUAAUGAUAUUGAUGUGUACUUGGCACCACUAAUAGAGGACUUGCAAACUCUAUGGGAUGUUGGUGUGGAAGCUUAUGAUGCCUACAAAAAAAUAGUUCUUUAAUUUACGGGCUGUGCUAUUGUGGACUAUAAAUGGUGGAAAGCUCAAUGAAGAUAUAAUCUAUGAUGAUUUGCGAAAUUAAAGGUCAAUAUAUGUUGUGUGCACUUAUUUAUGCUUCCAAAGAUUACCAAAAAUAAAUUGGAUUUGAGUUUAUAUAGUUUGAGCCCAAAAACUAGCCAUUAUGGAUUUUCUAAUGAUAACCGGCUUGCCGCUUUUGGAAUCCGGUUAGCCGCUUUUAUGUUACCGUUACAACAAAUAUUUGAAUUUUACAACAUCCAGCAUUCCACUUUCAAAAUUCGGUUAGCCUUUUGCAAAAGUGAUUGCUACAGUGAACUAUUUUAUAAAAUUAUAGUUUUGACCCAAAACUUUAUAGAAUUAUGAUAUGGCCCAAAACGUCAUAAAACUUUACACAAAGGUCUAAUAAAAAAUAAUUUGAGCUUUUAAAAACUUAAUCAUUCUUAAUUUUAUUUUUUAUCAUCAAAAUCAACAUUAUGGAAACAUAUAUGUUAACAAUCUUCCCAUUUUUUAUGACGACAAACCUUUUAUGUAUUUAAAGAAUGAUUACACAAAUUGCUCCCCCUAAAUGUAAACUUCUCUUACAAUUUAGCUAAAUUAACAAAUUUAAAUACAUGUAUUCUUCUCCCCCUUCAUCAUUAAAAAGAAAACUUAGUGGAAAAAUAAAAAAGAGUAACAAAUUUGUUAUAUAUGUUGUCCGAGUAGAAAUUUCGAUAGAAUCUCCCUCUAACAACAAACAUUACCUUAAAUACAAGUUUAAUAAUAUUACUCCCAAAUUAUUAUAAAUAAUGAUACAAUCCAACUCCAUAUACAAAUCAUCACACAAUCCAUCAACCAUAAAAAGAUUAUGAACCAUUAUUCCAUCAAUUACCAAAUCAACAACUCAUAACAUAAAAUUAUCAUAUAAAACAACUAUGUAAUCAAAUCAUCAUCAUAUCCCAAAAUCAUCAAAAUCAUCACCAUAAUCACAUAUCAAUCAUCAAAACAAUACUCAAAGUGCAUAUUAUUGUCUUUCUUUUGACAACAUCGAAAUGAUGUGUUACUUUGUCUCCCCCUUUGGACAACAAAAAAAUUCAAAAUGCAUAUUAUCCAAAAUCAUAUUGUAUGCUCCCCCUAAAUAUAUGGCCAAUUUAAAAUUUUAACCAAAAUAAUUUUAUCCAAAAACAUAUCAUAUUUAUCUCCCCCUUCAUUGUAAAAAAGAAAAGAUAGAUAGAUGCAAUCAAAACAAUAUCAUAAAAAAUAAUUCGAUGAAGAGAUUACCCAUUUUGUGCGAGCAAAAAUUUCGGCAGAGUCUCCCCUUAAAAAUGAAAAAAUCCUCAAAUACACAAAAUGGUUAAAAACACUUCCAUAUAAGCUUAAACAAUUAUAACAAAUCAACAACUCCAUCAAUUCAUCAAGCAACACACAUAAUCAUCAAUCAUUAAAAUCAUCAAGAAAUCAAAUCAUCCCAAGUUCGUGUCGAAUUUUUUAAAAAUGUUCUUCGCAAAAAGGUUUUGAUUUGUUUACCAAAUUGGCAUGCAAAAGUUAUAAAAACGUAUUAUAAACUAUCCAAGCUCCAUAAUUACUAAUCACAUUUUAGAAAUCAAGACAACUAAACUCAUCAAAGAUCUAAUGUGACAUUUCAAUAUAACUUAAAAAAUCUUAUAUGCUUAAAAUUCUCGAAGUAAAUGUAUUUUUCUCCUUUUCGAUAUCAUUUAAAACAAGUAAUGCACAUUCAACAAUACAUCGAUAAAGUACAAAAAAUGCAUCCAUUCACCAAUCAUAGAUUGCAUAAGAUCAAACUUCAUCAAAUACAAUGUAAUCAUCAAAGCACAUUCUUUAUCAUCAAAACAUAAGUAAAGCAUAAGUACAUAAUGACAAUAUAUAGAUCAUCAAAAUUAACAUAUGGCAAUAUAUAGAUCAUCAAAAUAAACAUAGCUAUUAAGAAAAGCCAUCAUUAUGAGUAAAGAACAAGUGCUCAAAUCCAUUAUUACAAAUGCUCACAUAGGCCAAUUUAAUGAAUGAUGAUAUAAUACAAUAAAUGACAUAUGAAUUCACACAUACAUAAGUGAUGAACAAAUAAGGAAGAUGAAUAAAUAACACGAAACAUGAUGAUAGACAAUUUAAAAGAUGAAAUCAAGGAUCAUACAAUCAUCAAAAUCAAACAAAGGCAUCAUGAUAAGUUGCCAUACUACCAUCAUAUAUAUCUAUCCAUGCAUCAUGAUUACACACAAUAAUAAUUCAAUUAUGUAAACGUACGAGCAUGCUUUCGUAAAUUCAAGCUAUUAUCCAUCCAUCAUGAUCCAUUCAACCAAAUCAAAAUGGUAAGAAUUGUUACCAAAACAAUUAAAUCAUUUUACUUAUCGUUUUCUCUUAGAUCAUGAUCAAGUGAUUAUUCUCACAAGCUUUCAUUGAAGAACUCUCCACCAUUUCUUGAUUAUGGUACCUACAAAAAAAAAUAUUCUAGUUGUGCCUUUUGAUACCCAAAUACUCUUGGGUCUUUGAGUGUUAGUAAUGAUUCCUUUUGGAACUCCAAUACAUUUUGCUCCAUAAUAUGCAUUUCUUUUAACUGGACACCUAUUCUUCAUGUGACCAUUUUGAUUGCAAUGGUGGCAUACAACUUGAUUGUUAAUGGAGGUACUCUUCACAAAAUAAUUCUUAUAAUACUUUUGUUUCAAAUUUGGCUUAUAGCCAAUACCUCCUUUGUCAAACACACAUUUUUGUGAAUUAAGCAAGUUAUCCAACAUUUUUUGCCCAUUUGUAAAUUUUAAGACAACAUCACUAAGUUCAAUAUUCUUUUUCUUAAGCAUCUCAUUUUCUUUUUUCAAAUCAUCUACAUGUGAUUCUAUAUGUUCAUGUAAAGUGCUAGGUUUCCCAUUUGAUAAUGCAACUCUAUCAUGCAAUGUUUUAUUUUCUAAUUCUAGGCAACUAAUCUUUGCACUUAGAGAUUCAUUUUUAUUUGUGAGUUCUACCGUUUUCUUUUUAAGACAUGCAUUCUUUUUACCAACUUUCAUCAAUUCAUCAUACAAUUCUUUAAGAGCAUCAUAUAACUCAUCAUAAGUAGGAAGAUUAUUUACCUCAUCAAGUUCAUCAUCUCCUAUUGCCAUAAGUGUUAGGUUUGACACUUCUUGGAAAUCUUCUUCAUCACUCGAUUCUUCAUCGCUAUCGUCCCAAGUAGCCACCAUGGCUUUCUUCUUGAGUUUGUUGAGAAGUGGAACACUCCAAUCUUAUAUGGCCAUGCUUUUUGCAUUCAAAACAAACAAUUGCCUUUUUAUUCCCUUUCUCCACCUUAAGGUUUUCUCUCAUGAGAUCUUUAAAGUUUCUUCUCUUGAUUUGCUUUUUAAAGAUCCUUCUAAACAUUCUAGCAAUCAUCUCAAUGCCUUCAUCUUUAAAGUUACUUCCAUCAUCAUCACUUUCAACUAUAGAAGAUUUAAAAGCAAAACUCUUCUUCUUUUUAUCUUCAUCAAUUCUUUCAUUAGUUAUAUCUUCUUCAUAUGAAAUAAGUGAACCAAUAAGAUCAUCAAGUGAUAAAGUAUUAAAACUUUUUGCUUCUUCUAUGUCCGUUCUCUUUGGUCUCCACUAUUUUGGCAAUGAUCUAAUAAUUUUUUUUUUACUUUUUUCACUAUUAGUAAAUAUGUUACCUAGUGCUUCAAGAGAAUUCACAAUAUCGAUGAAUCUAGUGUACAUAUCAUGAACACUCUCAUAUGAUUCCAUUUGAAACAUCUCAUAUUGCCUAGUGAAUCUACUAAUUUUACACUCCUUGACUUGAUUUGUUCCCUUAUAUACAACUUCAAGUUUCUUCCAAAUUUCAUAAGCAUUUUCACAACUAGAAACUCUAUGAAAUUCUUUCUUAUCGAAAGCACAAAAUAAUGCAUUCAUUGCCUUGGAGUUUAACGAUAUCUUUUUCUUUUCUAAUUCACUCCAAUGACUUGAAGGUUUUGGAAUAUCAUCUCAUGCUUCAUUUUUAGUCAUAGGCAUGAACGGACCAUCACAAAUAACUUCCCAAAUUUCGUAAUCUAAGGCUUGCAAAUAAAUUCUCAUCCUAGUUUUCCAAUAAGGAUAGUCAUUACUAUUAAAGAAUGGAGGUCUAGUGGUAGAUGGGCCUUCCAUGAAGGUUGAGCUAAUUUGGGUUGCUAUGGAUCUUUAACUCUAGAAGAUUAAGUCUACACAAGAGCACCUCGCUCUGAUACCAAAUGAAAUACUAACUAGGCAACCUAAGAGGGGGGUGAAUUGGGAUUUUAAAAUUUAAGUUAAGCAAACCACACAACAAUUUAAUCUAAUGCCUUAAUGGAAUAAAAAAUAAUAAAUUCAAUACAGCACAAUAAUAAGAGAGUAAGGGAAGAGAAAACAAACACAAUGAUUUUUAUGUGGUUCGGGAAUCCUCGCCUACGUCCAUGCCUCCAAGCUCACCCGACUUGAGGAUUUCACUAUCCAAGCCUCCCAAGGCUUCAAGUUCUUUACAAUUGACUUUCAAUGUGUCAAUGGACCUUUCCAAUCAAGAGAUUAUCUCUCCAAUCUCUUCACCUCAAGUGUUUCUCACAUUUAUACACUCACAAUUUAAUGUGAAAUGAAAAUUACAACAAACAACUCUCUUUUAGAGUGGAUAUACAAAUGAUAGCUUAAUGAAGAUUUAAUCUAUGAUGAUUUGCAAAAUUAAAGGUCAAUAUAUGUUGUGUGCACUUGUUUAUGAUUGCAAAGAUUACCAAAAAUGAAUUGGAUUUGAGUUUAUAUAGUUUGAGCCUAAAAACUAGACGUUAUGGGUUUUCUAAUGAUAACCGGCUUGCCGUUUUUGGAAUCCGGUUAGCCGUUUUUAUGUUACCGUUACAACAAAUAUUUGAAUUUUACAACAUCCGACAUUCCGUUUCGAAAUCCGGUCAGCCGCUUGCUACAGUGACUGCUACAGUGAACUAUUAUCUAAAAUUAUAGUUUUGACCCAAAACUUUAUAGAAUUACGAUAUGGCCCAAAAUGUCAUAAAACUUUACACAAAGGUCCAAUAAAAAAUAAUUUGAGCUUUUAAAACUUAAUCAUUCUUAAUUUUUUUUGUUAUCAUCAAAAUCAAUAUUAUGGAAACAUGUAUGUUAACUGUGAGCACAUUAAAUGGCUAACGGGUCAUCAUUCACAAAAAGCCAAGAAUGAGAGAUGGUUGAGCAAUGAUCACAACUGCCACUUUUCAACUUGCCUUAAUAAAAAGGUUAAUAAUAUAUGUUCCAUUAUAUAUUCUUUUUAGUAAAUCUAUUGUCAUGUUUAUACAAUUAUUCAUUCAUUAUGAUUAUUAUUAUAUAGGUAUAUGAGAUCAUAGAUGAUGAUGAACAUGUCUCAGACACCUUGAGGUGGUUAUCUCAAGGACCCCGUCCUUUUGUAGUUAAGCACCCAGGAUAUGACAUCAAUGGAUAUCGUUUCCAUACUCGGGAACGAGACCAACAAUGAGUUCAUCAAAAUAAUGGAGUUAGUCUUAUUGCAGCAACUUUACAAGUAGCAAGUGUCAAGGACAAAAAUCCUAUCCUUGGUGACAUGUCUUACUAUGGAGUUAUUAACAAAAUAUGGGACCUUGACUAUCAUAUGUUCAGAAUCCCUUUGUUCAAGUGUGAUUGGGUUCAAAAUAAUGGGGAUGUUAAAAUCGAUGAAUUUGGCAUCGCUUUAGUGGACUUAAAUCGCUUGGGACAUAAAUCAUACCCAUUUAUAUUGGCUUCAAAAGCAACACAGGUCUUUUAUGUCACUGAGCAACUUGAUAAAAGAUGGUCAGUUGUAAGUCAUAUGGAGGUGUUCCAAAAAUGACAAGUGCUGAGGAUAUAGAUAUCAUGAUGGAACAUAAUCCUUUGACCAAUGGGUUACCAACUAUUGAAAAUUUAAAUGAUGCGGACAAAUAUGCAAGAGAUGGCAAGCAUAGAAUCUCGAUUGAUGCUUGGAAAAGCUGAUGGCAUUCACUGCUUGUAUGUCUUAUAAUAGUUUUGUGUUACAUUAUCUUUUAUUAUUAUAUGUUCCUUGUAUUGACUUUAGAUUAUUAUUUUUCAUUAUUUAUACUUUACAUAAUGUUCUAAUAUUAAAUGUGGAUUCAUUGCAGAAGCAACCUUAUGGAUAAAGGAAAAGGACUUGCUGAUGAACACUCUAAUGAGGAAAGUAUUGAUUAAUCGGGUAAUAAAGAAGUUCCUGAUGAAGGUAAUUCAAGUGAUAAGGAGGUUCCUGAUGAGUUUCCUAAUUCAGAGGAUCAAAAUGAUGUUCCAAAGAGUAGUUCCACUGUGAGAGAACCAACUAAAAACUCUGGCAAGAUGAGGAUGAGUGGUGGGAAGAUUGUAGUCAGGUACAAUGGGCUCCUUGUACUUGUUGGCACUGAAUCUACUGAAUUAGCAAGCUUUAUUAGGCUUUAUACUUCUAUUCCGGAUAUUAAACAAGAAUGAAAAAAGGUUACUCCACAUUUAAAGAGCCAUUUGUGGGAGUUUAUAAAGGUAAAAUGAUUAUUCAUAUUUAUAUCUUAGAAUUAAAUAAUGUAUAUGUUAAACUAUUUGAUCAUUAUGCUAUGUAUUUUUCUUAGGAACGUUUUAUUGUUCAUCCAAAUAGUAAGAAGCAAUUUUUUCAAGCACUUGGUAGUGCAUUCAGAAGCUUUAAGUACUUGCUCACCAGAAAGUAUAUCUUGCCACACAAGCACAAACGUAAAAGGUUGAAGAGGCCACAUUUUUCAGUACAGUAAUAUUCCUCAAAAUGUUUGGGAUACAUUUGUGAAUUCUAGAUUGCCCACUGAGUUUGAGGUGAAUACUUUUAAAUGUUAAACAUUUAGGUAUUUCAUAGAACCAUCUCUUAAAUCUAAUUAAGGACUGUUUUAUGCAGAGAAUUAGGCGUCAACAGCAAAAUAAGAGGGCUAAGAACAAGUGGAACCAUCGUUUAAGUAGAAAAGGAUAUGCUGGAUUGCUUGAUGAAAUUGUAAGUAAUAUGAUACUAACUUGACCAUUCUUGUAUAGCUAUUGGUAUAGAGAUGGUUGGUUUGAUGAUGAUAAAUUGGUAAACCUUUUGUUUUAAUUUUCUGCUUAUAAUUUGUGGUUAGUUAAGGAUGCAUACCAGCUGUGACAUUAUUAUUUUUUUAAACUAUAAUGCUCGGAAACUAGACUUGUCGAAACUGAAGUUGACAGGAGUGUAGCAUAGAAGCAUGCUAGGAAGAUGAAAAAGGUGAAUAUGACCCUAAUGUUGAAUCAGUUGUGAAGAAGAUUGUAAGUAAUAGCAAGUUUUUUUUUUUUCAAUUAGGCUCUAUUGGAAAGAAUUUGAUAUUCAUCAAUAUGAUUAUUAUACAAUUAGGAUGCACUGAAGGAGAAAACUAAAAAAAGGAGAAUUUAAAGCAAAUGUAAGAAAUGAUAUUCUUGCAAGUUCAAUUGGAAAGCCUGCCACUUCUGGACAUAUGCAGGGUGUUGGGAAAUUUAUAUCGCCUAAGAUGUACUUUGACACCCCAAAAAAUUCAUUUCAAAUGCGACAAGAGAGACUAAACAUACUAGAGAGGUUAGAUAAGCAAGAAGUAGGGUUGAGUGAUCUGAAGAAGAAGAUUAAAAAGUAACCUCGACAUUCAGAUGUUGGAAGCUCAAACUUUCCAUUACAUGAGCAAACAAUUGAAGAUGAAGCUGAAGAAAUGACUACUCAUAAUGAGGACAAGGUAUGAUACAAAUUGUUAUGCACAAUCAAGUUAAAAAAAUGACUUAAACAUUUGAUUUUAGACAAUUUUAGUCGUAAUCAAAAUCGUAAUUACAAUUUGUUUUUUUUUUUUGGCUUGUUAGUGAAUCGGCAUGACAAGGAAUGGAUCACCUGCAAAGAAGGAGCAUGAAACACUGACAAAGAAAAGGCAAUCACCAAAGAAGAUGAAUGAGUUACCAAAGAAGCAAGUAGCUGUUGAUUGUCCUGGAGACAAACCAGAAAGUACAAAGAAAAAGCAAUCAACAAGGAAGAAGAAGAAAUCACCAAAGCAGCAAGUGAUUGUUGAUUGUCCUAGAGACAAGCCAAAAAGUUUUAAGAAAAUGCAAUCACCAAGAAAGAAGAAAGAAUCACUAAAGCAGUAAGUGAUUGUUAAUUGUCCUAAAGACAAACCAGGCAGUCCAAUGAAAAGGCAAUCACCAAGAAAGAAGAAGGAAUCACCAAUGAAGCCUCACAAGAAACCAAGAAUGACUUUUGAAAUUUCAGGAGACAAACCAUCCAAUCCAAAAAAGAAGACAUCACCAAAAAAAGCCUCAAGAAAAGCCACUGUCAAGAAGAAGAACAAGGAAUUAUCAUACUGUGUAUAUGAACUGAGUUCUUGGGAUUGUAAUAUUUGGAAAUAUUUUUGAAACGAGCAUGGCUCAAAUAGGUUAUUACGUACCUUAUCAGUUGGAUAAAGACCAUUUGGGUUCAUACACACAGGACUCGUAUCAUCAGCCCAUGAUAAGGAUGCCUUUACUACAAGGGUAAAAAGGACACAAUUUAUUGCGGAACAGUUGAACAAAGCAAACAAAGGACAAAUGAUUUUCAUGCCAUAUAACCCUGGGUACAGUUCUAUUUACUUUCCAUUGAUGAUCAUUUACUAAAAUUGAUUCAUAAUUUCAAUUUCUUUGUGUAAUAGUUUCCAUUGGGUGUUGAUUGUAAUUGAUAUGACGACAAAGUAAGCAUUUUAUCUGGAUUCUAUGAACAACGAUUUAGGCGACGACAGUGACCUGAAGGACAUAGUUACCAAGUACGGUGAUAUUGUAUUUCUAAUAUAAUUUUAUAUAUCAUGUUUAUUUACUAACUACAUGUAUUGUAAUGUAGUGGGAUUUCAAUGCAUGUUGCGAUGAUUGGUAAAAAAAGGGUGAAACCAUAUAUCAAAAAAGUUUUGGUAAGCAAUUGUGACUUUUUUUUUUUUUUUUUGCAGCCCAUGACUUGUUAAUAUUUUAUCACUUGAAAGAAUUCAUAUGCAUAUGUAUUAAUGAUUAUUCUGUUGAUGAUAUAGUCCCCAAAUCAACCAGGGAGUACUGAGUAUGGAUACUAUGUGCUGAGGUUUAUAAAAGACAUAAUUGCAGACCCGAGUUUACUUCUCCAUAAUGUAAGUACACAUUCUUUCAUAUGCAUUGUAGGAUUACUUCACUUAUUACCUUUUACUAUAUAUAGUUUACUUUAGUCUGACAUGUGAUCAUCAUUUGACAGUUUAAAGGCAAAUGUGAAUACACUCAUAGUGAGCUUAAUGAAGUGCGUCUCGAGUAUGCUUCCUUUGUGUCUGAGCUGAUAGUAUUAGCAGUAGAGUUGAUGAUGUAUAUUUUUCUGAAGUUCUAAUUAUUAGUGGUAUUAUGGUAGUAUUUUGAAUUUCUAAGUGGUAGUGAAUUUAAUAAAGUCUUUAUGGAAUUUCAAAUUCCUUGUUACUAGAAGAUGAUAUUGUUUUGUUCCAAAACUAAGAUGUUUAUCAGCCUGGUAGUGUAAGAUCUUGAUCAGCCUUGUAGUGUUUCAGAUGAUAUAUAGUGUCGUGAUGUUUUUGUAUGCUGGUAAUGAUCUAGAUGGUAGUGUUGGGAUGUAUUAUUGUGAUAAUUGAAUAGAUGAUGUUUUGACAAUGUUAUGGUUAUUUCAAGUGAUGUUUUGAUGAUAUUGUUGAGAUAAUUUUGAUGUAUUGAUUUUAUACAUAUUUUGAUUUUUAAAUUUCAAUAGAAUUUAUAAAAUUAUAAAAUAAUAAUAUUAAAAAUAUUAUUAUUUAAAAUAUUAAAAUUUAUUUUCUAAUUUAAAAAUAUUAAAAAUUAUUUAAAAUAUUAAAAAUUUCUAAUUUAAAAUAUUAAAAAUUAUUUUAAUAAUAUUAUUAUUUUAAAAAAAUUCUCAUUGUGACACCAUAUUAACAUCAUAAAGCUGCGACACAUAAUUACCUGCCAUAAUUUAAAGUUGAAUUCAUAACACCCACCAAAAGUUUUUUCACAAUAAAACAAAUUUACCACCAAAAUAUUAAAACGACAUCACUUUUUUUGUGACACAUUUGUGAUAGUUAUAAGUUGUCACAUACUCUUGUGAUAGAUAAAUUAAUGUCACAGAUUUAUCACAGGGGCUACAAUGACAAAUAGAAACUCUGUCAUAAAGAGGGUCGGAUGACGGAUAUUCUCUGUCAUGGUAGCCCAUUUUUCUAGUAGUGAUUCAUGAUUUUCUUAAGAUUUUACAUCAUCUUGGCUUUAUGCAUUUAAUGAGUAAGACUUUAUAUCAUCUUAGCUUUAUGCAUUUAAUGAGGGAUAAGGUUUACUAUAUCCCCUAAUUAAUUGUGUUAAUUCUAUUAUUUAUAGAAUUUUCAUUUUAUGGCAAGUCUAAUAAAUUAAAAUUUUAUUUACUGAAUAUCAUGUAAUAGGUUUUAAUUUAUUAAAUUCCUAACUAAUUUAUUGAAAUUCCAAUUUAUUAGGAAUAUCGUUUCCUAGUUUAAUUAGAUGUCUAAUUUAGCAAGUUAAUUAGUGAAUGAAUUUUAUAAUUGGUGCGUAUGAUUUAUUUAGAGGAAAAAAUUGGUUUAAACAGAAAGUUUAUUAAAUGCUCUAGAUAUUUCUUAGAAGACAAGUAAAGCAAGCAUAUCAUAUUUAUUCCUAUUUAGAUUUAUAGGAAUUAUAAGAGGAAAUAAACUUUUAUUUAGAAAGAAUCCUAGUCUUUCAACUACAGUCUUAAUAAAGUUUUUCACAUCAGCCUCAUAGUCAUCAUACAAUAUAUCAAUUUUUUAUGGGUACAAUAUAUCAUAUUUAAGCCAAGAUUUAUCCAUUUUUUGUUUAGUACCUGACAUAUAAUUGACAUAAAUUUCAACAUAAUGUACUAAUGGUUUGCAAUGAUAAAUUGUUUCCAUUAUCAAUAAAAUUAAGCAACAAAACAUUAUUAAUAUUUAGUUUAUAAAUUUAAUGAAAUAAAUAAAUUUAAAACCAAAACUCGUCAUCACGUGCAACAAAUAUAACUUCACCAACGUGCUGUCAUCGUUUACCAAAACCUCUAACUAACAAUACCCACUAAUAACAUCCUAAAUAAUUUAGGCCACAUAUUUUAACAUUUAUUUAAAAAAAAUUUCUAACGAUCCAGCAUUUCAUGGACCACAAGACUAUCCAGCAUUUCAUGGACCACAAGACUAUGUAUACAUAUAUAAGCAACUAAACGUUCCUUGGUCCACAUGACCAAACUUGCCCCCACAUGGUACCAUUUCUUUCAAACAUAAAAAAGACAAUUGAAAAAGGGGUCCUCACUUUUCAACUCAAUAAAAUACACUAGAAAUUAUUAUCAAGUUUCCAAAUCUAACUCACAAUCAUUAAAAAAAAAUAUAUCAACGCCAUUGGACCCUAGUUUUGGAUCCAUCCCAAUAAAACACACUAGUCAAUGAAAAGUGCUAUAUCAUCAAGAAAAAUCAGUUCACAUAUAUGCAAAUUUUGACUGAAAAAUUACACAAUAUAACAACAUUCAGACAAACCAUUGCCAGCAAGCAUUUUUUAAACAUUGAAUGGAAAGGCAAGUAAAGAAUUGAACAAACCUGAUGUUAGAAAUCGAAUUCGAAAGGGAACAAAGCAGUGAAGUCCUGCAACUCAGGAAAAAAAUUAAAAAAAAAAGGACAUACUAAAUUAAAUGAUUGAGCAAUUUCUAGAUUUAAUAAAAGGACAAAGUAUAAGCUUCUUGAAUUAAAAAAAUAACCAAAGAUAACAGAAAAACAAACAAGAAUUAAAAAAAUAAAUAAUAAAGAUAAACCAUUCAUGAUAGAAAUCCCCCCAAAAAAAGGGCAUAAAUUAUGAACAAAUAAGGGAGAUAACAACAAAACUGACAAUUAAUCUUAUAAUGCCCAACUAAUUUAUUCAAAAUAAAAAAUAAAAAAGCUAAUUGACAAUAAAUCUAAGGAUUCGGUAAUUACAAGGAUGGCUUCUUGAUAACUCUAUGAAAUAAGAAUUAUCAUGGCACUUUUAAACUUAAAUCAAUAAUACUUAGAGAGUAAAUAAUGUGUUUUCAUUGCAUUUUUAUUAUAUUUUGCAUAAACAUUCAUCUUAGUUUAUUCGUAAUAAAUAUUUUUUGAUUUAGAAUAAUUUAUAUGCUAAAUCAUAUGCAUAAUUGUAGGUGUCCAGAAGCUCAAAUUUCAAGAAAAGAAUGCUGAUGCAAUAGGCUUGCAAAAGAUGGAAAAUAACUUAGCUACAAAAGAAUUGAAACAAAUCUGGACAAUGCAGUUGCUGUAGCCGUUGCUGUAGCAAUCCUGGAACAACGACAAAGAAAAUUUUGUUCGGGAUACUUGCAGAAUUGCGAUCUGCAGUUUCCUAACCUGACUUAUGUGCGCCCUAGACUUCCGUUUACCCUAAUUUUCAACUAUAAAAAAAGCACACAUCAUAAGGAAUAGGGGGAGCCGUCACCCAAGGAGAAAAACACAUAGAAACAAAAGAAAAACAAGAUUCAAGAGAGAGAUUAAGGGCUGCACAAGAGGAAAAAUUGCAGAGAUCAAUUGGGAGCUCAAUCUUUCUUAUCCUUUUCUUGUUUUCAUGUUCUCUAUUUAUUCAUGGGGAUGUGUUUCAUGGCCGAAACUUUGUUCUUUAUUUUUCUUUUGCAAAUCAUGAACUAAAUUUAUUUGAAUUGUUGGUUUAUUGACUGAAAAUAUGAGUUGUUGCAUGUUUGUUGUAGCAUUUUGUUUUGAUAGCAUUUAUUUUUAUUCAUUAUUUCGGUUGAUCACCCAUUUAAUGAUACAAGUUAGGAGAGAGCCACAAAAGGGCCUAUCUUAGUGGAACAUAUCAGAGAAAUACUUGGUUUUAGAUUGGGUUUACUGGAUUGAGUUUAAUUUAUCCCAAAAGGGCCAUGCUUAAUCUAAAAUUAGUGAUGAACUAGACAUAGGGAUUCACUUUGUAGGGUAAAUAGAACCUAAGCGUGUAAUGUUAUAUCUUAUGUGGGCAUAACAACUGAUCACUGUUAUGUUGCAUAUAGAUAUAAGAUAUCCUACAUGCGAUGGCUGAGGAUACAUAAGGAUUCUACCCAAUGCUGUAGCAACUGAGCCAACCAUUAGAAAAUAGUCAAGACCAUUAGGAGAGUUUAUUCACUCAACUACUCUAUAUUUCCAUUGGUUUUAUCCUUGAGUUUGACGUGAUAAUUUACUUUGUUGCAUUUAUUUAUUGUGUUUUUAUUUUAAUUAGUAUAUUAAUUUCAUUAAUUAUUUUAUCUUAAUUUAAAACAAAAUCUGCACUGUUAAGAUUGUUGUAGCAAGUAUGAUAACAUCAAUCCCUGUAGAGACGAUCUUGAAUACUCAUCACUUUAUUACUUGUUGUGUACACUUGCACAUUGACACUAAUAGCAUUUGAAUUCAUACCAACACUUCUCCACCGCCAAUUAAACAAUGCAAAGAAAUAGUGACAACGAUGACUUCAACAGUGAACGUGUUGAUGGAAGGCGCAACAAUGAGUAUAUAUGGUGAUUUUGUGCUUAAAAAUUUAUAAUGAAGUGGUUGCUUCAAUAGCAUAUACAAUGAUUUUGGUUUCCAUGCAAUGGAUUUCAAAACCAAUUUUUAUAUUAAAGUAGGGCUUGUUAAUUAUGGAUUUUGAGGGGUUUCAAUGGUGAGGUUUCUCAGCCCUCGCCGAUGGAGUGAUGAAGUCAGAGGAGCUGAAGUGUUUAUUAACACUUAGAAUUUUCUUGUAGUUUAAAGUCUAUAGUAAACAACAACGUUUAGAAGUUAAAUAAAUAUUUUUAUUUUUAAAAUUUUUUAAAUUAUGAAAAAUCAACACGGUGCCGUUUCAUGCCCAAAUUGAUAUAUCCUAAACUCACAGUUUCAUUAAAUAUUAAUAUGCUAUCAUAUUUAUAUGAUAAAUAAAAACUCUAUCACAAAUUUGUCAUGCCUUUAUGAUGUAUGAAAAUUCUGUCAUGUGUCUAUCAUAUUCUUGUGAUAAAUGACCAAUUUUCUAAUAUCUAUCACAAAAAUUCUGUCAUGUUAGCCCAUUAUUCUAGUAGUGAGAUAUUUAUCCAACUGGAUUACAAAGUAAUUGAAAUUAAUUGUAACACCUAUGGCCAAAACUUGGACCCAGUGUUAUUUUAUAAUCAAAAUUGAAACCUAUAGUUACAGUCAGCUUGAAUCUGAAUCAAAUGAGCAAAGGGGGGCAAUUGCCUUCUCUAAGCUCUAACCAUGAAACAAUAAUCAAAUCGUCAGACCUCUAAAAUAAGCCAAUGAAACAUUACUCACAAACCCAUCGAUUAACAUCUUUAAAGCUUUGGCACUGAAACUUAAACGAGCGUUUUGUGUUAAAUAGUAUUGAAAGUAAACACAGCAGCAAACUUAAACGAAAAAGUAUUGUCAUUCAUUGUGUGAAAAAUUAUGCGAAAUUCUGAUAUUUUACGUCGAUCUAUCCAAAUCCAAGCAGGAAAAUGAAUGCUCGAGCAAUAUUCAAAUAUCAAAAGAGCAUAUUUUCAAAAUUAAGUUAGGAAAAAAAAUUUCAGUAUCAAUUAUCAUCAACGGGUUCUUGAUGUUAAGAAUAAGCAUUAACAUGAGCUGCUCAGGUCGGCUGAUGAAUCAGCAAGCUGUUAAGCAAUAUGCUGAGUCAUCAGCCACGUCAGCAGUCAGUUACGGAGGCUGUUGCUUUGCUUAAGAAGCCUCUGGAUAUGUAUAUAUAAACCCCUGUAAUCUCAGUUCAUUUUGUAGCUUAAUGAAAUGAAUUUGGCUCACUAUUCUUCUAUCAAAACUUUUAGUAUUUUCCCUUCACUUUCUAGGCAAACAAACACAGCAACAUCUUUUAACUGUUGAAAUCUUCCAGCUCCGGUGCAAGCCUCAGUCACAAUGUAUUCACUCGAUGGCACAUCUUCACCCAGACUUUUCGGUAAAGUGAAUUAAAGCUUUCAGAAUGAUAGAAAGCAAAUGCAUGAGCCACGAAGAUCUGGAAGAAUGCCAAAGCCAAACCCUAAGUAUACUACUGAGAGCAUGAGUUGACUCCCAUGCAAGCCAUGCAUGAGACAUGCAUAUGCAGAUAUUGUGAAGAUAAGUGCUGGAGCCGUGAGAACAUGAGUUGACUCCCAUGCAAGCCAUGCAUGAGACAUGCAUGUGCAGAUAUUGUGAAGAUAAGUGCUGGAGCCGUGAUCUGGGGAUAACCUUAUCAACGAUUGUGCAACGAUUAAAGGGGAAGCUAAGACACGGAAGUUGUUUUCGAUUAUCUUUCUGUUUCGAAAUAUUAGCUAAGUUGUUAUUUUAAUAUUUGUUUUAUUGAUUUCAGCCGUGAUUGUGGGUUGAAAAUCAAAGUCUUGUUAUUAUAAAUAAGCUCCAGAAUAUGAAUAAAGGCAUUGAGAAUUCAAACUACAAUUAUUUGGUUAUUUCUCACCAUAAGCAGAAAAAUAUCACUAGCAUUAUUCGUAAUCAUUGUCUGCAUCUGACUGGGACCUAACACAGAACGAUACAUAAAACUUUAAAUUGUUCCUGUAACACACAGAAAGUCUUUAGUUCGGUAUCGUAAAUUCAAUUUCUUAUAAUCUCAUUAAUAUACUUUUUGAAUUUUAUUGUGAUCUUCAUUAGGCGUCAAUUUUUAUUUUUCAUUUAAAAGAAAAAGCACUUCCGGAGUCAUUGUAAGAUCUUUUUCUGUGUAAAUAUCUUUUUCUUUUAAUUUAAAAUUAGAUAUAUCAAACUUAUUCAUCGGGGUUUUGUUACAUUUCCUUUUAUUUUCAAUAAUUAAUUUGUUAUCUAAUUGGUCAAUAAAUUUGCUUCUUGUUUGUCCAGUACACUAAUAUAGAUGCUGUUCAUUAGAAGCAGACACAUAGCUGUAAAUUAUUUCUUAGGUUUUGAGAUAGGAAUGACGAAGGACAGAUGCAGGGGCACUGUUUUAAGUCAACCAAAGUUAAAGAUGAUUCGAACUCAUAGUUCUUGCAUAAAAACCUUUGUUAGCUUUACUUUUGUUGUCAAAAUUAUUAUUAUUAUAAUUUUUUUAAUGGUAGAAGUAGAACCUAAUCCCUCACAAUUAUCAAUUAAUACUAUGUUAAUUACCAAACACUAUUAUUUUUUUAUUCAUACCUAGUAGUGAUUUAAAUUUGAAAAGCGACAAAACCAUAAACCAGUUUUUAAUAUAUAAUAAACCAGUUUACAUUUAUUUUUUUAAGGAGAAAUGUAAGGAUCCUUUUAAUAAAAAAAAACCAUCAACAUUAAAAUGAUAGAAUUAGAAACGAAAAUCACAACAACAUUACAAUUGCAUUCAGUUUCUACGUAUCCUCCUCCUCCUUGUUGCCUUUUGCUGCGUUCCCAACUUCUCCAGAAUCCAUCCGAUAAUUCCUGUGCUGAAGUUGAACCCGAGAACCAAUCCUGCCACAAGUCCGCCCGCAUAGCCAAUCAGAAUGAUUUUCCAAUCAGAUGCGCCCGAAAACAGAGACUUCUCCGACCUUUAAGUAUGAUCUUCAAUUGUUGGAGGUUCACCACUCUCACAUUCUUUGGACAAAGGCCUUCCACAAAAUCCUGAGUUGCGGUCCAAAGAAGUGUUGUCAAAUGUAGCAAAUUGCUUUCCUUGUGGUAUAAGCCCUGCAAGGCAAUUGUCCGAGACAUUGAAGAAUGCGAGAAAUGUGAGCUGAACCAGUUGUUGAGGAAUCUGUCCUGAAAACUUGUUAUUUGAGAGAUCCAAUGAUUCCAAAUUUGUUAGAUUGCCCAAACAUGAUGGAAUAUGGCCUUGGAGAUUAUUGUUCUGGAGGUUUAGAACUUGAAGUCCCUUUAAAUUCUCAAUCGAUGCUGAAAUCGCCCCAUCAAAACUAUUGUUUGAGAGAAUAAUGCCCGCGAGGAUAUCUGGAAUCUUGUUAUAUGUCAUCAUUCGCCCUUUGCUGUUCAUUGUCAAUGAUCAGUAGUCAUAAGUGCUAAGUAUAUCAUUGGACAAUUGUCCAUACAGACAAAGCACAUCUUGCAGAUAUCUUAGCUCACUUGCAUUGACAAUUUUCAUGGCAUUCCAACACAGGAAACUCUUUGAUGGAAGCUUUCCAGUAAAUCUGUUGUCAGAUAGGUCAAUAAUGCGGAAUUUAGAAAAUCCACAACCAGUUCUGGGUUCUUCUAUAAUGCCAUAAAAUAUGUUGGAUCGUAGGAUGACGACAUUCAAUUUUGGCAGACUUCCUAACCAAGAGGGAAAAGUGUCACUAAUCUGGUUGUUCCCAAGACCAAGAAAUUCCAACUUUGAACAGUUGAUCAAUGAUCUUGGAAUUCUUCCUUGAAACAGAUUAUGGCUUAAAUCCAUCACGCCUAAUCUACUUUCUUUAGUGAAUGUAUUUGGGAUGGUCCCAGAGAAGUUGUUCCCCUGCAAGUCGAGCACUGAAAGUUCAUUGCUGAAAUUGCCUAAACACUGAGGAAGCAAGCCACUUAAGUUAUUGUGAGACAAAACAAGGCUUUCAAGUAUAUUCAAAUUGCAUAUCCACGAUGGAAUUUCCCCUGUUAAGCUACUGCUAAAAGCUAGAUAGUUAACGGUUCCGGGGGGUGGAACUGGGAGUGGUCCUUGUAAAUUAUUAGAGCUAAGAUCAAAAGUCACCAAAUCACCGUUAUUCCCUGGAAGAAGAAUAGGAUGCUGAUCAAACCCGGUUAACAAGUUAUGCGAAAGGUUCAAGGCAUUUAGAUUAUGCAUAUUGGGGUCUAACAACCAUUUGGGUACUUUUCCCUCAAUUCUAUUGUCAGAAAGGUCCAGGACCACCAUAUCACGUUGGUUUUCCAAGAAAUGUGGAAAUUUAGUAAGAUUGCAUGAACGCAGUCCUAUAUAUUGAAUUUUCUGUGAAGUGGUAUUAGAAGUGGCUUUGGUGAGCAUUGACAACCUAUUUAAUGAGAGACCUAAAACUAACUCUAUCGUUCCUCCAUAAGAAUUUUGAGCCAUGUCAAGGACGACAAGUUCGGUAAGAUUCCGAAGUGAAGAUGUAAUUUGACCUGAAAAAUUACACUCAGACAUAUAUAUUGCUUCCAAUGACCUAAGAUUUCCAAUGGAACCAAGUAAGUUACCUGAAAAAUUAUUAAAUCCAAGAUACAAAAAUUGUAGCCGGGUGAAAUUACCAAUUGAAUGUGGAACUUUGCCCCAAAAACCACAUGACCUCAGAUCUAAUAGCUUCAAAGAACUAAAAUUUCCAGUCGACCAAGGAAACUCACCCAAAAAUUUAUUAAAUGAAAGGUCAAGUUUUUCCAAAGAAAAAAGAUUUCGAAUGGAAGUAGGCAACUCGCCAAAAAAUCCAUUUUGUGAAAGGUCAAGUUCUUUCAAAGAACCAAGAUUUCCUAUGGAAAUAGGCAACUCACCAAAAAAUCUAUUUUGUGAAAGGUCAAGUUCUUACAAAGAACUAAGAUUUCCAAUGGAAAUAGGCCACUCACUCGACAAAAAAUUUGCAGAGAGAUCUAGUUCUUUCAAUGAAUGAAGAUUACCAACAGAAAUAGGCAGCUCACCUUGUAAUUCAUUUAGUGAAAUGUCUAAAUGAAGGAGCUUUGAUAGAUUACCGAUCGAAGAUGGAAUUCUUCCUGAAAUUAGUAAAAAAAAAAAAAGAACACAUUGCUUAAGUGGAAAAUAAAAAAUAAUAAUAAUUUUUACUAAUGAAUUUAACAUUGCAAUUGACAAUUUUCGAGUAAAAUAUAUAUAUUUAACAAUAACAUGCAUGUAUAUUAAUUAAGGAGAAAAUAUAUAAAAUUUAAUUACCUUGCAAUUCACAGUUUUGAAGAGAAACAAACGUCAAAGAAGAUAGAUUUCCGAUGUUAUGAGGUAUCAUUGAAUCAAUAGAAACAUCACCAAGGUCAAGUGUUUUUAGAUUACUUAACUUCUCGACUAAAUUUUCGAAACUGGGCUUCUGGAGUUCAACUCUACUACCAGGAACAUCAUUUAGUGAUAAAUCAAGGGACACCAAGUUGGAGAGCUUUAGAAUUUCUGAAGGUAUUUGACCAGAUAAAGAAGUUCCAGAGAGGUUCAAGUAUGAUAACCUGGAAAGGUUGAUGAUUUCUGGUGGGAUUUCGGAGGAAUUGAAGUCAUUCAAAGCAAGAUUAAGCCACUCGAGAUGGACAAGCUUGGAAAGGCUGCUGCUAGAGUCGAUAGAACCAAAAAGGCAGCUAUGGGAGAGGUCAAGCUUGAUGACAUGACCGGUGUUCUUAUUGCAAUGAACGUCGUCCCAAGAGCAGCAAUCAACGCUACCUUCUUCUGGCUUCCAUGAUGCCAUUGUAGGACGACAGUCAAAUUUCCAAGCAUAAAAAUCACCACUGAUGCGGCUUUCUUUGAAUUGCAACAAAGCAGAAAGCUCAUCAUCAUGGCAGAGUGGCAGCAUAGAAGAAGCAGUGACGUUAGCAAUUGUAAAAUUAAAGAAAAAGAAGGGAAAAACUAACCGUAUGAAUAUUGUGAAUAAACAUAUGGACGAUAAGCCCAUAGUUUUCUCAAAAAUAAAAUUUGUUUAACUUUGUAGAUGUGAAGAAAUUUAAGGAUCUUUAGUUUGGACUCUUUUUUGUUUUUUUAAGUCGACAAAAGUUAGUCUUAAUAAUAUUUAUUUUUUAUUAUUUGAUGUGAUGUCGUAAACUUUUACCAUUCCGUCACCACCGAAAAUACGUUUAUAGCAAACGUGAGGAUUAAUUAAUUAGCACAGGGAAAAAAUGAAAAUGAGUAAAUGAGUAAUACAUUCAUUUUUAUUUUUUGUUUGAAAAAAUGAAAAACAUAAUUCCGAAGUGGUCCUGACCACUUGAAAUUUUUUAAAAAAUGAUAAAUAUUAUUUGGAUAUGAUAUCAACUCAAAAUUCAAACAAAUCUUACAAACAACUGGGGAAAAAUGGUGAAUUCCAUUCCUUAACCGUGGUUUAUUAAAUUUAAAAAAAAAACUAGUGAAAAAAGAUGAUAAUUAAAUUAAUUUUAAUGGAAACAAAGUCACAAUAGUAGAAGUGACAAUUUCGGCACGAUUAGCUAAUUAAUCAGACACAAACACAAGACAAAUUAAUGAAUUUGGAUUUACUAAAAUUGACAUGAUUUUCAACUUUGAUCAAUUAAAAACCUUUCAUUUCGUAUCAUCGGACCCACUAUUAAUCAUCAUAAAUUAUAGUCAACAGACGAUCGAUUUCAGAGACUCAAGACUACUAAUGAUAAGCCUUUGCAUGCUCUGUACAUAUGCCGUGUCAGAAAAUUAUUUCUUACUUUUUAACAUAAGAAUGACGAAAGAGUGAUGUAUUUUUGGACACUGUUCUAAGUCAACUAAAAUUAAAAAUUGGCCAUAUAUCAUUAUAAUGGAUAUCAAGAUAAUUUGAACUCUUAGUUGUUGGAUAAAAAAAUAUUGUUAUCUUUAUUUUUGUUCGCAGAAUGGUUAUUAGUAUAGUUCUUUUAAAGUUCUCAAAAUUUUCAUUUAAAAAAAAAUGUUCCUACAAUAUACCCAAAAAAAAUAAAAAUUGAACCCCAAAAAGAGAAAACUAUUUUUUAAAAUAUAACACAGAUAAUAUCGGUGAGAGUAAUUUAGGUCAAUUCAAAAUCGCUAAUUCGGAGUCAGAUUCAUGUAUUAAUUGUAUCAUAAGUUACCAUCUCUGAGUACGACUAUGGCGUGACAGAGGCUAAUGGAAACUCCAGACUAGUGAGAGUCUAUCGUUACUGAAAAAUGCAUGAAUGGCAUGGAUGCAAAAGUAAUAAAAUUUGGAACUGAUGAUUAAGCCAUUGGCUAACAAAAAUUAACUUCUGAAGAGGCAAGGUCCCUCAAAAAAAAAAAAAAAUUCUUUAAUUUGUUCCAUUGUUUGGUUUGACAAAAUAUAUCAUCUAAAAUUUGGAACUGAUGAUCUAUCGAAGUUGACCUGUGUUUAUAUUUCCUUUCAUUUUCUAUAAUUUGUCAUCUAAUGGGUCAAUGAAUUAAUUUUCUUCUUCUUCUUUUUUAUCCUUUCCGCACUUGAAUUUCCCUUCACGGCAAGUUGAGUAUUCUGCAUACUUUAGGGAAUGUCAUUGUCUUGAUGACUUUUCACUACAACUCUAAAAUUUUCCUCCCCACGGCAUUUGAAUUUUCUUUGUAAACCGCGCACUCGUUGGCUGAGUGAUGACACCUCCUCAACUUAAUUAUUCUCAAGGUCAAGAAUUCGAGUUUUACUCCUUUAGGUUUCUUAGCCGAGCUGCCAAUGCGCCAAUUUGUAAUGAGCUUUACCUGAUGGUCUCUGAGAUGGGCUCUAAUUAGUGCACCUAAAUUCCUCUUAUGUUAGAAACUAAAGUUUCUAAAACUUUUUAACUUGUUUAAAUUAUCCUCCAGCAGUGCCUUGAAUGAGAUCUUCUACUCCAUCAAUGCUUGUAUGUUGUGUUUCAUUUGGGGAUUAGAUUUCCCAGUACGUAGACAGAGAACUCUGACUCUGUUGUCCGAUGUCUCUGCAUUUUCUUGAACUCUCUACUCUGACUCUCAUCGUGUAAUUAAGGAGGAUUAAAGUAAAAGAAAAGGGUAGAACCAGUUCUCCCUAUUUGUUGCACUAGCUAUCAGAUUUCCAUAUUAUACUAAUUAUUGGCCAAAAACAUUUUUUUUAUUUAAAUUGUCAAAAAGACUUGAAUGUUCUCAUCCUAAAAUAAGUUCCAUUAAAACAAUCAUAAUAUUUAUGGAAUGUUUAUAACUAGAAUGAGUGCUCCUACUUAAACUAGUAAAAUCUCUUGAACUAAUUUAAAUGUUCAAUCCUGCUCACAUGAGUGAGGAGAGGGUAUUUGUUUUAAAUUUUAUUGUAUUGAAUUUCGCACUUUCAAUACUUCAACGCAGUUAUUACGAUUUCAUCAAGUUUACGAUGUUAAUGAUCAAACAGUACACUUUCUAAACUAACUAAAAUAGUACCUAGCUAGCUAAUUAGAUAACGGAUUAAUGGAAUGGAUGUGGGUGUCUAGUUUUAGAGUUUGAAAUUUUUUUUUAAAUUAAUCAAAGAAAGCAUAUUUUUAAUUUUGAGUUAUUGUACUAUUAAUUAAUAAUUUAAUUAAAAAAUUUAUUUAUUUGCUAUCAUAAUAGUUGUUGAAAAUGCCUUUAAUAGGGGUUGGUUCAAUAUUUGGUUAGAGUCUGAUUUCAUGCUGGCGAUCCAACUUCUUCUUUUCAUCCCUCUUUGACCAUUUGAAAUGUACUUGCAUUGCAAAUGUCUGUAGUCAAACUUGGGUCUUCAAUGUACUCACAUCCCUUGGUAGGAUUUCUCUCCUUCAAAGAUUAGCGCUCUUUCUUCUCGAGAUGCAAAUGGCUUUUCAAAUUGUCAUUUUUGUUAAUGUAGGUCCUACAUUCAUGGUUUUCUGAAGAUUUUAUAUCAUCUUAGCUUUAUGCAUUUAAAGAGUAAGAUUUUAUAUCACCUUAGCUUUAUGCAUUUAAUGAGGGAUAGGGUUUACUAUAUCCCCUAAUUAAUUGUGUUAAGUCUACUAUUUAUCGAGUUGACAUCUUAUAGCAAGUUUAGUAUUGAAAUUUUAUUUACUAAAUAUCAUGUAAUAGUGAAACGACCCGCCCCAAACCCCAGGGUGAGUCUAUCUAAUCUCAUCAAAACUGGAUUGAUAAUAAUGUAAUUGUUAAAGAUUCUGCCGAAAAUUCAGCAAAGUUUCCUUUAUAAAUAUAGCACUCCCAAUCUGAAAAUAUGUAAAACAAGCACUUCCAAAAUAAUUCAAUUUACAACAAACUCCAAUAAUCAACAUCCUCAACUAAAAUGCUGAGUUUUUCUCAAGACAUCUCCAAAGUCUCAAAGAAUAAUAUUAUAACUAAUAUUAAUAUACCUCAGUUUAUUUUUAAUCCUAAAAAAAUAAUAUAACAAAAUUAUACAAUCCCAAAAGAACGAGAUAACCAUCAUGUCCUAACAAAAAGCAUCUAUAUCUUCUAACACCAUCACGUGGCCAAGACUCAAAAUAUAUUUACAGUCGUUAGGUCGGUCUAGUGUACUUGCAACCUCCUGGUGGGGGGGGGGAAUAUAAUAAAAACGGGAUGAAUAUAAAACUCAGUGAGUGGAUAGUAAUUUUUGAAAAUUAAUUCUUAUUUUAAAAGAAAUAAUCAUGUCAUUUCCAAACACAAUUUUAUUAAACCAUAUGUGAGAAACCAGUAAUAAAUCAUUUAACAUUUAAAUCGGAUUACUAACCAUGAAAAGCAUAUACAAUAUCGUACCUAAUAACCAUGGAAAUCAUAUCACGAUAUUAUAUAGAAUACACAGAUCUGAAAAAUCAUCACCAAACAAGUACCCAGGGGAAUAAUCUCGUCGUAUUUAGACCUCAAUGGACAGGCAAUGACGUACUAUCUAGGUACCGUCACCCCCCAGAGCUACACGGAUAGACAAGGAAAUACCAUCUCAUAUCUCAUCAUAUCAUCUCAUCAUAUUUGUGCAUGCAUAAUCUAGUCCCCAAAGGACAAAAGCACCCAAGCACACGGCCCAAAGUCUCUAUGUGUACUCAGACGAGCCCCAAAGGCCUGUAUCUCAUCUGUGUCAUAUGUAUCUCAAUAUCUGUCUGUAUCUCAUAUCUAUAUCUCUGUAACCAUCAUACCGCAUGCAUAUCCCCCCAAAAGGCAAAAGCGCCCAAAUACACGGCCCAAAGCCUCUAUGUGUGUUCAGACGGGCCCCAAAGGCCUCUCAUCUCAUCUGUAUCACUGUAUCUGGAGGGAAGGGUAUUGUCCAAUGAUUUUAAAAGCAAUCUCUAUACUCAUAUUCAUAUACAUUAUAAUCAUAUCUUUCUUUUCAUUAUCACAUCUAAAUCCACUUUUCUCAUCUUUAAGAUACUCUCAUAUUUUAUUCAAGUCUGUACGGAAAACCAUUAACCAAACAUUUUAAUAUAAUGUUAAUGCGUGAAUAAAAUCUAUUUCGAGAAAAUCAUUAAAUCAGAAUAUUUAAAAUACUUAUUUCGCAAACAUGCUUUACUAUCAUAAUUAACUAUGAAAAUAGGUUUUGUAUAUUCCAUUCAUAGUGACGGUGUUCACGUCCGGUUAUCGUCCACGUUCGCAGACUGCUUAUUGCUUGCGGAUCCUCCUAAAUCAAGGAAACGACAUAAUUAUUUUUCAUAAAUUGGAAUUACGACUAAAUUUAUACAAUAAACUUGAAACGAACAUCUAUCCAUAAUUUACAACUCCCGUGUCGAUAGAGUUACCAAAAUACCCUUGAAUCCGUAAAUCAUUAAAUACUCUGAAAUCGUAAAUCACCGAAUUACCCUUAGAAUCAUAAUUACACUCAAUCCUCAAUUUUAGGAAUUACUAAAAUAUCCACAGGCUCAUGAAUUACAAAAUCAAUGAAAUGACAUAAUUAUUUUCCAUAAAUCGGAAUUAUGACUAAAUUUAUACAGUAAACUCGAAACAAACAUCUAUCCAUAAUUUACAACUCCCGUGUCGAUAGAAUUACCAAAAUACCCUCGAAUAUGUAAAUCAUGAAAAUACUCUGAAAUCGUAAAUCACUGAAUUACCCUCAAAAUUGUAAUUACACUCAAUCCUCAAUUUUAGGAAUUACUAAAACAUCCACAGGCUCAGGAAUUACAAAAUCACCCUCAAAAUGUGAAAUUACUGAAUUGCCCUUGCCGGUCAAUGGUGGCCGAAAUUCAAGCAACAGUGACCGGAAAGCUCAGGUUAGACACUUCUCGCUGAGCUAAGUUCAAUGAUACUGGCGGUGUGCUCCCACGCUUGGCGACGACACCGGAAUCUAGCUCGACAGCCCUGUAACUACAACGGCUGAACCACAGCAAAUCGACAGCUCUCGGUGGCUGUGGAUGGUCGGAAAAUCAAAAGGGAGUUGUGGGGAACAAAAUCCAGCCAGUGGUGUCACCCAAAACCGCCGAAAAUCUCGACAGAGCAAAGUGGAAAAGUCGCGGGUUUUUCAAGCUUUGGUCGCCGAUGUUCUGGUUGUUUUUCGAUAACGUGGACGGCUGGGGUAUGAUGGCCAGACUUCAAGCCUCAGAUUGGUACCAAGCUUGACCGGUGGAGUGGCCGAAAUCGUAAGAUAUGGCCGAGUCAAUUUCGGGUCAAACAGGUCGGGUUUUUGGGUCGGUUUUGACAGCUUCUCUCUCACUCUCUCACACGUGUAUUUGUUACCCCAUUUCCAGCUUCUUCAUUUACUUUUUAACCGCCUCACCUCUUUUUUUUCACAUAUGUUACAAUCCUCCCCACUUAUAAAAAUUUUGUCCUCGAAAUUUACGUACCUAAUAAGAAAAGAUAAGGAUACUGAGCUCGCAUUAAGUCUUCGCAUUCCUAUGUAGCCUUUUCCUUUGUAUGAUUCCUCCAUCGUACUUUUCCUAGAGGAAUGGUCUUAGAACGCAGAACUUGGUGUUUCUCUUCUAGUAUCUCCACUAGUUCCUUUUCGUAAGUCUAAUCUUCCUUCAACUGAAUUGGUUGCUUCGAUAACACAUGGUUCGGAUCAUAUAUGUACUUUCGGAACAUUGAGACAUGAAACACAUCGUGGACUCUGGAUAACUCUGGUGGUAGAGCUAAUCGAUAAGCUAACAGACCGAUGAGCUCAAUGAUCUCAUAAGGCUGAAUGUAACGUGGUCUUAGCAUCCCACGUUUCCUAAAUCAAAGCACCCCUUUCCAAGGAGAUAUUCGUAUGAAAACUCUAUGACCAACUUCAAAUUCAAGUUCCUGCCUACGCUUGUCUGCAUAACUCUUCUAUCUAUCUUGGGCCACUUUUAAUCUAUCCUGGAUCAAUUGUAUCUUGUCGUCAACUUGGUGCCUACAGCAUUUUGCAAGCUGGUCCAGAACUUAGAAGUAAACCGGGAAUCUCUAUCUGAGACUAUGGACACGGGUACUCCAUGAAGUCGAACUAUCUCAGCCAUAUAAAUACUCCCUAACUUGUCCAUCGAAUAGGUGGUUUUGAAUGGUAAAAAGUGAGCAGAUUUUGUAAGUUGAUCAACAACCACCAAAAUACUAUCAUGUCCUUUCUGAGUACGUGGAAGUCCCGCUAUAAAAUCCAUAGUGAUGUGCUCCCAACUUCCACUCAGGAAUAGAAAGCGACUGAGAACACCUUGUAGGCCUUUGGUGUUCAGCUUUAAUCUGCUGACAGACUAAACAUCGAGAAAUAAAUUCUGCUAUCUCUCUCUUCGUGCCCUUCCACCAACAAUGAUCCCUCAGGGUGUUGUACAUCUUCGCCCUACCAUGAUGCAUCGCAUAAGCCGAACAGUGAGCUUAUUCCAUAAUCUCUUCUUUUAGAUCCUUAAUAUCAGGUACACAGAGUCUAUUACCCAUGACUAAGACUCUGUCGUCUCUUACCGUAAAAUCGGUUCGUAAACAUUUUUGCACAUCCUCUUUCAACUUCAUUAAUUGUGGGUCCUGAGCUUGCAUUUGGUGAACUUUGUCAAUCAAAGUCGGCCUAACUCGAAAGUUAGCUAUUAAAGCUCCACAAUUGUCAGCGUUCAACUUGACUUCCAAAGAUCUCAACUCGAUCAACAGAGGCAUAUAUGUCAUUCGUAAGUGAGCUAUAAAGCUGGAAGACUUUUUACUUAGUGCAUCAUGUACCACAUUCGCUUUGCCCGGAUGAUAAUCAAUAGUGCAAUCGUAGUCCUUAAUUAGCUCGAUCCAUCUCCUCUAUCUCAAAUUUAGCUUUUUCUAAGUAAAUAAAUACUUGAGACUCUCAUGAUGGGUGAAAAUCUAACACGUUGCCCCAUAUAGGUUAUGCCUCCAUGUCUUGAGUGCCAAUACCACUGCUGCUAGCUCUAGGUCAUGUGUUGGGUAGUUUUGCUCAUGCUUCUUAAGUUGUCUAGAACCAUAAGCCACCACUUUAUCAUGUUGUAUUAACACACAACUCAAUCCUUGCCUAGAGGCAUCGUUGUAUACCACAAAUCCUUCAUUACCAAAUGGAAGUGUAAGAACUUGUGCUGAGGUCAAACGUAUCUUAAGUUCUUGAAAACUCUUUUCACAAUCAUCAUCCCAUUAAAACUUAGCAUUCUUUUUGGUUAACCGUGUUAGAGGAGUAGCAAUCUUAGAGAAUCCCUCCACAAAUCUACGAUAGUAGCCAGCCAACCCCAGGAAACUUCUAACCUCUGUGACAUUUGUAGGCCAUUCCUAUUUCACAACAGCUUCAAUCUUUUGAGGAUCAACAUAAUGCCUUCAGCUGAUAUCACAUGGCCUAAAAAUACUACUCUGUCCAACCAGAACUCGUACUUGCUGAACUUGGCAUACAACUGCUUUUGUCUCAAAGUCUGUAAAACAGUCUGCAAAUGCUCUGCGUGCACCUCCUCACUUCGAGAAUACACCAAGAUAUCAUCAAUGAAUACAAUCACAAACCGAUCCAGGUACGGGCGAAAUACCUUAUUCAUAAGGUCCAUAAAAGCUGCUAGAGCAUUUGUCAACCCAAAUAGCAUCACCAAGAAUUCAUUUGUCCAUAAUAGGUUCUAAAUGUUGUUUUAGGAACAUUGGCCUCUUUAAUUCUAAGCUAAUGGUACCUCGGGCACAAAUCGAUCUUAGAAAAUACUUUCGCCCCCUGAAGUUGAUCAAACAAGUCAUCAAUACACGGAAGUGGAUACUUAUUGUGUACCGUAACUUUUUUCAACUGUCUGUAGUCGAUGCAAAGUCUAAAAGUCCCAUUUUUUUUCUUAACAAACAAGACUGGAGCUCCCCGCGGGGACACACUAGGUCUAUUAAACCCUUUAUCUACCAACUCUUGCAAUUGAAACUUCAGUUCCUUCAACUCUGCUAGAGCCAUCCUGUAUAGUGCCAUAGAUAUAGGAGAUGUUCCAGGGACUAAGUCAAUAGAAAACUCAUCUUCCCUGUUAGAUGGCAUCUUAGGAAAUUCAUCUGGAUGGCCUACUACUAGAGCCACCCUCUGCCCAGCUCUGGCUAUGCUUCUGCUUCAGUGCACAAACUUUGCAUCCCUCUGAAAUAUUGUGCUCUACUCUCCUGGCUGCCUCAACUACCUCUCCAAACUCAGUGUAUCGUAAUGCAGUCACGGUGGUACGAAUCUCAAAUCGGAGGCUUUCCUCAAACCAUUUGCAUCUCUCUUUCUCAUCACCGACUACAGAUGUAGCAAAUCUAAAGAGGUCUAAAAAUUUCUUCUCAUACUCCUCAACUGUCAGGGAUCCCUGAACUACCAGAAGGGAUUCACUCCGUUUAAUAUCCUAAUACACAGCUGGAAAAUAAUGAUUGUAGAAUUCCUUAUGGAAAAUGCUCCAAGUAAUCGCAGCAUGCCCCUGAUAUCAUCUUUCCACUGUCUGCCACCAAUGGUAAGCUCUAUCCUCGAGCAAGAAAGUGGCAAAGGAUAAUCUGUCAUCCUCUGAACACUUCAUCAUGUCAAAAGUACGCUCUGACUUAACAAACUAUGACUCAGCCUCAAGUGGUUCUUCGGAAACAUUUAAGUUUCUCACUCGCUCAAUAAUGAUUGCAUUGCCAGCAUGCUCUUGAGUCUGAUUCUGCACAACUGUAGUCAUGAUCUGAGCUAGCCUAUCAAAUGACUGCUCAAUAUUUGGGGCAAUCCCUGGCGCCUAUUGUGCAAUUUCAUAUGUGGAGGAUUCAACUACCCCUCUUUCACAAGUUCACUUUCCCCCAUAGGUACCCCACUAGAAGACAACCCAACUACUGGCCUAGUACGGCCACGACUACGUCUACUGCUACGACAAAGCAUGAUGGUGCCUACAAGAUAUAAAUUCUAACUUUAAUAAAAAAAAUAAAACUUAUUCUUACUAAGGUAGUAAAGUCUGCAAAAUCUAAAACCAUGCUCUAAUACCAACUUAAACAACCAGCCCCAAACCCCAGGGUGAGUCUAUCUAAUAAUAAUCUAAUUGGUAAAGAUUCUGCCGAAAAUUCGAUAGAGUUUCCUUUAUAAAUAUAACACUCCCAAUCUGAAAAAAUGUAAAACAAGCACUUCCAAAAUAAUUCAAUUUACAACAAACUCCAAUAAUCAACAUCCUCAACCAAAAUACUAAGUUUUUCCCAAGAUAACUCUAGAAUCUCAAAGGAUAAUAUUAUAACUAAUAUUAAUAUACCUCAAUUUAUUCUUAAUCCCAAAAGAAUAAUAUAACAAAAUUAUACAAGCCCAAAAGAACGAGAUAACCACGAUGUCCUAACAAAAAGCAUCUAUUUCUUCUAAUACCAACACGUAGCAAAGACUCAAAAUGCAUUUACAGUCGCUGGGUUGGUCUGGUGUAUCUGCAACCUCCUGGUGGGGGGAAAAUAUAAUAAAAACGGAAUGAGUAUAAGCCUUAGUGAGCUCAAUGAGUGGAUAGUAAUUUUUGAAAAUUAAUUCCUACUUUAAAAGAAAUAAUCAUAUCAUUUCCAAAUACGAUUUUAUCAAACCAUAUGCGAGAAACCAGUAAUAAGUCAUUUAACAUUUAAAUCAGAUUGCUAACCGUGAAAAGCAUAAAUAAUAUCGUACUUAAUAACCAUGGAAAUCAUAUCACGAUAUUAUAUAGAAUAUACAGAUCUGAAAAUCAUUACCAAACAAUUAUCCAGGGGAAUAAACUCGUCGUAUCCAAACCUCAACGGACGGGCAAUGACUUACUAUCUAGGUACCGUCACGCCCCAUAGCUACACGGAUAGACAAGGAAAUACAAUCUCAUAUCUCAUCAUAUUUGUGCAUGCAUAAUCUAGUCCCUAAAGGACAAAAGCGCCCAAGCACAAGGCCCAAAGCUUCUAUGUGUACUCAGACGAGCCCCAAAGGCCUGUAUCUCAUCUGUAUCAUCUGUAUCUCAAUAUCUGUCUGUAUCUCAUAUUUGUAUGUCUGCAACCAUCAUACCCCAUGUAUAUGCCCCCAAAAUGCUAAAGCGCCCAAACACACGGUCCAAAGCCUCUAUGUGUGUUCAGACGGGCCCCAAAGGCCUCUCAUCUCAUUUGUAUCAUUGUAUGUGGAGAGAAGGGUACUGUCCAAUGAUUUUAAAAACAAUCUCUAUACUCAUAUUCAUAUACAUUCUAAUCAUAUCUUUCUUUUCAUUAUCACGUCUAAAUCCACUUUUCUCAUCUUUAAGAUACUAUCAUAUUUUAUUCAAGUCCAUACGGAAAACCAUUAACCAAACAUUUUAAUAUAAUAUCAAUGCAUGAAUAAAAUCCAUUUCGAGAAAAUCAUUAAAUCAGAAUAUUUAAAAUAUUUAUUUCGCAAACAUACUUUACUAUCAUAAUUAACCAUGAAAAUAGGUUUUGUAUAUUCCACUCACAGUGACGGUGUUCACGCUCGGUUAUCGUCCACGUCCGCGGACUGAUUAUCGCUUGCAGAUCCUCCUAAAUCAAGGAAACGACAUAAUUAUUUUCCAUAAAUUGGAAUUACGACUAAAUUUAUACAAUAAACUCAAAAACGAACAUCUAUCCAUAAUUUCGGGUCAAACGGGUCGGGUUUUUGGCUCGGUUUUUACAGCUUCUCUCUCACUCUCUCACACGUGUAUAUGUUACCCCAUUUCCAGCUUCUUCAUUUACUUUUAUUUACUUUUUAACUGCCUCACCCCUUUUUUUCACAUAUGUUACAAAUAGGGUUUAAUUUAUUCAAUUCCUAGCUAAUUUAGUUAAAUUCCAAUUUAUUAGGAAUAUCGUUUCCUGGUUUUAACUAGAUGUCUAAUUUAGCAAGUCAAUUAGUGACAUGAUUUUUAUAAAUGGUGCGUGGGAUUUAUUUAGAGGAAGAAGUUAGUUCAAACAAAAAGUUUAUUAAAUGCUCUAGAUAUUUCUUAGGAGAUAAGUAAGGUAAGCAUAUCAUUUUUAUUCCUAUUCAGAUUUAUAGGAAUUAUAAGAGGAAAAAAAUUCUUAUUUGGAAAGAAUCCUAGGCUUUUAACGACAGUCUUAAUAAAUUUUUUCACAUCAGCCUCAUACUCAUCAAACAAUAUAUCAUAUUUAAUCCAAGAUUUAUCCAUUUUUGUUUAGUACCUGACAUAUAAUUGAGACAAAUUUCAACAUAAUGUACUAAUGGGCAGCAAUGAUAAAUAGUUUCCAUUAUCAAUAAAUUAAGCAACAAAACAUUAUUAAUAUUCAGUUUAUAAAUUUAAUGAAAUAAAUAAAUUUAAAAAUAAAAACUUGUCAUCAUGUGCAACAAACAUAACUUCACCAACGUGCUGUCAUCAUUUACCAAAACCCACUAAUAAUAUCCUAAAUAAUUUAGCCCACAUACAUUUAACAUUUAUUUAAAAGAAAUUUUAACAAUCCGGUAUUUCAUGGACCGCAACACUAUAUAUAUAUAUAUAUAUAUAUAAAUACAAACGCAACUAUACAUUCCUUGGUCCACAUGACCAAACUUACCAUUUCUUUCAAACAUAAAAAAAAAUUGAAAACGGGGGCCUCACUUUUCAACUCAAUAAAAUACACUAGAAAGUAUUGAAAAAGGGGGCCUCACUAUUCAAGCGUCACCAUUAGCUUGGAUGUAUGUAAAGAUGAUUUGAACCCAUAGUUGUUGCAUAAAAACCUUUGUUAUCUUUACUUUUGUUGUCAAAAUUAUUAUUGUAAUUUUUUUAAUGGUAGAAGUAGAACCUAAUCCCUCACAAUUAUCAUUUAAUAAUAUGUUAAUUACCAAACACUAUUAUUUUUUUAUUCAUACCUAGUAGUGAUUUAAAUUUGAAAAGCGACAAAACCAGAAACCAAUUUUUAAUAUAUAAUAAACCAAUUAUUAUUAUUUUUUUUUACGGUGAAAUGUAAGGAUCCAUUUAAAAAAAAAAAACACCAACAUUACAAUGACUGAAUUAGAAACGAAAAUCACAGCAACAUUAUAAUUGCAUUCAGUCUCUACGUCUCCUCCUCCUCCUUGUUGCCUUUUGCUGCGUUCCCAACUUCUCCAGAAUCCAUCCGAUAAUUCCUGUGCUGAAGUUGAACCCGAGAACCAAUCCUGCCACAAGUCCGCCCGCAUAGCCAGUCAGAAUGAUUUUCCAAUCAGAUGCGCCUGAAAACAGGGACUCCUCCGAGCCUUCAGUAUGAUCUUCAUUUGUUGCAGCUUCACCACUCUCACAUCCUUUGGACAAUGGCUUUCCACACAAUCCUGAGUUGCCGUCGAAAGAAGUAUUGUCAAAUGUAGCAAAUUGCUUUCCUUGUGGUAUAGGCCCUGUAAGGUAAUUGUCUGAGACAUUGAAGAAUUCGAGAAAUGUGAGCUCAACCAAUUGUUGAGGAAUCCGUCCUGAAAACUUGUUAUUUGAGAGAUCCAGUGAUUCCAAAUUUGUUAGAUUGCCCAAACAUGACAGAAUAAGGCCUUGGAGAUUAUUGUGCUGGAGGUUUAGAACUUGAAGUCCCUUUAAAUUUGCAAUCGAUGCUGGAAUCGCCCCAACAAAUCUAUUAUUUGAGAGAAUAAUGCCCGCAAGGAUAUCCGGAAUCUUUUUAUAUGUCAUCAUUCGCCCUUUGCUGCUCAUUGUCAUUGAGUAGUCAUAAGUGCUAAGUACAUUAUUGGUCACUUGUCCAUACGAAGAAAGCACAUCUUGCAGAUAUCUUAGCUCACUUGUAUUGACAAUUUUCAUGGCAUUCCAACACAGGAAACUCUUUGAUGGAAGCUUUCCAGUAAAUCUGUUGUUAGAUAGGUCAAUAAUGCGGAGUUUAGAAAAUCCACAACCAGUUCUGGGUUCUUCUAUAACACCAUAAAAUAUGUUGGAUCGUAGGAUGAGAACAUUCAAUUUUGGAAGAGUUCCUAACCAAGAGGGAAAAGUGUCACUAAUCUGGUUGUUCCCAAGACUAAGAAAUUCCAACUUUGAACAGUUGAUCAAUGAUCUUGGAAUUCUUCCUUGAAACAGAUUAUGGCUUAAAUCAAUCACGCCUAAUCUACUUUCUUUAAUGAAAGUAUUUGGGAUGGUCCCAAAGAAGUUGUUCCUCUGCAAGUCGAGCACUGAAAGUUCAUCGCUGAAAUUGCCUAAACACUGAGGAAGCAAGCCACUUAAGUUAUUGUGAGACAAAACAAGGCUUUCAAGAAUAUUCAAAUUGCAUAUCCACGAUGGAAUUUCCCCUGUUAAGCUAUUGUUUGAAGCUAGAUAGUUAACGGUUCCGAGGGGUGGAACUGGGAGUGGUCCUUGUAAAUUAUUAGAGCUAAGAUCAAAAGUCACCAAAUCACCGAUAUUCCCUGGAAGAAGAACAGGAUGCUGAUCAAACCCGGUUAACAAGUUAUGCGAAAGGUUCAAGGCAUUGAGAUUAUGCAUAUUGGGGUCUAACAACCAUUUAGGUACUUUUCCCUGAAUUUUAUUGUCAGAAAGGUCCAGGACCACCAAAUGACUUUGGUUUUCCAAGAAAUUUGGAAAUUUGGUAAGAUUACAUGA
rnacentral:lncRNA from 1 species